rnacentral:lncRNA from 1 species
UCGGUACGUGUCAGUGCCCAUGCAAACAACAAGAACAGGACCCGGUGUUGAGCUGCCUGCAAGAAACCCAAGUUUCUUGGCGAAUCCAAGUGGUGAACCAGGCAACCAUGGGAGAAAUCUUGCACCUGCCAACACAACUUCAUCAGCGAUUCCUCCGGGGCAGCCGUCCGAGAGGUUGACGUACACAGGCCAAUCAAUAUUCUUUGGCGGGCCAAUCCUGAGCACCACUGGCGUAAAUGCAGAAAGGAAUGAGGCGGGCACAAGAGUGCGUCCUGAGACAAGCAGAGAUCCCAACUCCCACCAGCGUGACAUCCGUGGUGAGAAGGCUCGGACAGGCUCCUUCCCAUUGUUUGAGCCUAGGAAUUUCUAGAAGAACCUGCUUUGUUGGCAAGUGACCUUGACCGGCUGUUUUACUCCUCUCUACUAUGUCGUCUGCUCAAGUGCCACCACCAUGACAGUGGGGGUGAUGUUGAUGCACUGCACCCCUUGCAGAGUCAGGGAACUGCUGAAAUAGUUGACCUGGGGUUUCAGCGAUACAUAGAUAACGAUGCUUCUUAGAGCUUUAUUAUAGCGAGUGAGGAUGGCGCUAACUUUGUUUGAUGUUUUACAAACUGACUGAUAGUCGCAGUUUUAUUUUGCGUGCAUUAGGAGUUGUGAUGUUUGAUGCGCUUGGCAUGUAGUAGAAGAGCUGAUUAAACUUGUCCUUGAUGUGUACAACCUUGUGAUUUGCCGCUGACUUUGUUCACAUUACGGACUUCGGAGUGUUCAUUGCAAGUCUCUGUUCUGUUACUGCUGUAAUAGUAGCCCACCUGUGAAGGCAUUGUCUCCAACUGUCUUAGCGUUCGACUGCUUUAUUUUCAUGUUGAGAGAAUGGAGUUUAACUCGGAUGAUACUGCUUGCUGCAUAAUUGAUGUUCAUUUUCCAAACUGAAUUAGUGAGAUGGGUAUGAUUGCAAUUGAAUAAUUCUUGUUCUGUAUCAUGAGUUCAUAUCUAAAUAAACUGCGGCUUAUUAGUGCCACCGCAUUGCUGUCAACGUGCCAAGGAUGUUGCAAAAUUCCCCGCAUUUUUGUAAACUACUCCCUCUGUCCAAUAAUAUUAUCAGACGGAGGGAGUACCUAUUUGAACAUGGCAAGAAUAAUGAUAGUAUCGGAAGUUAAACUUAGUUUCAUUGCAUCCAUAGGCUGUGGAUGCUCUAAGGAGGCAUCAUCUUCUGUGCCAUCAGGCUGGUUGCAACCGCCUUUAACCAGGAAGCCUGUGUUUAAUUCUCUUUUCUUUACGGGCUGACUUCCUGAUCGAAGCAACAUCUUUCACCUCGCGGGGGAAAAGAUCUUGAAUCCAUAUGCCAUUCAUGGGAGAAGAACAAAGGAGGAUGUAGAUCAUACAGUGGCGGCCAAAGCGUUUCCUUUGGAUGAAGUGGUGUUCUCGGUGUUUGCUGUAUGCAUUGUAACAUAUGAUGUAUCCUGGGGAUAUAUAUAUAUAGAGAGAGAUCUAGAGAUGUAAUGGCCAUGUGUAGACCUAGCUGUAAAUUAUGCAGCCCUUAGGUACAAACCUGAGUGUCCUGGCUUGUUGUGCUCUCAACCACAUGUAGCCAUGAUACAACUGAUUUGUUUACGAGCAUUGGGAUGCCCUCGCAGAAGGAAAAAGUAAAACCCAAGAGUCAAGAAAAAAAGAAAAACUAAUGAUACUUCCUUAGAACCACACGACAAUCGUGGUUAGCCACUUAAACCUGAUAUCAACAAUAGAUGACGGUUCCAUAGAGCAUCUACAUCCCCUGGAGAUAAACCUCUAUAUAUCUCCUGUAGGAAAAUAAUACUAGCUCUACAUCACCCUUUUUAGUCUUCCCGACUCCAUUGAUAUCAUAUGAACCAACCUGUGGUUGGAUUGUUAGGAGAACAAUGGUAUCCACAGUCCACCAGAGUUGUCUUAAAGAAACAAAGUCCAUUGAUAUCAUUAUAAUAGUAAUAACCAAGUAACUAAAUUGAAGUAGUUAAGAAGAAAUUCAUAGAAUUUAUUCUCUUUGAGAGAAAGAAAGCUAGUUUAAGAUGAAAGGAAGCAAGGUAACUUUACGCGCCUUGAUUAGUACUACUAAACAUUGUUCAUGGCACGUUUUCCUGAUCUUGGCAUGCACUGCACAUAGCGUGAUCCUUUCCAUGCACUUGUUGAAACAGAAUUGCUUCUUUAGACAUCUUAUCUUUUACUCUUAUUUUGGGAAACCCUAGCCGCUGUCCCCUCUACCACACCUCCUCCCAUCCUCUCGUCUCGCAGCCGCCGGAGCUCGCUGGCGGGCAAAGCUCAGUCGGUGGCGGCGGGGCAUCCUCUUCUCUUCGUGCGGGGCCGGGCAGCGCGUGACACGUUCUUCGCGCGGGGGCGCGUCGCUACGCGAGGCACGGCGGUGCAGGCGGCUGAGCCUCGGUAUGGAGGGUUGCUUGGCAGUGGUGGUGGCGGCGGCUAGUGCGUGGUGGCGGUGGACCAGGCCAGAUCGGAUCUGGAGGGUUCCUGGCGGUGGGCGGCGCGUGGGUGGGCAGCGACUUAGUAGGGUCUCUUUGGCCAUGGCCACGAUAGCGUGCAGGCCGUUGUUGUAGGGGUUCCAUGGCUGCUGGUCAGAUCCGCCCAGAUCUGACCCUAGGCGCCGACAGGCGGCUCGGGGUGGUGGCCGCGGACUCCUGGUUGGAUGUGGCUGCUUGGAUGUGGGCUGCAACGGCGUGGUGGCAGUCCAUGGCAGUGGGUUGGGUCGUUCCAUGAUGGCGGCUGGACAUCUCCGGCGUCGGUCGUCGGGGAGCGGCUCUUGCGGUGGCGACCUUCUUCCUGCGUCGGCUCGUCCGUAGGCGGCCCGUGGAGGCCUUCGAUCCCUCUCCUUGUCGUCCUGGCGCUACUUUUGUCGAAGGGCUGACCCUCUCCCAGUUGCGAUCCAUCGCCCGUCUCGCGCCCAGUGCUGCAGCACCGAGCUCGUCUUUCGCCUAGCAGCAGGACCAAUCUCGUCUCGCGCCCGGCAGCAGGACUGGCAUCGUCUCGCGCCCGGUGCUGCAGGACGGGUCGAUGGAGGCCAGUUUUGGCCGGCCUAGUGGUCUCAGCGCCGGGGGUCGCACAGGGGUGUGAAAGGCGGAACCUUUUCGCUCGUCUCUUUGGCUGGGUUAGCGGCGGGCCUCAGGUGAGGUGGUGUCAAGGUCUUGGAUGCCAGGGCGGCGGCCCUGGUGGUGGUAGCAUGAUGCUCUUGGGCAGAGCCCGUGGCUUGGUGCUGCCCGGUGGCCAUGGCCGUGAGGGCGGUGUGGUAGCUGGGGUGUGGAGUUCGGUGGCGAUGAGUAUUGGCCGGCGUGAAAACCUGUUCUAUCUUUGGCUGGACCGGCGACGGCGAAGCUCGUUCCCUUCUUGAAGGUGUCGCCGUGGCUCUCAUUGCCCAUCGUGUUGCUCCAGGGGAAACUCUAAUCCUUGGUUAGGACGGUGGCGGCGCUUUGGUAUUGUAACCUUCCUGAAGGCACCGCCUUGGAGCCCACGGUUCGUCAUAUGUGGCUUCAUCUCUUCGCGGUGGUGUGUUCACGGUUGAGGACCCCGGUUGCUCAUGUAGUGCUAGGGGCGGUGUUGCUACGCUCAACGCCUAUAUAUGUAUCCUGCCUUGGGUGUGUGCAUGUGUUGUGGUGGCAUGCGUUUGUACUGGGUUGUUGUUGAUCGUUGCUGUAUAUAUAAAGCGGGGUGAAAGCCUUUUCAGUAAAUGACUAAUAUAACUAAGUAUAAACCCCCCCUAUUUGCAUCCAUAAACACUUACAUUUGAGUAAGGAUAGAGCAAUUAUGAUAUGGUGAGUACAACUUCCAAACUGCUGGUUCAGUUGUCCCACGGUCCAGCCGCACAGAGAAAACAAAGGUACUUUCAGCAAUGGUGGCAAGAACCGCGGGUGCCCGCGGCGGAGUGGCUACAAGCAACAGAGUGGCAGCGACUAGCGGGUUGGUAGUGGUUGACAAUGUGAUGGCUAGCGGAGGUGCAAAUGGAGGAGGUGGGGGCGGGUCCUGGGGCGGAGAUGACCAAUGGAGAUCUAGUACUCAGGGCAUCGUUUGCGGUUGUUCAACGCUGCAUAGACAAGCGAGGGAGUUGUUGGGCUCGCAUGCUACCUUAGUCAAACUCAAGCUAUAACCAAGCCAAGUUCAAGUGCGGACACAUAAGCUUAGACGGGCCUGGUGAAGCAGGUCCACGAGCGGGCUCGGCUUGGAUUCUUUCCAACCCAACCAACAACCUCAAGCGAGACAACCAACAUUUAGCUUUCUAUUUUCACAUGGUGGAUUAGUGACAAUAGCUACAUUUUCCCCUAUGCCUCUCAAUCCGGUUACCAAAUCCGUGCACCUCAGAUGGGUAACAUAUCUUGAAUCCGUAUGCCAUAGGAGAGGAACAAAGUAGGAUGUAGAUCAUACCGGGGUGACAGGGUGCUAAUUGUUGCAUGCAUUGCAAGAAAUGAUGUAUCAUGUGGAUAUAUAGAGAGAUGUAAUGGCCACGUGGGCCGACCUAGAUAGUAUGUAUCAUGAAAGUACAAACUUAAAUGUCCUGACUCAUACAGCUCUCAACCACCUGCAAACAAUGCUAUAAUUGUUCCAUUGACGAGCAUUGAGAUUCCCUCACCCCUCACCCCACCCACAUAGGCACACGGAACGGGACGAGAUGAAACACAUAGUGAGGUUCAUAACCAGGUUUUGCAAUCCAGGAUGACUAUGAGACUUCAACACAGACUAUAAAUUGUUUAACCAGCCAGGUACACAUCCCCCUCAUGCUCAAUUUUGUGCCACACCUCAUCCAGCUCCACAUCCUAAAAUGGCUGAAGUAGGGAUUACAAGGCCACCUGUUCCUACUACACAAAUUACCGACCCAAUGUUUCUAGUCAGCCACACCAUAUGUCUGGGAGAACCAACGAGCUUUUGCUGUCUAAGAUCAAGAGGCUAGUCGGUACUUGUCAGUGGCUCAGUGCCUACGCAAAUAAGAAUAGGACCUGACAUCGAGCCGCUAGCAAGAAAGCUAAUUUUCUUGGCAAAUCUAAGUGGUGAACCAGGCAACCAUGGGAGAAAUCUUGCACUGUGAAAACAAAUUCAUCAGCGAUUCCUUUAGGGCAGCCGUAUGAGAGAUUGACAUACACAUGCCAAUAAAUAUUCUUUGCCGGGCCAAUCCUGAGCACCACUGGCAUAAACGAAGAAAAUAAUGAGGUGGGCACAAGAGUGCGCCCUGAGGGAAACAGAGAUCCCAACUCCCACCAGAGGGACAUCCGUGGCAAGAAGGCUCGGACAAGCUCCUUCCCAUUGUUUGAGCCUAGGAAUUUCUAGAAGAACCAGUUUUGUUGGCAAGUGACUUUUACCUGCUGUUUUACUGUCUCUAUGUCGUCUGCUCAAGCCCCACCAUGACAGUGGGGGUGAAGAUAUGGAGAACUGCUGAAACAGUUGCUCCUUCGGGGCAACAAUGAUACAGAGACGACGAUGAUCUUUAGAUCUUUAUAGUGAGCGAGGAUGGUGCUAACUUUGUUUGAUGUUUACGAACUGACUAAUAACCGUCGUUUUUUUCUUUCGCAUGCGUUAGGAGUUCAGUUGUUUGGUGCGCUUAAUAGGUAGUAGAAGAGUUGAUUAAACUGUUCAUGGUGUGAAGAACCUUUUGAUUUGCAGCUGACUUUGUUCACAUUGCGGACUUUGGAGUGUUCAUUCUGUUACUGUGGUAAUCGUUACCCACGUGUGAAGGCAUCAUCUCCAACUGUCUUAGUGUUUGAUUGUUUCUCUUCCAGUUGUGUUUGAGGGAAUGAAUUAACCCAGGUGAUAUUGUUUGUUCUGUGCUGUUGUUCAUCUGUCAAACGUUUGUGAUUACAGUUGAGCAAGUAUUGUUUUGUAUCAUGAAUUCAUGACUAAUGUAGUAGCAGAAGUUAAACAUAGCUUCAUGCAUCCAUAGGUUAUGGAUACUACAAGGAAGCAUCAUCAGGUGCACGAGCAGCCUGUACAGUCCAACAUCUUGAUCGAAGCAACACCUUUCCCAAUACCUCGCAAUCCGGUUAUGCUUCACCUCAUGCGGUAAACAUAUCUUGAAUCCAUAUACCAUUGGAGAAGAACAAUGGAGGAUGUAGAUAAUACUUUUGGUGGCUAUGUCGUGGCCAGGCUGUUUGUGCUAUGCAUUGCAGGACAUGUUGUACCCUGGGGGAUAUAUAUAUAGAGAGAGCUAGGGAUUUGAUGGCCAUGUGUAGAGCUAACCAUAACUUAUGCAACCCGUAGGCACAAACCUGAAUGUCCUGGCUUGUAGAGCUCUCAAACACCACCAGCCAUGAUACAAUCGACUCACCAACGGGCAUUGAGACGCCCUCAUAAAAGGCAAAAUAAAAACCCGAGAGGCAACAAAAUCCGAAGAUACUUUGUUAGAACCGCACGACAAUCGUGGUUAGCAUCUCAAAACUGAUGUCAACAAUAGAUGACGGUUCCUUGGAGCAUCCGCAACCCUUGGGGCUAAACCUCUAUACGUCUCUCCAAUAGAAAAAACACAGACCUAUCUUACUCCAUUGAUAUCAUCAUCGUAGUAAUAACAAAGUAAUUGAGUUCAAGUGGUUCCUUAGAUAAGAAGAAAUUCACAUAAUUUAUCCUUGUUGAUGGAAAGAAAACUAGUUUAAGAUGAAAAGUAAGUGCUCGUGGAUGUGACCACAAUGAAGCAUGCCCCUUUGCAGUCAAUCUGUCGAAUCUUUCGUGCAUAUUUUCUGUCAAUGCCCGUCCUCUGUCGAAACAUGAUUUAAGCCUAGCCUAAUAUGCAUUGAUUAACAAAGGUGUUAUUAAAUGAUAUGAAUAAAUAAUAGUACUGAACUAAACCUUCACUUUUUUGCAUCCAUACAAAUUCCAUUUGAUUAACCAUGGAACAGUUAUUAUAUGAUGAGUACAAGUUCCAAACUAUCACACAAAACUUCAGAAUGCUUGAGCGCAUGAUACCCUGGAAUCAUGAAAUGAAGACCUGAAAGAAUUUAUAGGUUGUACUCCCUUCGUAAAGAAAUAUAAGAGCGUUUAGAUGAGUGCGGCUAAUCUGCACCCGGGCUCAUCUGCACCCCCGCUUAAAAAAAAUUCAAAAAAAAUACUAGAAAAAUUCAAAAAAUUCCAAUUUUUUGUGGUGGCAGAUAAUUUGACGCGUGAGGUGCGCACCAAAAUUCAACUCAUUUGAGCAUCUGAGCAGCUCUCGGCAAAAAAGACAAAAUCAGGGUCUGUAAAAAUGUUUACUGUUCAUGCACUGUUUUGACCCGAUUUGUCUUUUUUGCCGACAGCUGCUCAGAUGUCCAAAUAAGUUGAAUUUUGGUGCGCACCUCACGCGUCUAAUUAUCUACCACCACAAAAAAAAUUGGAAUUUUUUGAAUUUUUCUAGUAUUUUUUUUAAAUUUUUUGCUGAGAGGGAGCAGAUGAGCCCGGGCACCGUUUUGAGUUUUCCCGUUUAGAUCACUAAACUUUCUUAUAUUUCUUUAUAGAGGGAGUAGUUGAUAGACAAGUUAGAUAGGCCAUGAUGGAGUGGCGGUGACUGGCGGAUGGCACUGAGGUGGAAAGAGCGGCAGUGGCCGGCAGAGUGGAAACAACCAGUGGUGGAACACAUGGUUGGGUGGGGCCAACGACCACUCUAACAUGCAUGCAUUGAGUGCGGGGGUUUGUUUCAGAACAAGAGCUCGUGCGCCGGUGCAUGAGAAAAAAACUGAGCAUGGGAGGAAGUUUUGCUAGGCCCGCAGGCAGACCGAGUGAAACUCAAGCUUUGACCAAGUCGAAUCCAAGUCCAACUUUUAUGGCUUAGAUGAGCCUUGCAAAGCAGAGCCAUGAGCUAGCUCGGCUCGACUUGUUUUCAAACGCAAGGAGCAACCUCUAGCCAGACAAUCAGUGUUUAACUUUUCUUUUUCAUCGAAAAAGGCUUUCGCCCCACUUUAUAUAUAAAGAAAAUCGUCACAAGCACAACCGGCAUCCAAUAGGAUAGUAGCACAACACACAACACACACCACACACACACACACACACACACACACACACACACACACAAGUUCGCACAAGAAAAGUAUUCUGCUGAGGGCACCACCACAAGAAGCCCUAAGAAACAAAAGCGGUACAUGCCGCGAGGGCGCUCCGUAGAGCUAGUUCAGAUCUUCCCUUUUUCACACAGUGGAGUAUGGAUGGUAGCUACAUUUUUUCCAAUGACUCUCAAUCCAACUUCCAUUCAUCUCUUCAGGGAAAUAGAUCUUGAAUUCAUGUGGUGUUGGAGAAGAACAAAGAAGGAUNNNNNNNNNNNNNNNNNNNNNNNNNNNNNNNNNNNNNNNNNNNNNNNNNNNNNNNNNNNNNNNNNNNNNNNNNNNNNNNNNNNNNNNNNNNNNNNNNNNNNNNNNNNNNNNNNNNNNNNNNNNNNNNNNNNNNNNNNNNNNNNNNNNNNNNNNNNNNNNNNNNNNNNNNNNNNNNNNNNNNNNNNNNNNNNNNNNNNNNNNNNNNNNNNNNNNNNNNNNNNNNNNNNNNNNNNNNNNNNNNNNNNNNNNNNNNNNNNNNNNNNNNNNNNNNNNNNNNNNNNNNNNNNNNNNNNNNNNNNNNNNNNNNNNNNNNNNNNNNNNGGGAGGUGUAUAUAUAGAGAGAUCUGGGCAUGUAAUUGCCAUGUGAAGACCUAGCGAAAUAUUACCUCUGUCCCAAAUGACUUGCCUUAAAUUUGUUUAGGUACCGAUGUACCUAACACUAAAACAUGUUCAAAUAUUUUUUUUUCAAAAGUAGCACGUUUUUUAUAGCAAUUUUGAAAACUAGCGGUGCUAACACGUUAUUUGCCAAACUAGCACCCCGUCAGUCAGCCGUUGGCCGAAGAGUGACUCUUCAGUCAGGUGUUGGCCGAAGAGUGUGUUUUCGGUCUGGCGUUGGCCGAAGACCUGCGGUGUCUUCGGCCAGCAGAUGGCCGAAGAGUGCUUUUCUGUCAUUUGUUGGCCGAAGAGUUCAUACUCUUUACGUUAACACCUGACCGAAGUUCCAUGGGAUUACUCUUCGGCUUACACAAGAGAACGGAGAACAUGCACCAACGGACAACACCAACGCCACCCCCUCGGCGGCACGAAGCUGCACCUCCUCCUCACCAGCCAAACCGCCUCCUCCUCCUCACCCCAUCAUGACUCUAACUCACUUGUACGCACAAAUAACUAUUCCAUAGAAAAAAAAUGACCGUAGGCCGGUGGAGAUGGCUACGAUAUACCAUUUCUGUGGUUUGGAUUCAAAAAUAGGUGGAGAAACGAAGAGAUCAGGGGGUGGGGGGGACGUACAGAGAGGAACCAAAGAGAGAGAGAGAGAGCAAGAACAACGAGACGAAAAAAGAAACCAGCUCGGGCCUUAUCCAAAGGUCUUCGGCCACUCAUUAGCCGAAAAGGUUUUCGGCCACGGGCUGGCCGAAGAGGCCCGUCUUCGGCCCAGCUCACACACUUUUCGGCUUACGUGUAACCGAAGAGUCCUCUUCGGGCUUCGGCUGGUCAGAAAGGCCCUCAUCGGCCAACGGUUGACCGACGGGGUGCUAGUUUUGCAAAUAACGUGUUAACACUGCUAGUUUUCUAAAUUGCUAUAAUAAAUGUGCUACUUUUGAAAAAAAAAUUCAAAUACAUCACUAUUUAGAACAAUCUAAGACAAAUAAUUCGGGAAGGAGGGAGUAAUAUGUAGCCUGCAGGUACAAACUGGAAUGUCAUGGCUUGUACAUGUCUCAACCACCCGCAGCCAAUGAUACAAGUCCACACACACAUGCACACGCACACGCGCGCGCGCACACACACAUACAUACCACAUAGACACAUACACGCACGCACUCACUCACACACACACACACACACACACGCACGCACACACACACAGGAUGCAUCAUAAUGUGAGGAUGCUUCCUUGCGUGACAAAGGAGGUAAGUCAUCCUAAAACUGGUAUAAAAAUAUAGGAUGCCUCUUAACAUCCACUAUUGGUUGCUUCAUCAAACAUGAAAUGCAGUUUAUCCAAAUUGAAAAGGUACAAUUUAGAUAUACGAGACCAGAACACACUUCUUAACACUGAUAUCAAUAUAUUAUGAAGCCACCGCACAUGACACAAUUUAUUCAACAACUACCUCUAGCAAGGACACAAUUGAUUCGCUUACUUGCAUUAGGAUGCCCUCACAUAAAGAAAAAUAAAAAAUGGAGAGGCAACAAAAACUGAGGACAUUUCCUUAGAAUUGCACAACAAAGCUCGGUUGGCAAUCUCAAAACUGAUCUCAACAAAAGAUUACGGUUCCUUAGAGCAUUAAUUCACAAUCCUUGGAGCUGAACCUCUAUAUAUCUGUCAUGUUAAAAGACGUAUCUCCUAAACACCGUUUUAGUCUUCUUUAACCCCACCAAUAUCACCAUUGUACCAAUAACUGAGUAAAUAAAUUUAAGAUUUUUUGGUUAAGAAGAAAUUCAUAGGAUUUAUCCUUGUUGAGAGAAAGAAAGCUAUAGUUUUAAGAUGAAAAAGAAGUCAGGUAAAUUUAUGCGCUUUGAUUACUACUAAACAUUCUUCAUGGCAUUUUCCCCUGAUCAGCUUGGUAUGCUGCAAAUCGCGAUCCUUUGCAUGCACUUGCUGAAACAAAUUGCUGCACUAGUCAUCUCUUUCUUUACUUGCUAUCAUUUCACCGCGUACUUCAUAGUAGCUAAGGAUACGUGAGCUCACAAGGUGUGAAAUAAGAAUAAGACCAAUCGAGACUUCAAAUGGGACAAUUUGAGCUGUAGAUCAUAAUGCCCAUUUGAAGGUAAAUCUCAACCAUAGAUGACUACUAGCACUAAACAUAAACCUUUCCUUCUUUGCAUUCACAAAUUUUUCAGUUGAGUACGUAUUGAGCAAUUAUGAUAUGGCGAGUACAACUUUCAAACUACUGGUUCAGUUGUUCAUGCGGCUCCGUCGUGUAGAGAAUGCAGAGGACGGUCAGCAAUGCUGGCAAGAACAACGAGUGACCGAGGUGGAGUAGCUACGUGCGAGGGAAUGGCUCCCAUUGGAGGAUUGACUGUGGUUAACGGAGUGGUGCUGGCUGGCCAAGGAGCAGACGGACGGGGUGGGAGCCGGCUGUGGAGUGGAGAUGCCUGACAGGGCUCUAGGAUUUCGUGCAUUGCAUGCUGGGGUCGGGAUCAGGAGAAGAGCAGAUACACGGGUACAGUGACAAGCAGCGGGAGUCGUUGGGCUUGCGUGCAGCUCUCGCCGAACUCAAGCUUUGACAUGGCCGAGUUCAAGCUUAGUUUUGUGAGUUUUGACGAGCCUGGACGAGGCAAGUCAUGACCCCGCUCGACAUGGCUUGUUUCCACCCCAUAAGCUAGAGAGACAUCAUUUAGCUUUCUUGUCACCGAGAGGGUUGUUGAUGGAUGCUACAUUUUUCCCAAUACCUUACAAUCCAAUUACAAUUUACCACAACCGGGUAAUAUAUCUAUGAAUCCAUAUACAUAGAAGAAGAACAAAGGAGGAUGUAGAUCAUAUUGUGGUGGCCUGCAUGCUAAUUCCUGCACACAUUGCAAGAGAUGAUGUAUCUUGGGGAAUACAUAUAUAGAGUUGGGCAUGUAAUGGCCAUGUGCUAGCUAAAAAUCAUGUAUUCAGCAGGUACACACAUAAUGUCCUGACUUGUAGAGCUCUUAAAACCAUCGUCAGCCAAUAAUGAUAGAAUCAGUUCGUUAUGAGCAUUGGAGUGCCCUCAUAAAGAAAAAAACUCUUUAGAUGCAGGACACAUGGAGGAGGAUGCUUCUUUACAUCUGCACAAUAGUAUGGUUAGGCCAACCCCAAUGCGGAUCACCAAAACAGACAUUACCAAAUCUCUGCGGGCAGACGCCGUUUAACCGGAGUCACCAAAUAUCUGGUCAAAUCCGAACAGAUAUUUAACAAAAGCCGAUGAAAUUCAUACAACCAGUAGGACAAAAAUUAACAAAGUUUGAAUUAACCGGAAAAAAAAAAUCAAAACUACACUCGAGAUACAGGACGAUGACCUUGUACGCAUGGUCCCUGAGACAGCCGACACCAUAGUCCUUGUCUGCGCCGUCGCCACUGCCGUCAGAGCCGUCAUAUUCAACGUGCUUUCAGUCCACAGGAACAUUGGCAAGCAUCGCGACAACCCUCAUUGGUUACUGCUGCACAAUUGCGGUCCAGUAAGUUGGCCUCCUUCGCCUAGGCAGCGCCUUGGCCGCCUCGGUGGGGAGCCGGAUCCCCUGACGUACGGCCACCUGACGUUGGGCCACUGACGCGUGGAUCCGGGUCCACACGUCAGCGAGUGCGCCGUACGUCAGAGGAGCUGCGUCCCCUCGGUGGUGCCGACACAACCGUGGACUCAGUCGCGCGCAGCACACAUUUGAGCCGGUCCAAGCACUCGGACUCGGCCAACCCCACUUUGAGGAGCUGGUCGCUGAUCUGGCACCCGCCACAAGUGGUGGUCUGCGCGGUGUUCCUGGACCGGUCAAUGCCUAGGCCUUCGCGACUGCACACCUCGCGAACGACACCCGAUGGUAUGCGUUUCAUCACUACUAGAGCGCCGCCUCACAGGCCACCAUGGAGGACACCAUCAUUCUUGAAGACGAGCUGUUGCCACCGAGGUAGUAGGCGAGGUGUCUGCGCUGUAAAAAUUAUUGAAUGAUUGUGUUGUUAUGUGUUGUUGUAUUGAUCUAACACUCGUAGGGGUAUAUAUAAAGUACAACAUGCGAUGAGACUUGGAGUACAAGACAAGUCAUAGUAUAUUAAAACUAAUUCUAUCUCCAUCUCUCCUUAUCUCUAACUGAACACGUUUAUAUUAUUACAUUCCCCCUCACUCGUAGCGGGUCGCCGGAGUGAAGCGGACAAGUACGACUGAAUUUGAAGUCUUGUGCUUCCGUCGUCUUCUCCGCUGCGCCAUCAUCAAUUGCGUCUCUGAUGGGUCGGCACCUAGGGCGGUGACUGCGUCCCCUUCUCGUGCUUCCUUGUCUCUUCCCUCUUCCCUGUCGUAGUCACAGCAGGAGUGACGUGAACGCUGAUGACGACGCGGAAGCUGUUGACUGGAGUUGUUGCCGAUAUGUUGCUGUAGACGUAGCCAUUAAUGUCAAUAUCGAGGUAGCCGAUCAUGGUGAUGUAGCCGUGGUCGAGGUAGUCGUGGUCGAUGGUGUGGUCGUCGUGGAUGAUGAAGCCGCAUAGAGCCUGAAGGCGCAAAAAAUGCGCUAUGACGGAGCUGCAGACGUGGACGAUGCACCUUGCGGAUGUGAGAGGGUGCCAUCGGUGACAAGUUGCCGGUUUUGCCAAGACCAGAGGAAGCCCAUCAAGAACACAUCGGUUUUGCUAGAACCGUGUGGCCAUGUAGGGUCGUCACUGUAGUGACGCCGUGUCGAUGCAGUCGUGCUGUCGUGGAUGACGCCAUCGAUGCUGUCGUCGUUGUCGCGUCUUGCAGAAAAGUCUGUCAGAGGACACUAGGUGUCCAUCUUGUGUACAAGGCAGCGGCGGUGCGUUGACGAAAAUGUUGGUGAAGACCAUGUUGAUGAAGAGCUUGGCGAUGAUGUUGCAGCGGCGUGUCGACGAUAAUGUGUCGCUUGAAGGCGUCCCUCGCGGCGACCAAGUGUCAAUGCCGUGUCGCGCCAGAAAAGUCAAUGAAGAUUGCAUCUCGUUCCACACCGGCCUGACGUGUGGAUGGUGCAUGUUGAGAUCGCUUCUCGUAGACAUACUCGUCGAAGUAUAUUGGCUUGUAGUCUGGCGUAGUGUAUAGCUUGAUGAUGCGGCGUGGGUCGGCGGAUGGUGCGUCGUUCAGUCGCGUGGCCGCCCUCCCGGUCGAUGCCUCGUAUAUGCGCAAAUGGAUGUGUAGCUGGCGGUUGUCGAUGGCUGCACGUGUCGGAGUCCAUGUAUCGCUGCAUGCAUCUCCUCGCAUGGCUGGAUGGGCCUUUGACAAUGGAGGCUGCUGGGGCGGCUUGGGCGGCACCGUAAGCCAGCCGCCGCCCGCUCCCCUCCCUCCAUCUCUUUCCCUCGCCGUCACCUGAGGAGUCCGGCGAGAAAUCUCACUGCGCUUUCGAGGAGGGUGGCAACCAGGCGUUCUCUCUCCAGCCCAGGCGAGUGGUGCGGGAAGCCAACGCGUGGAGUGCUCAUGGCGGCUGGUGUCAAGGCUCUUGUAGAUCCGGCUCGCUGGUGGUCGGGGAUGCAACGUAUGAUGGCGGAUCCGGUGAGCAGUAGGUGCUCCGUUGGUGUAGUGCAGUCGUUGGGCGUCGACGUGGCUUCGGUCGUGGACGUCGGUCCCCAGCCCGGGGGAUCUGGAUCUGGCCGGUCUGCCCCCCUAUCUGCGGGCUGGUGGCCUAGAAGGAGUGCUGCUGGCGGUCGGUGGUGCCCGGUUGGCGCGAGCAAGUAGGCUCUGGCCGUGGUGGAUGCGUGGGGUGCAGGGCCGAUCUGGCUUGUGCAAGCCCGACGUCGCGGGGGCUCAGCGGGCCCGUGUUUGCCGGCGGUGAGGAAGAUGGUGGUCCUGGGCAGUGUUGGCGUGCUCGCUGCGUUGGGGUGCGCGGCCAGCGGAGGUACUUGUCGGCCUUGGCUGGCUGCGUGGGAGUGGUUGCUCCGGGCGAAAGCUUGGCCGGUGCUCGCCGGUCGGCGACGACGGCGCCCGUGGGCGUCGUUAUCCUCCUUGGAGGCAUCGUUGGGAUCUGCAUCCUCUACUCCCGGGUCAGGAUCUUCGGGUGAAACCCAAGAUCCUGCUAUAGGAUCGGGCGGUGGCGUCGUCUUCAAUGUCGUUUUCCCCUCUUUAGAACGCCGUCUUGAAGAUCCUGGUCCCAUUGGUGCCUCCUACGGGCUGGCCGUGCACGGCAUUGUGGCUAUCCGUUUGUCAAUGAGGGUGGUUGGACUUCUAUGGCAACGAUGACGGUGGUGAGCAUGGUCGGGGGCAUGGCAUUGGUCGUGGUAGUUGGCUCUUCUCCGACGUGUCCGUUGGAUGGCCUUAGCUGCUUGUUGCUGUGAAGUCGAAGCCGCGGUGCAGGGCGGUGCGGGGCCCUGGUGGCGUACGACAGGUGCUCCGUUUGGCGAUUCUUCGCGACGCCAACCUUGCCUAGUUCUCCGUAGUUCUUCGUUGGAGUCGAAGCUACGUUGUCUUGUUGUGGGUGGAUGGUGAUCCACAACGUGAGUAUAGUGUUGUUCUGCAGCCAAUAGGUUGUCGUUUUUUUUUCUUUUUUUUUGAUCUUUGGAUCCUCUUCAUGUUGUUUUUCCGUUGCUUUCUGCUAAAUCUAAUCGAAGCCAGCAAUUUGCUGGAUCUUAAAAAAAAAGAUAAUGGAGGCUGCUGGUGGCUGUUUGAGGAGCCGGUGGCCGCUCUGGAUCACGCUUGCGCGAUUCCUGCCGUGCGUGCUCGUGGCCGGCCCUCCUGUGUGGCCUCGGCUGGUGGACGCGAGGAGGUGGUCGUCGUUGCCCUUGAUCUCUCAGCCUGUGCAAAGCUAGCUAGCCUGAGGCUUGAUCCAUCACUGGCCAAAUUACCAAGCUAGCUCACGAUGCGAGGAUGCCGCGGCCGGCGCGGCCUUCCGGAUCGAAGGUGUCGUGUGCCUGGUGUCGAGGGAGCCGCCCAAAGCCACGAGAUGUGUAGCUUGAUGCCGCAGGUGAUCGCCGCCGCGUACGUCGAUAGGUGUUGUACGAUUGGCCGCCGGUAUAAGCACCAAUUUUUGCUGGAAUUUGAGGGCAGCAGGAUUUUAUUUGGUGGCUAAUUGAAUUAAUCUAGUGGAUGGAUUUUGGAAAACUCGAAAUUGGAAACCUAUGAAAAUCUAAUUGGAUCUAAUCUAUCUAAUGAACCGGUCUAUCUUUGAUGGUCGGAAGCCACGCCCUCGGGGAGAGGAGAUUAAUCUACCCGGAGGCGACACACUGCGGAAGUGGUGGAAGGUCCUAGGAUCAGCGUCGUUGGACAAACUGCUCUAAUAUCAUGUAGAAAUUGUAGGAUGGUUGUGUUGUUAUGUGUAGCUGUAUUGAUCUGACACUCGUAGGGGUAUAUAAAAAGUACAACAUGUGGUGAAACUUGGAGCACAAGACAAGUCAUAGUAUAUUAAAACUAAUUCUAUCUCCAUCUCUCCUUAUCUCUAACUAAAUAUGGUACCUGAGCCAAGAGUUUCAAUAAACGAUUCUGCGGUCUACAUCAAUCCCACGUCUAAGGACUAAAAUAGACUAGACGUGAUGGGUGGUGUUGAAGUGUAAUGUCCGGUCCUCUUUCAUAGUUCGGACUGAUGGUGAACUGGUUAAUUGCAUAAACUUACAACCAAGAGGUUCAGGGUUCAAAACCCAGUAAAAGCAAUAAAUAAUUGUGGCCUGCCCCCGCUUGCGCUGCCUUCGUCGUAUAGCCAGUAGCUCCCGGAGUGACAACUGCGUACACCUCCAAGAAUAUUUAUUUAUCAGGUAAGAUGCCUGUGUAAAUUGCAAGAUUUUUGAAAGUUUAAUCAUGACUCUCAGUUGGAAAAAAUAUUUAUAUUGUUGGAGACAAUUGUAAGACUACUGAAUUUAGUUGUGCUGAAACUUUCAACCAAGAUGAAAUGAUUCCACAUUUGGACCCUGGGAUGGUUUCUUCAACCGUUGAUCCUGAUGCUGCUGGAUACGCUGAAAGAGCAAACAAAGCCAAGAAGCCAGUCAAGAUUAGUGCCCGAAGCCUUGCAAAGCCGGAAAGAAACGAGGUGAUGAAAGCUGCAGCAAAAGCUCGGGCAUCAUCCUCUAUUCUCCGACCAAUAGAUGCCCGCCAUGGCAAUGAAGCUGAUAUUAGCUCCAGUGGCAAUGCCAAUGUCAGGAGUAGCAUGAGUGUUGACUACAGUGCUACAAAGGAAUCGAGGAGUGAGAUGCUGCUGUUCCCUCUACGGAACUUGUAUCCGCAGAGUCUUGCCAGUUACGAUGACUAUGAGACUGGCACACAGACUGCAAACAGUUUAAACAGCCCGGUCCACAUCCACAAGUUUGCCCCUCAUGCUCAAUUUCGUGUAGCACCUCAUCCAGCUCCACCUCCUAAAAGGCCUGCGCUAGGGAUUACAAGGCCACAUGUUCCUGCCACACAUAUAAGUAACAACCCAAUGUUCCAGUCAGCCACAUCAUAUGUCAGGGAGAACCGAAGAGCCUCUGUUGUCUGGGAUCAAGAGGCUGGUCGGUACGUGUCAGUGCCCAUGCAAACAACAAGAACAGGGCCCGGUGUUGAGCUGCCUGCAAGAAACCCAAGUUUCUUGGUGAAUCCAAGUGGUGAACCAGGCAACCAUGGGAGAAAUCUUGCACCUGCCAACACAACUUCAUCAGCGAUUCCUUCGGGGCAGCUGUCCGAGAGGUUGACGUACACAGGCCAAUCAAUAUUCUUUGGCGGGCCAAUCCUGAGCACCACUGGCAUAAAUGAAGAAAGGAAUGAGGCGGGCACAAGAGUGCGUCCUGAGACAAGCAGAGAUCCCAACUCCCACCAGCGUGACAUCCGUGGUGAGAAGGCUCGGACAGGCUCCUUCCCGUUGUAUGAGCCUAGGAAUUUCUAGAAGAACCUGCUUUGAUGGCAAGUGACCUUGACUGGCUGUUUUACUCUUCUAUACUAUGUCGUCUGCUCAAGUGCCACCACCACGACAGUGGGGGUGAUGUUGAUGCACUGCACCCCAUGCAGAGUCAGGGAACUGCUAAAAUAGUUGACCCGGGACACAUAGAUAACGAUGCUUCUUAGAGCUUUAUUAUAGUGAGCGAGGAUGGCGCUAACUUUGUUUGAUGUUUUACAAACUGACUGAUAGUCGCAGUUUUAUUUUGCGUGUAUUAGGAGUUGAGAUGUUUGAUGCGCUUGGCAUGUAGUAGAAGAGCUGAUUAAACUUGUCCUUGAUGUGUAGAACCUUGUGAUUUGCCGCUGACUUUGUUCACAUUACGGACUUCGGAGUGUUCAUUGCAAGUCUCUGUUCUAUUACUGCUGUAAUAGUAGCCCACGUGUGAAGGCAUUGUCUCCAACUAUCUUGGCGUUUGACUGCUUUAUUUUCGUGUUGAGAGAAUGGAAUUUGACCGGAUGAUACUGCUUGCUGCAUAAUUGAUGUUCAUUUUCCAAACUAAAUUAGUGAGAUGGGUAUGAUUGCAAUUGAAUAAUUCUUGUUCUGUAUCAUGAGUUCAUAUCUAAAUAAACUGCGGCUUAUUAGUGCCACUGCAUUGCUGUCAACGUGCCAAGGAUGUUGCAAAAUUCCCCGCGUUUAUGUAAACUACUCCCUCUGUCCAAUAAUAUUAUCAGACAGAGGGAGUACCUAUUUGAACAUGGCAAGAAUAAUGAUAGUACCGGAAGUUAAACUUAGUUUCAUUGCAUCCAUAGGUUGUGGAUGCUCUAUGGAAGCAUCACUUCUGCGCCAUCAGGCUCAUUGCCACAACCUUUAGUUAGGAAUCCUGUGUUUAAUUCUCUUUUCUUUACGGGCUGACUUCUUGAUCGAAGCAACAUCUUUCUCAAUACCACACAAUCAGAUUACCAUUCACCUCGCGCGGGAAACAGAUCUUGAAUCCAUAUGCCAUGGGAGAAGAACAAAGGAGGAUGUAGAUCAUACAAUGGCGGCCAGAGUGUUAUUUUUUGUUUUGUUUUUGGAUGAAGUGGUGUUCUGGGUGUUUGCUGUAUGCAUUGCAACAUAUGAUGUAUCCUGGGGAUAUAUAUAGAGAGAUCUAGGGUUGUAAUGACUGUUGGAAAUAUGCCCUAGAGGCAAUAAUAAAAGGAUUAUUAUUAUAUUUCCUUGUUCAUGAUAAUUGUCUUUAUUCAUGCUAUAGUUGUAUUAUCCGGAAAUCGUAAUACACGUGUGAAUACAUAGACCACAAUAUGUCCCUAGUAAGCCUCUAGUUGACUAGCUCGUUGAUCAACAGAUAGUCAUGGUUUCCUGACUAUGGACAUUGGAUGUCAUUGAUAACGGGAUCACAUCAUUAGGAGAAUGAUGUGAUGGACAAGACCCAAUCCUAAGCAUAGCACAAGACCGUGUAGUUCGUUUUGCUAGAGCUUUUCCAGUGUCAAGUAUCUUUUCCUUAGACCAUGAGAUCCUGUAACUCCCGGAUACCGUAGGAGUGCUUUGGGUGUACCAAACGUCACAACGUAACUGGGUGACUAUAAAGGUGCACUACAGGUAUCUUCGAAAGUGUCUGUUGGGUUGAAACGGAUCGAGAUUGGGAUUUGUCACUCCGUAUGACGGAACAAGGUAUUGGGAUACCAACGGUCGAAUCUUGGGCAAGUAACGUACCGAUUGACAAAGGGAAUUGUAUACGGGGUUGCUGAAAUCCUCAACAUCAUGGUUCAUCCGAUGAGAUCAUCGAGGAGCAUGUGGGAGACAACAUGGGUAUCCAGAUCCGCUGUUGGUUAUUGACCGGAGAGCCGCCUCGGUCAUGUCUGCGUGUCUCCCGAACCCGUAGGGUCUACACACUUAAGGUUCGAUGACGCUAGGGUUGUAUGAAUAUGAGUAUGCAGUAAACCGAAAGUUGUUCGGGGUCCCGGAUGAGAUCCCAGACGUCACGAGGAGUUUCGGAAUGGUCCGGAGGUAAAGAAUUAUAUAUGGGAAGUCGAGUUUCGGCCAUCGGGAAAGUUUCGGGGUCCACCAGUAUUGUACCGGGACCACCGGAAGGGUCCCGGGGGUCCACCGGGUGGGUCCACCUAUCCCGGAGGGCCCCGUGGGCUGAAGUGGGGAGGGUACCAGCCCCUGGUGGGCUGGUGCGCUCCCCUGGGCCCCCCUCUGGUGGUUCAUCCGAUGAGAUCAUCGAGGAGCAUGUGGGAGCCAACAUGGGUAUCCAUAUCCCGCUGUUGGUUAUUGACCGGAGAGCCGUCUCGGUCAUGUCUGCGUGUCUCUCGAACCCGUAGGGUCUACACACUUAAGGUUCGGUGACGCUAGGGUUGUAUGAAUAUGAGUAUGCAGUAAACCGAAAGUUGUUCGGGGUCCCGGAUGAGAUCCCAGACGUCACGAGGAGUUCCAGAAUGGUCCGGAGGUAAAGAAUUAUAUAUGGGAAGUCGAGUCUCGGCCAUUGGGAAAGUUUUGGGGUCCACCGGUAUUGUACCGGGACCACCGGAAGGGUCCCGGGGGUCCACCGGGUGGGGCCAUCUAUCCCGGAGGGCCCCGUGGGCUGAUGUGGGGAGGGGACCAGCCCCUGGUGGGCUGGUGCACCCCUCCUGCCCCCCCUCUGUGCCUAGGGUUGGGAACCCUAGGGGAGGGGGCGCCUCCACUUGCCUUGGGGGGCACUCCACCCCCUUGGCCGCCGCCCCCCUAGAGAUCCCAUCUCUAGGGCCGGCACCCCCCUGGGGGUCCCUAUAUAAAGAGGGGGGGGGGAGGGAGGGCAGCCGCACCUGAAGUCUUGGCGCCUCCCUCUCCCCUUGCUACACCUCCUCCUCCCGUAAUCGCUUGGCGAAGCCCUGCCGGAACCCUACUGCAUCCACCACCACGCCGUCGUGCUGCUGGAUCUUCAUCAACCUCUCCUUCCCUCUUGCUGGAUCAAAAAGGAGGAGACAUCAUCCGCUCCGUACGUGUGUUGAACGCGGAGGUGCUGUCCGUUCGGCACUUGGUCAUCGGUGAUUUGGAUCACGACGAGUACGACUCCCUCAACCCCAUUCUCUUGAACGCUUCCGCUCGCGAUCUACAAAGGUAUGUAGAUGCACUUCUAUCACUCAUUGCUAGAUGAACUCCUAGAUGGAUCUUGGUGAAACCGUAGAUUUUUUUUAUUUUCUGCAACGUUCCCCAACAGUGGUAUCAAAGCCAGGUUUAUGCGUAGUUCUCUAUUACAUGAGUAGAACACAAAUCUGUUGUGGGCGUAGAUCUUGUCAACUUGCUUGCCGCAACUAGUCUUAUUUUGCUUCAGCGGUAUUGUGGGAUGAAGCAUCCCGGACCGACCUUACACGUACGCUUACGUGAGACAGGUUCCACCGAUUGACAUGCCCUAGUUGCAUAAGGUGGCUAGCGGGUGUAUGUCUCUCCCACUUUAGUUGGAGCGGAUUCGAUGAAAAGGGUCCUUAUGAAGGGUAAAUAGAAGUUGACAAAAUCACGUUGUGGUUAUUCGUAGGUAAGAAAAUGUUCUUGCUAGAACCCAAUUGCAGCCACGUAAAAGAUGCAACAACAAUUAGAGGACGUCUAACUUGUUUUUGCAGCAAUUGCCUUGUGAUGUGAUAUGGCCAACAGUUGUGAUGAAUGAUGAAUGAUAUAUUGUGAUGUAUGAGAUCAUGUUCUUGUAAUAGGAAUCACGACUUGCAUGUCGAUGAGUAUGACAACCGGCAGGAGCCAUAGGAGUUGUCUUAAUUAUUGUAUGACCUGCGUGUCAAUGAUUUAACGCCAUGUAAUUACUUUACUUUAUUGCUAAACCGUUAGCCAUAGUAGUAGAAGUAAUAGUUGGCGAGCAACUUCAUGGAGGCACGAUGAUGGAGAUCAUGAUGAUGGAGAUCAUGGUGUCAUGCCGGUGACGAAGAUGAUCAUGGAGCCCCGAAGAUGGAGAUCAAAGGAGCUAUAUGAUAUUGGCCAUAUCAUGUCACUACUAUAUAAUUGCAUGUGAUGUUUAUUAUGUUUAUGCAUCUUGUUUACUUAGAACGAUGGUAGUAAAUAAGAUGAUCCCUUAUAACAAUUUCAAGAAAGUGUUCUCCCCUAACUGUGUGCCGUUGCUAAAGUUCGUCGUUUGAAGCACCACGUGAUGAUCGGGUGUGAUAGAUUCUUACGUUCACAUACAACGAGUGUAAGACAGUUUUACACAUGCAAAAACACUUAGGGUUAACUUGACGAGCCUAGCAUGUACAGACAUGGCCUCGGAACACAGGGACCGAAAGGUCGCACAUGAGUCGUAUGACGAUCAACAUGGAGAUGUUCACCGAUGAUGACUAGUCCGUCUGACGUGAUGAUCGGACACGGCCUAGUCGACUCGGAUCGUGUAACACUUAGAUGACUAGAGGGAUGUCUAAGCUGAGUGGGAGUUCAUUAAAAUAAUUUGAUUAGAUGAACUUAAUUAUCAUGAACUUAGUAUAAAAUCUUUGCAAAAUAUGUCUUGUACUCCCUCCGUCCAUGAAUAAGUGUACAUCUAGCUUUUGUCUUAAGUCAAAGUUUUAAAACUUUGACCACCUUUCUAGGAAAAAAUAAAAGCAUUUAUGACACCAAGUUAGUAUCACUAGAUUCAUUUUGAAAUGUACUUUGAUAAUCUAUCAAUUUGAUGUCAUAUAUGUUACUAUUAUUUUCUAUAAAGUUGGUCAAAAUUUUAAAAUUUUGACUUAGAACAAAAGCUAGAUGUACACUUAUUCGCGGACGGAGGGAGUAGAUCAAAUGGCCAACGCUCAUGUCAACAUGAACUUCAAUACGUUCCUAGAGAAAACCAAGCUGAAAGAUGAUGGUAGCAACUAUACGGACUGGGUCCGGAACCUGAGGAUCAUCCUCAUAGCUGCCAAGAAAGCAUAUGUCCUAGAAGGACCACUAGGUGAAGCACCCAUCCCAGAGAACCAAAACGUUAUGAAUGCUUGGCAGUCACGUGCUGAUGAUUGCUCCCUCGUUCAGUGUGACUUGCUUUACAGCUUAGAACCGGGGCUCCAAAAGCGUUUUGAGCACCACGGAGCAUAUGAGAUGUUUGAGGAGCUGAAAAUGGUUUUCCAAGCUCAUGCCCGGGUCGAGAGAUAUGAAGUCUCCGACAAGUUCUAUAGUUGUAAGAUGGAGGAAAAUAGUUCUGUCAGUGAGCACAUACUCAAAAUGUCUGGGUUGCACAAUCGCCUGUCCCAGGUGGACAUUAACCUCCCGAACGAGGCGGUCAUUGGCAGAAUCCUUCAGUCGCUCCCGCCGAGCUACAAGAGCUUUGUGAUGAACUACAAUAUGCAGGGGAUGGUGAAAACUAUUCCUAAAGUAUUUUCAAUGCUGAAGUCGGCAGAGGUAGAAAUCAAGAAAGAACAUCAAGUGUUGAUGGUCAAUAAAACCACCAAGUUUAAGAAGGGCAAGGGUAAGAAGAACUUCAAGAAGGACGGCAAAGAUGUUGCCGCACCCGGUAAGCCAGUUGCCGGGAAGAAGUCAAAGAAUGGACCCAAGCCCGAGACUAAGUGCUUUUAUUGCAAAGGGAAGGGUCACUGGAAGCGGAACUGCCUCAAAUACUUAGCGGACAAGAAGGCCGGCAACACUAAAGGUAUAUGUGAUAUACAUGUAAUUGAUGUGUACCUUACUAGUAAUCGUAGUAACUCCUGGGUAUUUGAUACCGGUGUCGUUGCUCAUAUUUGUAACUCACAGCAGGAGCUGCAGAAUAAGCGGAGACUGGCGAAGGACGAGGUGACGAUGCGCGUCGGGAAUGGUUCCAAGGUCGAUGUGAUCGCCGUCAGCACGCUACCUCUACAUUUACCUACGGGAUUAGUUUUAAACCUUAAUAAUUGUUAUUUAGUGCCAAGUUUGAGCAUGAACAUUGUAUCUGGAUCUUGUUUAAUACGAGAUGGCUACUCAUUUAAAUCCGAGAAUAAUGGUUGUUCUAUUUAUAUGAGAGAUAUGUUUUAUGGUCAUGCCCCGAUGGUCAAUGGUUUAUUCUUAAUGAAUCUCGAACGUAGUGUUACACAUAUUCAUAGUGUGAAUAUCAAAAGAUGUAAAGUUCAUAUUCAUAGUGUGAAUACCAAAAGAUGUAAAGUUAAUAACGAUAGUCCCACAUACUUGUGGCACUGCCGCCUUGGUCACAUUGGUGUCAAGCGCAUGAAGAAGCUCCAUGCUGAUGGACUUUUAGAGUCUCUCGAUUAUGAAUCAUUUGACACAUGCGAACCAUGCCUCAUGGGCAAAAUGACCAAGACUCCGUUCUCCGGAACAAUGGAGCGAGCAACCAACUUAUUGGAAAUCAUACAUACCGAUGUGUGCGGUCCAAUGAGCAUUGAGGCUCGUGGAGGAUAUCGUUAUGUUCUCACUCUCACUGAUGACUUGAGUAGAUAUGGGUAUGUCUACUUUAUGAAACACAAGUCUGAGACAUUUGAAAGGUUCAAGGAAUUUCAGAAUGAGGUAGAGAAUCAACGUGACCGAAAGAUAAAAUUCUUAUGAUCAGAUCGUGGAGGAGAAUAUUUAAGUCACGAAUUUGGUACACACUUAAGAAAAUGUGGAAUCGUUUCACACUCACGCCGCCUGGAACACCUCAGCGUAAUGGUGUGUCCGAACGUCGUAAUCGCACUCUAUUGGAUAUGGUGCGAUCUAUGAUGUCUCUUACCGAUUUACCGCUAUCAUUUUGGGGAUACGCUCUAGAGACAGCUACAUUCACUUUAAAUAGGGCUCCGUCUAAAUCCGUUGAGACGACACCGUAUGAAUUAUGGUUUGGGAAGAAACCUAAGCUGUUGUUUCUAAAAGUUUGGGGAUGCGAUGCUUAUGUCAAGAAACUUCAACCUGAAAAGCUCGAACCCAAGUCGGAAAAAUGCGUCUUCAUAGGAUACCCUAAGGAAACCAUUGGGUAUACCUUCUACUUAAGAUCCGAGGGCAAGAUCUUUGUUGCCAAGAACGGAUCCUUUCUGGAAAAAGAGUUUCUCUCGAAAGAAGUAAGUGGGAGGAAAGUAGAACUCAAUGAAGUACUACCUCUUGAACCGGAAAGUAGUGCAACUCAGGAAAAUGUUCCUGUGGUGCCUACACCAACUGGAGAGGAAAUUAAUGAUGAUGAUCAAGGUACUUCGGAUCAAGUUGCUACUGAACUUCAUAGGUCCACAAGGACACGUUCCACACCAGAGUGGUAUGGCAACCCUGUCCUGGAAAUCAUGUUGUUAGACAACGGUGAACCUUCGAACUAUGAAGAAGCGAUGGUGGGCCCAGAUUCCAACAGAUGGCUUGAAGCCAUGCAAUCCGAGAUAGAAUCCAUGUAUGAAAACAAAGUAUGGACUUUGACAGACUUGCCCGAUGAUCGGCGAGUGAUAGAAAACAAAUGGAUCUUUAAGAAGAAGACGGACACGGAUGGUAAUAUUACCAUCUAUAAAGCUCGACUUGUCGCUAAGGGUUAUCGGCAAGUUCAAGGGGUUGACUACGAUGAGACAUUCUCUCCCGUAGCGAAGCUGAAGUCCGUUCGAAUCAUGUUAGCAAUUGCCACAUACUAUGAUUAUGAGAUAUGGCAGAUGGACGUCAAAACGGCAUUCCUUAACGGACAUCUUAAGGAAGAACUGUAUAUGAUGCAGCCGGAAGGUUUUGUCGAUCCUAAGAAUGCUAACAAAGUAUGCAAGCUCCAGCGAUCCAUUUAUGGGCUGGUGCAAGCAUCUCGGAGUUGGAACAUUCGCUUUGAUGAGAUGAUCAAAGCGUUUGGGUUUAUGCAGAAUUAUGGAGAAGCCUGCGUUUACAAGAAAGUGAGUGGGAGCUCUAUAGCAUUUCUCAUAUUAUAUGUAGAUGAAAUAAUUUUGAUGGGAAAUGAUAUAGAACUUUUGGAAAACAUUAAGGCCUACUUGAAUAAGUGUUUUCAAUAAAGGACCUUGGAGAAGCUGCUUACAUAUUAGGCAUCAAGAUCUAUAGGGAUAGAUCAAGACGCCUCAUAGGUCUUUCACAAAGCACAUACCUUGAUAAGAUUUUGAAGAAGUUCAAAAUGGAUCAGUCCAAGAAAGGGUUCUUGCCUGUAUUGCAAGGUGUGAGAUUGAGCGCGGCUCAAUGCCCGACCACGGCAAAAGAUAAAGAAGAGAUGAGUGUCAUCCCCUAUGCUUCAGCCAUAGGAUCUAUUAUGUAUGCCAUGCUGUGUACCAGACCUGAUGUAAACCUUGCCGUAAGUUUGGUAGGAAGGUACCAAAGUAAUCCCGGCAAGGAACACUGGACAACAGUCAAGAAUAUCCUGAAGUACCUGAAAAGGACAAAGGACAUGUUUCUCGUUUAUGGAGGUGACGAAGAGCUCGCCGUAAAGGGUUACGUCGACGCUAGCUUCGACACAGAUCUGGAUGACUCUAAGUCACAAACCGGAUACGUGUAUAUGUUGAAUGGUGGAGCAGUAAGCUGGUGCAGCUGCAAGCAGAGCGUCGUGGCGGGAUCUACAUGUGAAGAGGACUACAUGGCAGCCUCGGAGGCAGCGCAUGAAGCAAUUUGGAUGAAGGAGUUCAUCAUCGACCUAGGAGUCAUACCCAAUGCGUCGGGGCCGAUCAAACUCUUCUGUGACAACACUGGAGCUAUUGCCCUUGCAAAGGAGCCCAGGUUUCACAAGAAGACCAGGCACAUCAAGCGUCGUUUCAACUCCAUCCGUGAAAAUGUUCAAGAUGGAGACAUAGAUAUUUGCAAAGUACAUACGGAUCUGAAUGUCGCAGAUCCGUUGACUAAACCUCUUUCGCGAGCAAAACAUGAUCAACACCAGAACUCUAUGGGUGUUCGAUUCAUAACAAUGUAACUAGAUUAUUGACUCUAGUGCAAGUGGGAGACUGUUGGAAAUAUGCCCUAGAGGCAAUAAUAAAAGGAUUAUUAUUAUAUUUCCUUGUUCAUGAUAAUUGUCUUUAUUCAUGCUAUAGUUGUAUUAUCCGGAAAUCGUAAUACACGUGUGAAUAUAUAGACCAUAAUAUGUCCCUAGUAAGCCUCUAGUUGACUUGCUCGUUGAUCAACAGAUAGUCAUGGUUUCCUGACUAUGGACAUUGGAUGUCAUUGAUAAUGGGAUCACAUCAUUAGGAGAAUGAUGUGAUGGACAAGACCCAAUCCUAAGCAUAGCACAAGAUCGUGUAGUUCGUUUUGCUAGAGCUUUUCCAAUGUCAAGUAUCUUUUCCUUAGACCAUGUGAUCGUGUAACUCCCGGAUACCGUAGGAGUGCUUUGGGUGUACCAAACGUCACAACGUAACUGGGUGAUUAUAAAGGUGCACUACAGGUAUCUCUGAAAGUGUCUGUUGGGUUGACACGGAUCGAGACUGAGAUUUGUCACUCCGUAUGACGGAGAGGUAUCUCUGGGCCCACUCGGUAAUGCAUCAUCAUAAUGAGCUCAAAGUGGCCAAGUGUCUGGUCACGGGAUCAUGCAUUGCGGUACGAGUAAAGUGACUUGCCGGUAACGAGAUUGAACAAGGUAUUGGGAUACCGACGAUCGAAUCUCGGGCAAGUAACGUACCGAUUGAUAAAGGGAAUUGUAUACGGGGUUGCUUAAAUCCUCGACAUCGUGGUUCAUCCGAUGAGAUCAUCGAGGAGCAUGUGGGAGCCAACAUGGGUAUCCAUAUCCCGCUGUUGGUUAUUGACCGGAGAGCCGCCUCGGUCAUGUCUGCGUGUCUCUCGAACCCGUAGGGUCUACACACUUAAGGUUCGGUGACGCUAGGGUUGUAUGAAUAUGAGUAUGCAGUAAACCGAAAGUUGUUCGGGGUCCCGGAUGAGAUCCCAGACGUCACGAGGAGUUCCAAAAUGGUCCGGAGGUAAAGAAUUAUAUAUGGGAAGUCGAGUCUCGGCCAUUGGGAAAGUUUUGGGGUCCACCGGUAUUGUACCGGGACCACCGGAAGGGUCCCGGGGGUCCACCGGGUGGGGCCACCUAUCCCGGAGGGCCCCGUGGGCUGAUGUGGGGAGGGGACCAGCCCCUGGUGGGCUGGUGCACCCCUCCUGCCCCCCCUCUGCGCCUAGGGUUGGGAACCCUAGGGGAGGGGGCGCCUCCACUUGCCUUGGGGGGCACUCCACCCCCUUGGCCGCCGCCCCCCUAGAGAUCCCAUCUCUAGGGCCGGCGCCCCCCUGGGGGUCCCUAUAUAAAGAGGGGGGAGGGAGGGCAGCCGCACCUGAAGUCUUGGCGCCUCCCUCUCCCCUUGCUACACCUCCUCCUCCCGUAGUCGCUUGGUGAAGCCCUGCCGGAACCCUGCUGCAUCCACCACCACGCCAUCGUGCUGCUGGAUCUUCAUCAACCUCUCCUUCCCCCUUGCUGGAUCAAAAAGGAGGAGACGUCAUCCGCUUCGUACGUGUGUUGAACGCGGAGGUGCUGUCCGUUUGGCACUUGGUCAUCGGUGAUUUGGAUCACGACGAGUACGACUCCCUCAACCCCGUUCUCUUGAACGCUUCCGCUCGCGAUCUACAAAGGUAUGUAGAUGCACUCCUAUCACUCGUUGCUAGAUGAACUCCUAGAUGGAUCUUGGUGAAAUCGUAGAUUUUUUUUAUUUUCUGCAACGUUCCCCAACAAUGACCAUGUGUAGACCUAGCUAUAAAUUAUGCAGCCCUUAGUUACAAACCUGAGUGUCCUGGCUUGCAGUGCCCUCAACUGCAUGUAGCCAUGAUACAACUGAUUCGGUUACGAGCAUUGGAAUGCCCUCACAGAAGCAAAAAGUAAAAUCUGAGAGUUAAGAAAAAACCCUAAUGAUACUUCCUUAGAAUCACAUGACAAUCAUGGUUAGCCACAUAAACCUGAUAUCAACAAUAGAUGACGGUUCCAUAGAGCAUCUACAUCCCCUGGAGAUAAACCUCUAUAUAUCAUGUAGGAAAAAAAUGCUAGCUCUAAAUCACACUUUUUAGUCUUUCCCGACUCCAUUGAUAUCAUGUGAACCAACCUGUAGUUGGAUGGUUAGGAGACCAAUGGUAUCCACAGUCCACCAGAGUUGUGUUAAAAAACAAAGUCCAUUGAUAUCAUUACAAUAGUAAUAACCAAGUAACUAAAUUGAAGUAGUUAAGAAGAAAUUCAUAGAAUUUAUCCUCUUUGAGAGAAAGAAGGCUAGUUUAAGAUGAAAGGAAGCAAGGUAACUUCGCCUUGAUUAGUACUAGUAAACAUUGUUCAUGGCACGUUUUCCUGAUCUUGAUAUGCACUGCACAUAGCGUGAUCCUUUCCAUGCACUUGUUGAAACAAAAUUGCUGCUUUAGACAUCUUGUCUUUUACUCUUAUUUAUUUUAUCACAUACUUCAGAGCAACUGAAGUGUUGAUGAAUGUAAUGACUAAUAGAGUAGAUUCUUUGGGGCAUCCCCCACGACAUUGCUCCUACGAGCGACGGGGGGAAACCCUAACCGCCAUCCCCUCAACCCCCUCCUCCCCUCCUCUCGUCUCGCCGUCGCCGGAGCUCGCUGGCGGGCAAAGCUCGGUCAGCGGCGGCGGGGCAUCCUCUCCUCUUCGUGUGGGGCCGGGCGGCGCGUGACGCCUUCUUCGCGCAGGGGCGCGUCGCUAUGCGGUGCAUGGCGGUGUAGGCGGCCGAGCCUCGGCAUGGAGGGCUGCUUGGCAGCGGUGGUGGCGGCGGCUAGUGCGUGGCGGCGAUGGACCAGGCUAGAUAGGAUCUGGAGGGUUCUUGGCGGUGGGCGGCGCGUGGGUGGGCAACGACUUAGCAGGGUCUCUCUGGCCAUGGCCAGGACAGCGUGCAGGCCACUGUUGCAGGGGUUCCGAGGCUGCUGGUCAGAUCCGCCCAGAUCUGGCCCCUGGGCACCGACGGGCGGCUCGGAGUGGUGGCCGCAGUCUCCUGGUUGAGGCUUGGAUGUGGCCUGAAACGGCGUGGUGGCAGCCCAUGGCAGUGGGCUAGGUCAUUCCAUGAUGGCGGCUGGACAUCUUCGACGUCGGUCAUCGUGGACCGGCUCUUGUGAUGGCGGCCUUCUUCCUGCGUCGGCUCGUCCGUAGGUGGCCUGUGGAGGCCUUCGAUCCCGCUCCUUGUCGUCCGAUGCUACUUUUGUCGCAGGGCUGGCCCUCUCCCAGCUGCGCUCCGUCGCCCAUCUCACGCCUAGUGCUGCAGGACCGAGCUCGUCUUCCGCCUGGCAGCAGGACCAACCUCAUCUCACACUUGGCAGCAGGACCGACCUCGUCUCGCGUCCGGUGCUGCAGGAUAGGUCGAUGGAGGCUAGUUUUGGCCGGCCUGGUGGUCUCGGUGCCGAGGGCCGCCCAGGGGUGUGAAAGAUGGAACCUUUCUGCUUGUCUCUUUGGCUGGGUUAGUGGCGGGCCUCAGGUGAGGUGGUGUUAAGGUCUUGGAUGCCAGGGCGGCGGCCCUGGUGCUGGUAGCAUGAUGCUCUUGGGCAGAGCCCGUGGCUUGGUGCUGCCCGGUGGCCAUGGCCGUGUGGGCGGCAUGGCAGCUGGGGUGUGGAGUUCAGUGGCGGUGAGUAUUGACCGGGGUGAAAACCUAUUCUAUUUUUUGAUGGACCGGCAGCGGCGAAGCUUGUUCCCUUCUUGAAGGUAUCGCCGCGACUCUCAUAGCCCGUCGUGUUGCUCUAGGGGAAACUCUGAUCCUUGGGUAGGGCGGUGGCAGCAAUUUGGUAUUGUAACCUUCCUAAAGACCUCGCCUUGGAGCCUACGGUUCGUCGUAUGUGGCUUCAUCUCUUCACGUUGGUGUGUUCACGGUUGAGGAUCCCGGUUGCUCAUGUAGUGCUAGGGGUGGUGUUUCCGCGCUCAACGACUAUAUAUGUAUCCUGCCUUGGGUGUGUGCAUGUGUUGUGUUGGCAUGCGUUUGUACUGGGUUGUUGUUGAUCGUUGUUGUAUAUAUAAAGCGGGGCGAAAGCCUUUUUGGUACAUGACUAAUAGAACUAUGUAUAGACCUCCCCCUUUUUGCAUCCAUAAACACUUAUAUUUGAGUAAGGAUAGAGCAAUUAUGAUAUGGUGAGUACAACCUCCAAACUGCUGGUUCAGUUGUCCCACGGUCCAGCCGCAUAGAGAAAACAGAGGUACUUUCAGCAAUGGUGGCAAGAACCGCGGGUGCCCGCGGCGGAGUGGCUACAAGCAACAGAGUGGCGGCGACUAGCGGAGGUGCAAAUGGAGAAGGUGAGGGCGGGUGCUAGGGCGGAGAUGACCAAUAUGGAGAUCUAGUACCCAAGGUAUCGCGUGCGGUUGUUCAAUGCUGCAUAGGCAAGCGGAGGGAGUUUUUGGGCUCGCAUGCAAUCUAAGUCAAACUCAAGCUAUGACCAAGCCAAGUUCAAGGGCAGCCACAUAAGCUUAGACGGGCCUGGUGAGGCAGGUCCAUGAGCGGGCUCGGCUUGGAUUCUUUCCAACCCAACCAACAACCUCAAGCCAGACAACCAACAUUUAGCUUUCUAUUUUCACAUGGUGGAUUAGUGACAAUAGCUACAUUUUCCCCUAUGCCUCUCAAUCUGGUUACCAAAUCCAUGCACCUCAGAUGGGUAACAUAUCUUGAAUCCGUAUGCCAUAGGAGAGGAACAAAGGAGGAUGUAGAUCAUACCAUGGUGAUAGGGUGGUAAUUGUUACAUGCAUUGCAAGAGAUGAUGUAUCCUGUGAGAUAUAUAGAGAGAUGUAAUGGCCAUGUGGGCCGACCUAGAUAGUAUGUAUCAUGAAAGUACACACUUAAAUGUCCUGACUCAUACAGCUCUCAACCACUUGCAAACAAUGCUAUAAUUGUUCUGUUGACGAGCAUUGGGAUGCCCUCACCCCUCACCCCACCCACACAGGCACACGGGAAUGGGACGGGAUGAAACACAUAGUGAGGAUGCUUCCUUCUACAUUCAUAACCAGGAUUUGCAAUCCUGGAUAACUACGAGACUUCAACACAGAAUAUAAAUUGUUUAACCAGCUAGGUACACUUCCCCCUCAUGCUCAAUUUUGCGCCACACCUCAUCCGGCUCCACAUCCUAAAAUGCAUGCACUAGGGAUUACAAGGCCAGUUGUCCUACUACACAAAUAACCAACCCAAUGGUUCUAGUAACCACACAAUAUGCCUGGGAGAACCAACGAGCUUUUGUUGUCUAGGAACUAGGAUCAAGAGGCUAGUCGGUACGUGUCAGUGGUUCGGUGCCUACACAAAUAAGAAUAGGACAUUGCGUCGAGCCGCGAAAGCUAAUUUUCUUAGCAAAUCCAAGUGAUGUACCAGGCAACCAUGGUAGAAAUCUUGCACUGUGAAAAAAAAUUCAUCAACGAUUCCUUUAGGGAAGCCGUCUGAGAUAUUGACGUACACAUGGAAUACGUAUUCUUUGGCGGGCCAAUCUUGAGCACCACUGGCAUAAACGCAGAAAGGAAUGAGGUGGGCAAAAGAGUGCGCCCUGAGGGAAGGAGAGAUUCCAACUCCCACCAGCGGGACAUCCGUGGCGAGAAGGCUGGACAUGCUCCUUCUUGUUCGAGCCUAGGAAUUACUAGAAGAAACUUCUUUGUUGGCAAGUGACUUUGACAGGAUGUUUUACUCUUCUCUAUGUGGUCUGCUCAAGUGCCACCAUGACAGUGGGGGUGAUGUUGAUGCACUGCACCCCAUGCAUAGACAGGGAAAUACUGAAAUGGUUGCUCCUCUCAAGUAGAAAAUAAUACAAGGAAGACGAUGAUCUUUAGAGCUUUACAGUGAGUGAGUAUGGCACUAACUUUGUUUGAUGUUUACGGACCGACUGAUACCCAGUUGUUUUUCUUUCACAUGUGUUAGGAGUUCAGAUGUUUGAUGCGCUUGAUAUGUCACAUAAGAGUUGAUUAAACUGUUUGAAUGUGUAUAACCUUUUGAUGAGGAGGUCCAGCGACCGCCCCGGUGGCUCCCGCGACGCACCCUGCGCGCGUAUCGGGGGAUCCAGAUCUGCCGCUGGCGGGCAGCUCCCUCCCCCGCCCCCUCAUCCCCCUCGCCGCUGCCAGAGGGCGUCCGCCGGGCAAAGCCCGUGCGGCGCUGGCAGCGGUGGGGCCUCUCUCCUCCCUCCCCUACUCGGGAUACCGCUGACGCGGGUCAGCCGACCGUGGGGGAGUUGGAUCAGGCGAGCUCUCCGGUGGCGGGGACGCGCAGAUUCUGAAGUAGCUAUGCUGGGAGUCGGUGGUGCAGCUCUGCAGCGGUGGUGGUAGGGGACAGGUCCGACGAGGUCGAUCUAGUUCCCUCAGGGCUGCGGGUGUCGCUGGUGGCAGUGGCCACGAGAGAGGGGGCUGCUCCCAUAUCUGGGGGUGGCGCUGGCGCUGCGAUGCACUGGUCUUGGCCAUGCUGGGCGGCGCGCGAGGCGGUGGCGACCAUGGAUCUCGAUCUGAAGUUGGAGGCUUUCACCAGCAGCUUGUCCUCCUUGACCGGCCGAGAUGUGGGCGUCCUCCUAGCGUCCUGUUUGAUGGCGGGGCGCUGGGUGUGGGCACUAGGUCGGGGGAAACCCUUGACCGGCGAUGCCGGGCACGAUGUUGGCGACGCCGGUGGCGUCGUUGUCCCUCUGGUGGGCAACAUCGAGUCUUACUUGAUGCCCUCCACCUACUGGUCUCGGGCGAAAGCCUACAAUCUCUAGAUUGGGGCGGCGAUGGCGCGUCAGCGUCAUGUACUUCUUGAAGGCGCCUUCUUGGGGGAUCAGCGGUCUUGGAUUUGGCGUGGUGUUGGUUUGUUUCUUCAGUGGAGUUCAUGCUCGAUAGUUGCAGUGGGCUUCUGGGUCUUGGCCAGAGACAGUGGCGAUGUAUGGGUUUCAUUCAGAGGUGAGGUUGCCAGGGUGGUCGCUCUCUCCUUGACAUCUGGUUCACUGGUCCAAGGGUGCUCGGGGGUGAGCUGCUUUGCCUACUGAUGGGUCGACUUCCUUCGAUCCAGGACGAGAGGGUGGGGGUGCCCUCUUCAGCGGCAUAUUUGGAUGGUGAACCGAGUGGCCCUGGGAGGCGACGAAGCAUGGCUCUCCUCCAGCGACGAUUAGCUCCCUUGUCGCGGGCGUGUCCAUGUCAUGAUCUGUAACCGUCAUGGGCUCCAAAGUGCUUUUGGGUUCUUCGGAGCUCGUUAGCUGUUCCGUAGUGCUUUGUAUCCGUGUUGAUUGUAUUUUCCUUUUCCUGUUGUCCUGUUGGUUGUAAGGUGUGGUCAUUGCUUUAUAUAUAAAGUGGGGCGAAAGCCUUUUUCGGCAGAACCUUUUGAUUUGCAGUUGACUUUUUUCACAUUGCAAACUUCGGAGUGCUCAUUGCAAGACUAUGUUCUGUAACUGUGGUAAUUGUAGCCCACGUGUGAGGCCAUCAUCUUGAACUAUCUAAGUGUUUGAUUGUUUUCUUUCAUUUGUGUUGAGGGAAUGAGUUUAACUCAGAUGACACUGCUUGCUGGGUAACUGUUGUUCAUUUGUCAAAUUGAAUUAGAGAGACUGGCUAUGAUUACAGUUAAGCAAUUCUUAUUCUUAUCAUGAGUUCAUGAAUAAUUAAACUAUGGCUUCAUUAGCGCUAACACAUCGCUGCCAACAUGCCCACUGCUUUAGGAACUAGAUGCUUCUUACACUACCUAUUUGAACAUCUCAAAAAUAAUGGUUGUGUCAGGAGUUAAACAUAGUUUCAUGAAUCCAUAGGUUGUGGAUGUUGUAAGGAAGCAUCAUUGCACCCUCAGGCUGGUUGCAACAACAUUUAGCCAGGAAGCCGGGGCUCUUCUCUUUUCUGUAGGAAGUGACUUCUUGAUGGAAGCAAUAUCUUUCCCAAUACCUCACAAUCCGAUUACCAUUCAUCUCACAUGGGAAACUCAAUUCAUAUACCAUGGGAGAAGAAGAAAGGAGAAUGUAGAUCAUACUGUGGUGGACACCCUGUUUUUUUUAUAAAGUCGUGGCCAUGGUGUCUGUUGUAUGCAUUGCAAGAGAUGGUGUAUCAUGAGGGAUAUAUAUAGAGCUAGGGAAUAAUGGCCAUGUGUACAUCUAGCUAUAAGGUAUGCAGCCCGUAGGGUACAUACCUUAAUGUACUGGCUUGUAGAGAUCUCAACCCCCUUCAUCCAUGAAGCAAUUGAUUCCCUUACGAGCAUUGGGACACGCUCACAGAAUGAAAAAAAAACUGAGAGGUAAGAAAACCGAAGGUACGUCCUUAGAAUGCACGACACGCGUGGUUAGCUAUCUAAAAACUGAUGUCAAUAAAAGAUGACGGGUCCUUGGAGCAUCCACAACCCUUGGAGCCAAACCUCUAUAUAUCACUUAUGUAGGAAAAAAACCAACCUAUCUCUACAACACCCUUUUCAAUCUUCUUUAAUCCCAUUGAUAUCAUCACCAUAGUAAUAAAAUAGUAAUUGAGUUAAGUGGGCUUUUUAGAUAAGAAGAAAUUCAUAUAAAUCCUUGUUGAUAGAAAGAAAUAUAGUUUCACAUGAAAAGAAGUGCUCGUGGAUGUGGAUGUGACCACAAUGAAGUAUCCCCCCUUUGCAAUCAAUCUAUAAAAUCUGUUGGGCAUCUUUUCAUUGAGCUCCCAUUCUCCAUCUAAACAUGGUUUAAGCUCAGCCUAAUGUGCAUUGACUUAAGCUCCAUAAAGAUCAAUGCCCUCGGAACCAUCAAUGAUCGGUGGAGCAACAUCGUUGGUGAGAACCAAAAAAAUGCAACUGCGGUGCCAAAUUUUCCGGUCAUAUUUGGAACAAAUUAAACCACUGUAUUUUUCAUAACUCCAUCACCAACCAUGACUUUGUCGUCGGUUAGAUCAACUCUGUUCUGGAUGCCCCAAAUCUAGAGAUUUUAUCUCUCUCGUCGUUGUACAGUCAGCGCCUAACGGUGAGUGAACCCUCUUUUUUUUCUCUUGAACUCUUACAUAUAUCUUCCUAACCUAUAAUCUGAAGGUAGAGAUGCUGCCAAUUUAGCUUAAAAAAUCUUUAAAAAAUAGAUGAAAAGGAAGUCAUGUAACUUUAUCUGCUUUUUAAAUACCAGUAAACAUUAUUCUUGCCACCUUUUCCUGAUCCUGGCAUGCACUGCACAGAGUACCAUAUUUUCCAUAGACUAGUUGAAUCAAAAUUGCUUCCCUAAUCAUCUCGUCCUUUACUCUUCAUUAUUUUAUGAAAAAAUUCAGAGUGACAAAGGUAUUGAUAAAUGAAAGGACUAGUGCUAAACAUAAACCUUUCUUUUUUGCAUCCAUAAAAAUAUCCAUUUCAUUAAACAUAUAACACUUAUGGUGAGUGCAACUUCGAGACUGUAUCACAAAUCUUCAGAAUGCUUGGACAUAUGAAUGAUAUGAUCCCCCUGGAACCAUGAAAUGAAGCCUUAGAGAAAGUGUUUGGAAUAUGACGAAGACGAGCAAGCCUUUGUCGGCGAGUGAUAAGAGAAAUGUAGGAGCUUGCCAGGACAACUUGGUAAGCAAGCUACCUAUUAUGUAGGCGCCAACUCCCAGCUUUUUCUCUUCUUUCUUUUUGAUUUUUUAUUCUCGUUUUUUGUAAGCUGUGGUUGGCAAACCAUCUAGCUAGGAUAUGAAAGAGUGGUGGUGACCGGCGGAUUGGCAAUGGCUAAGGAGCAAGGAGCGGUGCUGACUGGCGGAGUAGCACUGUAGCAGCGGCCGGUGAAGGAAAAGAUGGAUGGCGUGGGGGCCGAUGAUAGCUCUAGCAUGCGGGGCCUCAAGUGUGGGGGUCAAGAUUGAAAGGAGGGCUCGUGUGCCGGUGCAUGAGAGAGAGAGAGAGAGAGAGAGAGAGAGACAAGCUGAGAACAUGAGGGAGUUGCUAGGCUCACGAGUAGAUCGUCUCAAUGUCGAGCUUUGGCCAAGCUGAUUCCAAGUCCAACUUUGAAAGCUUAGACGAGCCACCAUGAACCAGCUUGGCUCAGCUUGUUUCCAACCCAAGGAGUAGCCUGUAGCCAGAUAGUCAAUGUCGACCUUUGUUUUUCCACAUGAAGGGCUAAUGAUAGUAGCUACAUUUUCCCCAAUGCCUCUCAAUACGAUUACUACUCACCUCAUACGAAAUAUAUCUUGAACCCAGACGCUAUAGGGGAUGAAUAAAGAAGGAUUUUGCUUAUACCAUGGUGCCCAGUGGUGCCAAUUGUUGAUUCUUGAUUGCAUUGCAAGAGAUAAAAUUGUCAUGGUGGAGCAGGGAGGUUUUGUUGUCCAUGAAUAGACGCAAACGGUUGUCGACGCAAGUGAUAGCUAGAAGUUGGUGCAUCUUGUGCUGGGUUUGUGGUUGGAGGCUGACAGUUCUGGCUUCCUCCUCCGAUGUCGUCAUCGUGUGAGGGUGUCAGAUCUGAAGUUCGAUGGUGUGUCCGGGGACAUUUUGCCCCGGUCUGAUUCUUUCAACGACAAUGGUUUAGUUUCUGGCAAACUACUUUCAAGGUCCGUAAAGCUGCCGAUCAGUGAUGGAGCCGCAUCAAGUUUGGGUGAAGAGGUGAUCUUUCUUCUUUCCCUUUGGUGGCUGCUUCGGUGGUGUUGAAGGAGAGGGGCUGCGUGGAUAUUUUGUGUAGGAUUAUCCUAUCUUUUUAGUCCUGUAAAGUCGAUGUUUACGUGCCUUAUAAUUUGAUUUUUAUUCUACAAAUGAGACACGUAUUAUCAUGCAAAAAGGUACAAAACUAAAUGUGAUGACUUGUACAUUUCUUGACCACUGUACCCGCAACCAAUGAUGCAGGUUCGUUUACGAGCAUCACACACACCCACGCUCGCGCACACACACGCAAACGUGAUGCAACACAAUGUGAGGAUGCUUCCUUUGAAUUAUGUGACAAGCAGGAUAAAGGCAUCUCUAGCAGAUCCUUUAUAUCAUGCACCCAUAUAUCGCGUUUACAGUUCGUGGCUGUCUUCGGAUAUGGGCUGAAUACAGUUGCGGCUGAACAACAACCGAAUACGAACCUGCAAAAUUUGUAAUCACAUAUUCGCUCGAGAAAUUGUACUAGUUUAGUAGGACUGCUAACACUUGAUCAUCUUAAAAAGUCAUACAAAGUAGAAAUUUUACACCUAAUAUUUGGAGGAGCAGGCGCCACCAUAACCCUAGUUACAAAAUUGGGCUCAUCAGAGCCGGGGGGAUUGCAGCGGCGACACUGUAGCGGAGGAGGAGCUCAGUCCACAUCGUCGGAGACGAGGUCGACGUAUAGACCUCGUCCUGCUUUUUGGCUACGAGGCGCCACUCUUCCAUGUUAGCCGCAAACUCCUGCGCCCCCGCGAUCCCCUGCUCGAGGAAGAUUCUAUCGAUGUCGAUGUCGACGUCCCGUUGACGGUGCUGCUUUGCCUCCUCCGCGUAGAGCGCGCAUGAUGGCAGCCGCCAUGACAUCCGCCUCCGCCGGGGGGAGGUAAUCCUCUGGCCCGACGACGCUCUGCCGCUCCGGCUCCCUCUUUACCGCGUGGAGCGGCGGGAGCUCCUCUGGCUCUCUUUUCACCGGGGUGAGCGGCGUCCUCGAGCUCGAGGCACCGGCGGAGGAGCCGGAGGACAGCCCGCGGUGGAGGAGUGCCUGCCUACGGUUGUACUCCGUCUCGCGGCGGAGGAGCGAUGGCGGUGGCGAGAGCCCGUUGUUGGUGUACCCGGGCGCUCCUUUUCCUCACGGCGUCGGCGGUGACGCACCGCCUCCGCUCGGGGUCGUCGCCACUGCCGGUGCCGCGGCCCGCCGACCACGUUCCGCAUCACAUCAAGAGGGGAGAGGGGGAAUUGAAGUCGCCGGCGGAGAGAAAUCGAGAGGGAGGAUGGGGAAUUGCGGCGGCGCGGAUAGGGUUUCGACCCGUAUUUCAGCCGCAAACCCUUACAUAUAUUGCGUGCGAAGGGGGGGGGGCAAUUUGCGGGUCACUGUAAAAGAAAUUAUGGGUCGGACGAUUAUAUAGGCUCUGGUCUUGCCCAAAAAAGGGGCCAAACCUGUAUAGUCGUCGAAUUUUUACGGGCCAUCCCAUUUUAAGAGGUCUGCUAGAGAUGCUCUAAGCCAUCUUAAAACAUGUAUUAAAGCAGAAGAUGCUUACUUAGAUCCACUAUUGGCUUUUCAUUAAACCUGAAAUACAAUUUAUAGAAAUUAAAAAAAAGAUGUAAUGUUUAUGCACGAGACCAGAGCACACUUAUUGAGACUGAUAUUGAUUUAUUGUGAAGCCAUCAUUUUCCAUGAAUCCAGUCAUAGGCCUGGGCGUUCGGUAGAAACCGGAACUGUUCGUUUUUUUAAAUUCGGUUAGCAAAAGUCAAAACCGAAAUAGGCAUGGAAAUCAAUUAACCAAAAAUCCAGUUAACCAAUUUAUUUGGUUCGGUUUCCGGUUUUAACCCAAAUUUGGAUUAAGCAUACAAAACACAGUUUCAGUGCCAUAUGCACAGUUUCAGGAAAUUUAUCAUAUGAACACUUGAACAGAAAAUGAACACAAUAGACAAUCCAUCAUUCGCUGCUGAAGUACAUGUCCACGAACAUCAUAUGAACAUGCAUCCAUCCAAGUUACCAAUACAACAGUGCAAUAACUAAACAAGAAUUUGAGGCGGAGGAUGGGACGACUGGAUGGACGGACAAGCGAGCGAGCUACAAUCGGCGAAGCAAUAGGGGGCGCUGCGCUCCUCCUCUGGUCCUUUCCUCUGCGUGCAGCGACUGCGUGAUGGUCGGCGGCAGGUGAGAAGGUGAGGGAGGAGAUGGGGGAGAUCCCAGGCAUUGGCAGUGGGCAUACAAGACGGCCCGUCGGCUUUUAGGGAGUCGAGGUCGGGGAUGUGGGAGAAGAUGUGGUGGUGGCUCACCGAGUGGCGGCCGGCGGCGGCAGCGGUUGAAUCGGGGCGGGGGGUUGAGGAUGGAGAACGAAUGCUAGGCUGUUGUGUCCCUUUGUCUAGUAUACGUGGUACGGUUGUGACCUAGGUCUAGUACGUGGCUACCGUCGGCGUGCCACUUCCAGGAGUUCCUAGUUGGGCCGGCCGGCCGAGAGGGCUGCAUGAUUUCGGCUUCUUUGGUUAACCGGUAGAAAUACCGAAACCGACCGAAUUGAGUUCGGUUAGUAACACAGGUAACCGAAUUUUCUACGCUCGUUAAAAAAAACGACGGUGUUGGUUUCGGUUCAGGUUUUGGUUGGUCGGUUUUUAUGCCCAAGCCUACCGGUCAAGAUCAAUGCUCGGAGCCUUUCAAAGCUUGAUAUAUAAACGAUGUACCCAAAGCGGCAACAAAAGCUCGAGCACCAUCCUUGUUGGAUUUCACCCAGGAGGGAUCACAUGAAAAACCACACGAACAUACAUAUAUGACCGAAACAAGUUAGCCAAAGUCAUGUGCCAUGCGCCUUUCUUUUUCAUUUCUUAAAUUCAUAACUAAAUUUUGGGACCCAUAUGUAGCACAUAUAUCUGAACCUUAACUCCACCUAAUACUAGCCAAUCAGGAACUGGUGGUAAUACACUAAUACUAGUCAGUCACGUCUGAGCCUACAGGAACAUGUAAUUCGUAAUCCAACUUUCUUGCAGUUGUUGGUCUGCGUUGUGCUAUGAAUCAUAGCCUAUGAUUAUAAUCUGCUGUUAAAAAAUAAGCAUCAAAAGUAGAUGCACGCAUGCAGAUUAUAAUCCUCCUCCACAAGAAAAGAUCCCAGCACUAUUGGAAUUUUUACGUACGCCGGGUGUAAUGCUCUUCGCCGAGUGCUAAAACACGGACAGUCGGCAAAGCAAGCUUUACCGAGUGUCACUCUCGGCAAACCCACCUUCACGGCAAACUGCAAUCUUUGCCGUCACUGCCUCACGGCGAAGAGGCACCGUAUGGCAAACCCUGUAGACGCCGAGAGCCGCUCAUGGCAAAGAGUAGCCACGUGGCAUGCCCGUCCGCAACAGACGGCUCCGUCAGUUACUGCGUACUUUGCCGAGUGUCGCUCUCGGCAAAGCACAUACAACAUCCUAUAUUUUUUUUUGUGUGUUCUUUCUAACUGACAUGUGGUCCCACUGGUGACAUUUUAUCAGUAAAAACAAUGACGAUAUCUUUGCCCAGAGGUGCUCUCGGUAAUCCUUCAUGGGAGCUGACAGUUUACAUAGCUUUGCCGAGAGCUAGGCUCGGCAAUGCUCUCCUUUUUUGAGAGCUUCUGUCGAAAAAGUUGUGGCACAACAGUAGUGUCCCAGACGACCAUGUUUCCGAGAGUUGCUCUCGGUAGUCUACCUUUUUCCGAGUGUUGCUCUCGGAAAUCUUUCCCAUCCAUUCUGCUGUCAAGCUAUUUCUUUUCUGAUCCCUGCAGAUAAAAACCACUACAGUGCAAUUUGAUCUAGUCCACACAUAUAUAGGCAUAAUUUGAUCAUAUAUAGGCAUAAUUUGAUCUAGUCCACCUAUAUAUGCAUAAUUAGGGAUAGUCCACAUAUUGUCACACACAAGUCGAAUGUAUUAUCCUAGUAGACGUCACACACAAGUCGCAAAUUCAUACAUAUUGUCACUGCUUGCAAAACACGUGCACGUCACAAUAGAAGUACACUUGUUCAUAUAUAGAUCAUCUUGAUGAGGAGAGGCCAUCGGGUUAACAUUCCGGAGGAGGAGGAGGGGCAUCACUUGCACUGCUUAGAGAUUGCAUAAGAAUCUAUAAGAGUAGACUCACGUGAGGGUGGUUCGUCCCUAUGUAAUGAAUCUUCUACUCUAGUUUAGAUAAUGUUCUACCUGUAGUUGAUCCUCAAGCAUCUUCAACCUAUUGUUAGUGUCUGCCCGUUCCUUUUCUCUGGACUCCUCCUCAGCCUUCCGCCUUUGCUCCUCUUCAACAGCCCGCUGCGCCAUUAAAUCCUGUAACAUGGCAUUAGGCUCAUAUAGGUUGAAACGGUGCUAUUUCAAGGCAUGUACAUAAAUAAAAGGUUAGGAUGCUAACCUUGAGACGCGCUAUCUCACAUGAUGCGGCAGUUGGGCGACUCCGUAUGGACGGAGUGAGCUGGUGCUCGACGCACGUAUCUCGUGCAGCUUGCGGUGCCCAGAGGUGGUGGUCGCCCCGUUGCAAAGGAGGUGGCGACCAUGGCCCUUCCCCUGGCCAGCAAUGAUGAGAAGCUCAGGGUCAAGGGGCUUGGACGUAGGUUCGGCUUCCUUCCCGUGCACCUCCUAGAAGACCUCUUUGAAGGUCCCCCACUUCUCCUCCGCCGACUUGCUGCAGAACUCGGCGCCAUCCUUCCCCUUGUGGCCUUCUUUCCAGGCUUCCAGGAUGUGGACCGGUCGACCAACCUUCGCCUCCUGCAAAAUUAACCAUCAAGUUGAAUGAACCAAGAUGCACCGUGCGAAAAAGUUAACAUCUUAAUCCACAUACCAUGUGUUGCUUGAGAGCGGUUAGGUUCCGGCUCCCCUAGACAUGGGCCGGGCCUGGCAUUUUGGCUCGUUCGUUUCCCUUCUCCACAUGCUGCGCCUGCCAUGCUGGGUCACACCACAUGUCAACCAGGGCCUCCCAACAAUCGUCCUUCAUCCAGGGUUCCUUCACCUAGUCAGAAAAAAUCGAAUAAUUGAGGAACAAGAGGGAUGAAUCAAAGUACUAGCAACCGAUGUAGUCACUUACCACUAACAGGUAUUCUUCUCGCGACAAGUUGGUCUGGCAAGCAGUCUUCCUUGUCAUCUUCUCGCCCUUCUCAUUGAGCGGCCGACACUGCAUCACGGCUUUGUACCACAGCGUGUGCUUGGUGUCAGAGAGUAUCUUUCGGUCAGAUUUCACGAUGCCUUUGAUUGCCUUCUGCUGCUCACCAUCCACGCAAGCAAAUGUUUGCUACAAGAAAGCAUAUGGCAUCUUCUCACCAUCCACGCAAGCAAGGAUUUGGAUAUGAAAAAAUGCAGUGGUCGGAGCUAAGAUACUUACAAAAAAGCAUUGAUGACCCGAGUGGCCAUGGUGACAUCGUGCUCAUCCUUGUUGUGUAGGUAAUGCUCCCAGGUUAAACCUGGCGACGGCGGAUCGUCAUCACCCGGCUUGGACAAUCCAGGGAAGUGCUUCCUCAAGAGGGAGCUGAUGAUGUGGUUCGGCGGGCGUGCCCCCUUAGGUUGUGUCAGGAUAAAUUCCCACCGACUGCAUGAUAUAAAAGACAAGCAUAUGUGAGUGUCAAAGCUAUGACAUCCAAAAUAUGAUGCAAAUGAAAUGCUUGCUUACCCCUCUCCUGUCGGGCAAAUGACAGGAUGGUUGCUGGCAGCAGUUGGUUCCGGGACCUUCCCCGGACCACGCCCGGAUUUCUUCCUCUUGGAAAUGUUGCUCGAUGUAGACCCCGAGCCGUCCGAGGCCUCCAUGUCGCCCGACUCAGUGGCGAGCGGAUCUAAGUCCACUCCGACAUCGCCAUCCGAUGAUGACGAUGCCUCGGUUGUGGCAUGAUGGGAGGCGAACGACUCGGCCCUACCAAUCGGGACUCUCCGGUACUUAUUACGAGUGCUCUCAUCAGAAUCUGAAAAACAAAAUAUAUAUGGUUACUCUCAGUUCCAAAGCAAAAUCUUCCUAAUCUAAGUGUCAUAUCAUAUAUGGCAAAAAAUAACACAAAUAGCUCAAUCAAGUCUCAGAUAUAUAGUUCCAUUUACUAAUGACAUAACACUGACAAGGAUUUUUUUUUGAAACGAAAGGGGUUGCCCCCCUGCCCCAAAUUUUUAUUAAAAAAGCAAAGGCAACCUAAGAUCAGAGUUCACCACUGACAAGGAAAUAAGCACAACUAUAUAGUUUCAUUGAUCUACUCUAGUAUUUAUCUAAAAAAAACACAAGCACUAGUAUUGAUCCUUCGAGCACUCAUUCAGUUUAACUAAAACUAAACCAGUCAAGCAUAGGAGUCAAAACCAAAGCAUUCUACUCUAGGCAUUAUUCCAAACUUCUAAACUUCCAUACUACUCUAGGAUAUCACUUACUUCGAGGCAUGGACCAUCAAACGUACCAAAUACGACAAGGGCAAGGACCCUCUCCACCCGGAGAUGGACUGGAUCAUCUCUAAAGCCCGGUCAGAUGGAGAGAACUACACCAAAAAAUUAAAGGAGACGUACGGGCCUGACGCUGAUCCUCACGUGCUACCGUUUGACCCUCUUGUGGCCAUUGCCACGGCAGGAGGUAGACCGAAUGGCCGGAUGGCGGUUCACCUCGAUUCUGUCAUAACCUCCUCCCUUCCGACAGUCAACACGCUCCGUGCUAUGAGUACUGGCUCUACUCCUACCGUAGAGCGUCACGUACCACAUUCCGUGAGCAUUAUUGAGGAUAUUCAGGUCAGUGCUUCUUCAUUGAUCCUUCAUGGUCCUUCUUCAUUGAUCCUUCUUCAUUAUUGAGGAUAUUUGCAUUUCAACAUGAAUGACAUUUGCAUUGCCAUAUUGUAGACUCGACUGAUUGACACCGAGAAAGAACGAGAUGAAAACCGGGCCAAGUUGAAGGCACAAGAUGAUCUAGUGAAGUCUUUACAACAUAUGGUGGCCAAUCUUUAUUCCAUGCAAGGCCAACCAGUGCCAGAGAUGCCACCGAUGCCAGAGUGGAACAUUGUGAGUUUUGUUCCAACUAUUACUAUCACCAUUUUCGGCAUUACCAUAUGCAUUCAUCUCACUAUUGGGUCAAUCCAUCACAACUCAACCCAUCACAAGGGUCGAACAAUGUUCCGGUAGUUCCACCUCAAGUUGGUGGAGUUGGGGCAGCAAAGGGAAUGAUGCCUUCUAAUGUUGAUGUUAUCACUCCGGUUCAUGGAGUUGGGGCAACAAACGGAAUGAUGCCUUCUAAUGUCGAUGUUAUCACUCCGAUCUCCAAAAUCGCGUGAACUUCAUGUUAUGUUUGAAACUGUUCCUUGUAUGUUGAGAACUCUUGCAUCUUGAGACUUGUAAACUUGUGGUCUAUUGCUUUGAUGCACUAUUGCUUUUAUGUGGAAUGUUUUUCAGAAUCAAUCAUUGCUUCUUUUGUUCAAUGAUGCCUACAUGGGACAUGUUCUAUGUGUGAUGAACUAUAUGCUGCUGCUGUAUAUGUUUCGCUGCAGGAAAGAAACAGAAACAGGGAAAAAAGGCUCCUGGGCACACUAUUGCCGAGGGCGGCUCUCGGCAAUGACUGUGAAAUUGGACCAGAACGCACCCUUUACCGAUAGGCCUCUCGGUAAAGGAUAAUAACCUGUAGUCCUCCUGGCACCUUUACCGAGAGGCCUCUCGGUAAAGGAUAAUAACCUGUAGCCCUCCUGGCAACUUUACCGAGAGGACUCUCGGUAAAGGAAAAAGAAUUGCCGACGGUGGCUCUCGGCAAACUAUUUUCACGGCUUUUAGGAGAAGUGAUGUGGCCCUUCCCUAUUGGCUGAGUUUGCCGGGAGUCACACUCGGCAAAUAUAGAGUUUGCCGAGAACAUCCCUCGGCAAAGUUGUCAUUCUUUGCCGAGAGUGGCACUCGGCAAAGAUGGCCCUCGGCCUGUUUGCCUGGUCCCACCUGUUAGGAGCUGACAUGUGUCAGCCACCUACUGGCUAUCUUUGCCGAGCGUGGCGCUCGGCAAAGAUGGCCCUCGACCUGUUUGCCUGGCCCCACGUGUCAGGAGCUGACAUUGUCGAGAGGGGCACUCGGCAAAGAUGGCCCUCGGCCUGUUCACCUGGUCCCACGUGUCAGGAGCUGGCACGUGUCAGCCACCUACUAGCUGGCUUUGCCGAGAGGCGCACUCGGCAAAGAUGGCCCUUGGCCUGUUCGCCUGGUCCCACAUGUCAGGAGCUGACACGUGUCAGCCACCUACUGGUUGUCUUUGCCAAGAGGUGCACUCGGCAAAGAUGGCCCUCGGCCUGUUCGCCUGGUCCCAUGUGUCAGGAGCUGACACAUGUCAGCCACCUACUGGCUGUCUAUGCCGAGAGUGGCACUCGACAAAGAUGGCCCUCGGCCUGCUCCCCCUGGUCCCACGUGUUAGGAACCGCCGUCACCGUCUGCUAUCCGUUAGCUACUUUAUUUUGCCGAGUGGUACUAUUUGACUCUCGGCAAAGUCUUUGCCGAGUGCCCGCGUUCUGACUCUCGGCAAACUCCUGUUUGCAGAAGAGGUGUACGCCGGGUGGCUUUUGCCGAGGGUGACACUCGGCAAAGGCUUUGCCGACGGUUUUUGGCCCUUUGCCGAGUGUCUGUGGCACUCGGCGUAGCACAGAAUUCCAGUAGUGCGGGAUUCCCUCUUCCUCCCAUCCGUGCCGCCGCCGGUCUGUCCAUCUCCGAUGGUCUUUGGGCCAUGGAGGUGUGGAGGACCUCGGGCCCCCGCCGGCAGGGGGGGGGGGGGCGUUCUUGUUCUUACUAGUUUCGAACAAAUUGCAAAAACCAUCAUAAUUGGGGACCCUAAUUCAUAAAUCUUGUUUACUCAUGGAUUUGUGAAUUAGGGUUCAUGAAGGAGAGGAGACAUUGGGGAAAAUUCUGGGGUCUUCUACCAAUCCCCUUCUCACUUCUCUUCAUUUAUAUUUUUGUUCUUUUACGAUGUAGUCUUCAUGUCCUUACAUAAUUACAACUCACAUCAACACUCCCCCUCAAGAUGGGGUGAAUAUAUCAUACAGACCCAUCUUGCUACAGAAAAUAGAGAAUGAUUUCUCGGGUAGACCUUUUGUAAGUAUAUCCGCUACUUGACUAGAUGAACUUACAUAAGGCAUACACAUUAUUCCUCUAUCGAAUUUCUCUUUGAUGAAGUGAUGAUCAAUUUCCACAUGUUUGGUUCUAUCAUGUUGCACUGGGUUAUUUGCAAUAUCUAUGGUGGCCUUGUUAUCACAUUAUAGCAUCAGUGGUGAUUCCUUGAACAACCCUAGUUCUGUCAGUAAUAUCUUUAACCAUAAUACCUCACAUACACCAUGUGCCAUAGAUCAGAACUCAGCUUCUGCUGUGGAACUAGCCACAAUAGUUUGCUUCUUGUUGCGCCAUGAAACUAAAUUCCCACCAACGAAGGUACAGUACCCAGAUGUUGAUCGUCGAUAUCCAGUGAGCCCGCCCAAUUCGCAUCAGUAUAACACUCAACCUGGAAAAUUCCCUGAUGACUGUACAGUAAACCCUUUCUAGGACACCCCUUCAAAUAGCGUAGGAUUCGAGUCACGACAUCCAUAUGAUAUGAUCUUGGGUCAUGCAUGAAUUGGCUCACUACACUAACAACAAAUGAAAUAUCUAGUCGAGUAUGAGACAGGUAAAUGAGCUUACCGACUAAUCUUCGAUAGCAUUCACGGUCCACGGAUUUUCCUGAAUCACUCAUCAGGCGAUGGUUUUGCUCAAUUGGGCUUGCAGCUGGACGACACCCAAGCAUACCUGCCUCUUGUAGUAGGUCUAGGACAUAUUUUCUUUGGGAAAGGAAAAUACCUUUUGUUCCUCUAGAUACUUCUAUCGCAAGAAAAUAUCUCAAGUGUCCCAAAUCCUUGACUUCAAACUCUUGCGCAAGAUGAUGUUUUAAGUGAAAAAUUUCCUCUUGGUCAUCACCUGUGAUAAAAAUGUCAUGCGCAUAUACAAUGAGGAGGACAACCUUGCUCAUUCUAUGUUUGUAAAACAUGGUGUGAUCUGCAUUGCUCUGAGUGUACCCAAUUCUCAACAUAGCAUGCCGAAACCUGUCAAACCAGGCCCUCGGCGAUUGUUUGAGCCCGUACAAGGAGCGACUUAAGCGAAGUACCUUUCUAGUAACAUAGCCGGACUCGAAACCUGGUGGGACCUCCAUACACACUUCUUCUUGAAGGUUGCCAUGAGGAAAUGCAUUUUUUACAUCCAUCUGGUGAAUGUUCCAGUUCAAGUUUGCUGCACAUGAUAUGAGUGUUCUACCAGAAUUCAUUUUUCCUAUAGGUGCAAAUGUUUCCUCAUAAUCAAUUCCAUAUGUUUGGGUAUAUCCCUUUGCCACAAGGCAAGCUUUAUAUCUAUCCACUUUACACUCUAGGGUAUGCUUAAUGUUGAAAACCCACUUGCAACCUACAGGUUGUUUACCUGGUGGUACAUCCACAAGCUGCCAGGUUUUAUUCUUUUCCAAAGCUCACAUCUCUUCAUGCAUAGCUUCCCUCCACUUUGGAUCCUCUUUGGCUAUGUCCCAACUAUUAGGUAUGAAUGUGGAAUCUAGAGGUGUAAUGAAGCUCUGGAAGGAUGGGCUACAAUGUUUGUAGGAGAUGAAAUUGGCUAUGUUGUGUUUAUAACCAACGUCGUAGUCUUUUAGGUGUGGGGAAGAUUUAAGGUUCUAGUUGGUUUUCUCAAGGCAAUGGGUAAAUUACCUCGUGGAACAGAUGUCGACAAUUGGUUAUCACUCUCACCCAUGGUGCUAGUAGGAGCAAUAGGACUAGGAGAGUGGUCAUCAGUACCUGGGCCAUCAUGUGCAGAGUGAUCAACAUUCUGUGAAGGUGAUAAUGAAUCUCCUAUUGUAUCUUUGCAUGUCUCCAUGACCAGAACUGUUACUCUCCUCAUGGUUAGGAAUAUUAUUAUCAAGAGCAGAAGCAUCUGGAGAGGGACAAGUAUUGAUCCAAUAAGGGUGCCUCCACCACUGCUCUCCCCCUCUUGUCCUACUUCAGGUGGGGAAAGAACAAUGUCAGCGUCAUUGGCUGAUCCAAGAUAAUAAGGUUCAUGUUCACGAAAGGUCACAACCAUACUCAUAAAGAACCGACGUUUAGAGGGACACCAACACCUAUAGCCCUUUUGAGAAGGAGAAUAGCCCAUAAAGACACAUUUGAUGGCACGAGGAUCUAAUUUCCCAACAGAAUUUCAAUAAUCAUGCACAAAAGAAACACAACCAAAUACCUUUGGAGGGACCACAAAAUCAUUUUUGUAUUCAAAAGACACUCAGCUGGAGACUUAAACUCACGUGUGCGUAGAGGUAUACGAUUUAUUAAAUAUGUUGCUGUUUCUAUUGUCUCCCCCUAAAGAAACUUAGGGACAUUCAUGGUGAACAUGAGUGAAUGAGCAACUUUAAGUAAAUGCCUAUUCUUACAUUCUGCAACACCAUUCUGUUCUGGUGUAUUAACGCAUGUAGUUUGAUGUUCAAUGCCAUGUGAUGGAAGGAACUGUCCAAACUCCAUGUUAACAUAUUCAGUACCAUUGUCAUAACGUAAGGUUUUUUAUAGUUGUUCCAAACUGGUUUUGAAUGAGAGUACACAAAUCUUCGAAAAUAGGGAACACAUCACUUUUAUGCUUCAAAAGGUAAAGCCAAGUGUAACGACUAAAUCCAUCAAUGAAAGUCACCCAUGUCCAGAAACAGAAUAAACCUCACAGGGCCCCCAAACAUCAGAAUGUAUUACUUCAAAUGGUUUAUGACAUCGCAAACCCCUGCUAGGAUAGAUGCCCCUUGUAUGUUUUGCUAAUUCACAUGCGUCGCAUACAAGGGAUUCUCUAGGACACACGUUAAAGAGAGAGGGAUAAAUACGUGACAUAGCAACAAAAGAGAGGUGUCCCAAUCUUCGGUGAUGAAGUAACAAUUCUUGAGUAGGACUGUAGGAGACAUGCAAGUUGCAAGAGAAAUUUCAUCUCCCCCUUCAUCAAGAUAGUAGAGUCCCUCAUGCAUGGUCCCAGUCCUGAGAACUCUCCUUGUCCCAAGCUCCAGAAAAGCACAACAUGUAGGAUCAAACCAACAUCUACAAUUGAGAGCUCUAGUGAUGGAGCUAACUGAUAAUUGGCUGAUAGGAAAUUUAGGAACAUGCAGAACUGGUGAUAAGGACAAUGUCUUGGUACACUGGACGGUUCCACGUUCUGUAAUAGGUGCCAUGGAACCAUGAGCAACACGAACUUUGUCCUUACCAGAGGUAGGUGUGUAGGAAGUAAACAAGUUUGAGGCUCUUGUUAUGUGGUUAAUUAGUAGCUCUAGUAUCAAUUAUCCAUGAUUUUGAAUGGGCUUAGCGGGAUUCCAUAUAUACCUUGGGUGAUGGCAUUAAAGCUAGAAUCAACUUUGGAGAAACCUUGGGACGAAGAUGAGCCUUCAAAGAGUUUGAGCUUGGAUUUGAAAUCCUCAAGAGCUUUCAUAUCUACCGCAGGUAGUUCCUUUGCAGAUGCAUUGUAAUUAGCUUGUCUUUUGUUUGAACCCCGAGCUCCCCCCUAGCUGACAUCUCCCUUUAUCCCACCAAGGUGGAUAACCAUGCAACUCAAAACAAUCACCCUUGGUGUGUCCUUUUCUGUUGCAAUGGUCACAAAGCAACUUGCUUUUAUCGACCUUACCAAAGGAAUUUGUAGCACGGCGUGGUUGUAUGGAUAAUGCAGCAUGAGCAUCUGCACGCUCCUGACCCUCCUCCUUCGGUUGUGCCAAACGAGUCUCCUCCUCAAUCAUGCUAGAAAUAAUAUCAUCAAGACUAGGCCACUCAGGCAUUGCAAAUAUGAAUUGACGACAAAGGUUUAUUUCCUGGUCUAGGCCAUCUAGAAAGAGCUUGCUCACAAACGACUCAAAUCACACAUGAUGAAUUGCCAAGUCAUCCUUGUGAACAGGUUCAAAAGGGUGAUGAUAAUGCAAGUCUCUGUAUAAUUUUUUUACUUCACCUGCAUACUCUGUUACAGAUCUUGAGCGCUGCUUCAAAUUAGUUAACUCAUGCAUGAUACGGGUGGCUUGCAUUUUAUUUGUUUUCCCUGCAAAUUGUUUCUUCAAAGAUGACCAGACCUCACAAACAGUGUCCAUGCCUUCCACUUGUUCUCUAAUUGUUGGUUCCAUACUUCCCAACAGCCAUACUAGUACUUUAUCAUUGAUUUGUUUCCUGCCCGCACUGCCUUUCUCCAAACUAUCUUCAUUGCCAACAAGUAAAUAAUCAUACUCAUUGGCACUCAAAAUCAAUUUGGCAUGGCGUGCCCAACUGAUGUAGUCACCAGGUCCUGAUAGUCUGACUGGAUUUUGCUCAAGUGUAUGCUUAACUGGCUCAGCAGCACCCUUUGAUUGCUGCUGGUGCUCAAGCAGUUUGCUAAAUAUUUCAUACAUCUUAUGAACACUAGAAUCCCCUGUUUUUUUUCUGUACUUGGAUCUCCCAUGGUUCAAUGAGCAAGAAUAUAUUCCAACACUAGUACUUGGUUCUUCUUCUCAAACACGUGCAGCACAAAGAGGAACCAACUAGUACAGCUCAACAAUGUGCCAAAGAGUACGGCAAUUACUUCAGAUUGCAACACUAGCAAAUAGUAUUAUUUAAUCCGGCCAGCUGACCUCCAAAGCAGCUCCAGGCAACACCGAUACUGCUUCUAAAGCAAUAAAAAAACACAGAUGCUCAAGGAGUCCGAGAGUCAAGUUGGGGACGAACUACACCUGCUCACGAUGCCGGAUGGCAGGAGAGAAAAAAUUAGCUUGUAGCGGGCGAGGGAGUCCAGACGCCCAGGCUCUAUAACUCAACUUGUAGCUGCAGGAGCCUCCCCGAUUGUACUGUACUUGAUUCAGACAGAAUCAAGGUCGCUUCCCAACUCCUACAGCAAAGCCAGCAGCAGAAGCACCUCCAACAAUAGGAGCGACACAGUACCGCACCGACGGCCAAACUCAAUAGGAAUCAUAGGAGAACCACACAGGAUUCGUCCUGCCCUGAUACCAUCUUUUUGUGAACUAGGGUUCAUGAAGGAGAGGAGACAUUGGGAAAAAUUCUGGGGUCUUCUACCAAUCCCCUUCUCACCUCUCUUCAUUUAUAUUUUUGUUCUUUUACGAUGUAGUCCUCAUGUCCUUACAUAAUUACAACUCACAUCAACAAUAAAACCACCAUUAUUCAAUUUUUUUUCAAAAACCCACCGCCAUUGUGGUGACAUUUUUCAAAAAACACUCCGCGAUGUCCCUCAGUAGGAAUAAAGUCUCCCACGUUCUACGAUGGUGCGUCUAGUGUCAUCGUAGGGCAUGUGGAGGUGUAUCUCCUUCGGAUCUCACGGCAUUCAGUUGGUGCUGGUUUUUCUGUGGACUGUUUGGGGCCAGUGUUCGUUCGUCUUCGCUUGGGUGUUUAUAGGUUUGAUCCUUCCAAUCUAUGAUUUUUUUCAUCGGCCUUAACACGACGAUUUUCAACUGUCUACUGCAACAAGCUUUGCCCAGCUUCAGCGUGGGAGGGGCAAUAAUGGCGGUGCCUUCAGCUCACUCUAGUGUUUUUAGUCGCCGCUAGGUGGUCAAUGGACAUGGUUGUAAUUUAUAUCACCUCUAGUGUUCUUUGUACUGCCAUGAUCGAAAAUGAAUAUAUUGAAAGUUUCUCCUGCAAAAAAAAAGUAGGCAAAAACAUGUCGAAACAGAAAAGCGGAUGGAACCAACAAGACUAUGAUAAUCCACCAUAAUGCCAAACAAAGCCUAGAACGCACGAAAACCUGCCGAACAAACAUACUUGGCAUGGUUCUCUCCUCUUGAGAAAUCGUACACACAAAAGUCUUGCCACGCAGAUGACUAUGAGACUGCCACACGGACUCCAAGCAGUUCACACAACCGGCACACAUCCGCAAGCUUUGCGUCUCACAUCCAAUUUCGUGCAGCAACUCAUCCAGCUCCAUCUCCGGAGAGGCCUGCGCCGGGGAUUACAAGGCCACUUCUUCCUACUAUCCAGAUCACGCUGGUCCGGUCCCUGACCGAGCCGGCGGCCGUCCGGACCGCACUGAGCAGCGCGCUGGUCCCUUUUCCAUGCACCGGGCCGGUGAGGCAAAAGCUCGGUAACCGAACGAUGGCAUGCGUGCGUUAUCGUUCAUGGUGUAUGCGUGCAGCAUGUAGAAGCUGGAGUACGUGUUGCUGCUGCGUCUCGACGGCAUCUCUUGUUCGACUCCGAGAUCACUGGCCAUGAACGAGAUCAACCAUCUCCGCCGAAUACAGAGCUAACAGAAAACGGGAAAUCAGGCCACGGCGGAGACGCGAACGCUGCCAUCCCAACGUUCGUCGACCGCUACCCUACAUCGUCGCCAUGAUCGUUUUAGUAUCGUGCCAUCCCACGAUCACUAAGACCAAGUCGCGGCUUAGCUUGUUUCACUAAUUGAGGAAAAUCCUAACUGACGAAUCUGCACUUUAACAGCUACUGCUGACGAAACUGAAUUUUUCUGAAACUUCGACAACAACUGGUGGUAACUGACAACAUGGUGAUCGGAGGGACGGCACGGGGCGUGCGUCCGUGUGCGCUAAGGUCGCCGUCGCGUCCGUGCGCUUGUUUCUGCCGUCAUCCUCGGUGUCCGCGGUGGUCGCGAGCGGGAGCGCGAGCAGAUUGUGUCAACUUUGAAAGCUUAGACGAGCCUACCAUGCAGACCCAUCAACCGGCUCAGCUCGACUUGUUUCCAACCCGAGGAGCAGCCUGUAGCUAGAUAGUGAGCGAUGACCUUUGUUUUUCCACAGGAAUGAUGAAAGGCGGUAACUACAUUUUUCCCAAUGCCUCUCAAUACAAUUACCGGACAUCUCACAUGGGAAAUAGUUCUUGAAACCAGACGCUACGGGGAAGAACAAAAUAGGGAUAUAGAUUAUACCAUGGUGGCCAGGGUGCCAAUUGUUGAUUGCAUUGCAAGAGAUGUUGUAUCUUGAUACGGGCAAGUAAUUGCCAUGUGAAGCCUAGCUGAAUGAUAUAGCCUGCAGGUUACACAAUUGAAUGUCAUGGCUUGUACAUUUCUCAACCACCGUACCAGGGAUAAAGAGAAACACAAACGUGAUGCACCACAAUGUGAGGACGCUUCGUUUGAAAUGUGCGACAAGCAGGGUGAGCCAUCCCAAAACUUGUACUCCAUCCGUUCGACAAGAUAAGAGUAUUUUUUAUACUAGUGUAGUGUUAAAAGCGCUUUUAUAUGGUGGGACGCAGAGAGUAUUAGAAUCGAGGAUGCUUACUUAGAUCCACUAUUGGCUCUUCCAUUAAACGUGAAAUAAAAUUUAUAGAAAUUGAAGAAAUGAGCACAAGACCAGAGCACACUUAUUGAGACUGAUAUCGACUUAUUACGAAGCCAUCGUUUCGCGUGAAUCCAGUCAAGAUCAAUUUCCAGAGCCUUUCAAAGCUUGAUAUAGAGGAUGUACCGAAAACGGCCGCGCAAAAGCUUGAGCACCAUCCUUGUUGGAUUUCACUCAAGAGGGGUCAUAUGAAAAACAACAUAUAUAUAUGAUCGAAACAAGUUAGGUAGAUUCAUAUGCCACGCGUCUUGACCAUCAGAUUUCUUGGUGUGAGUGGCGCGAGGUCACAUCACAUCAUCAAUCGUGUAGAUAGGGCGACAAUUUUUGCCAUGAAGGUGUCUUUGGGUUGCUAUAUAUACUAGUAAUUUGUACGUGCUUUGCACGUAGCUGAUUACGUAUAAGCAUGGUACUAAAUUAGUGUAAAAAACUAAAGCACACAUAUAUUAUGAUUAAUUUUUUUUAUAGAAGCUUCAAAUGGAGAUAUCCGAUAGGCAUCUGUGGAAUCAUUUUUGGGCUUCGCAAGGCCGGAUAACAACUAUUCCCCAAAAAACAUAGUACAAUGAUUUUCUUAAUAUGAAACAUUGGAUAUAAUCUUUGCCCUUUUAUAUAUAUAUAAAUUGUUUAGGAAGUCCUUCAAUUUAUUGGACUCAUACUAAAAACUUAUUUUUUUAGAAAAAUGAUGUGAAAAAAGAAGUACAAUUAAUAAUAAAUUUUCACCUUCGCAAGCUCAUGUCAGCUAAGAAAAUAAAAGGAGUCAAAACGUACUCUUUCCUCAUAGGUUAUUUGCACAUUCUCAUUCUAAUUAUCCUAGGUACCUUACUACUUGUUUCAAAUGAUAAGAAAAUGGAAAAGUUCACAAUGCAUACAACAUUGCAAUGCUAGGCUCGCAUGCUAGCCUCUCGUGAAGCGGUCGAUGCAUGCAUGUAGGCAGGUAGUACGAAUUAAAUAAUUUAGAGGAGCAAGUGUCCAGCCCAUAGUGGAAAGAUCCAGAACAUAGUCAGAUGAUGGGUCACACAGCGAAUUCUAGAAAUAGCAGACAUAAGUUUGGAGCAGCCACUGUUGAUGCGAAUCCCGCUGCUCCCAACCGUUAGAUUGAGAGCACCAAUGAUCAGGAUUGAUAUUCUAGAUCCAUUCAAAACUCGUACACUAUAUAGUGGUAUAGAUAUAUUUUGCAAGGCCUUGUUGAAUAAUGCAAUAAAGAUGGCUGUGUGCAUCGCUCGAUGCAGAGACCGGGGGUAGUCGUCCUUUUUGAGAAAAACUAUGCAACGCGUCUUUCUUUUUCAUUUCUUCGAAUUUACACUACAUUUUGGGACCCAUAUAUAAAACAUAUAUGUGAACCUAAACUCCGUUUAAUACUAGGCUAAGACGGUCUGAGCCUACACGAACAUUCAUGUAAUUACGUAAUCCGACUUUCUUGCAGUUGUUGGACUGUGUGUUGUGCUAUGAUUAUAAUCUGCGGUUAGAAAAGAAGCAUCAAAGUAGGCAACAACAAGUGAACCAAACACUUAAAUAGAGAAAAACAGAUGUAACAAACAAGAUUACGAGAAUCCACCAUAAUGGGCGAAUACAACUUUCAAACUACUGGUUCCCAAUGUUGUUCACGCGGCUCCGUCAUGUAGAGAAUGCAGAGGACGGUCAACAAUGUUGGCAAGAACAACGAGUGACCGAGGCGGAGUAGCUACGUGCGAGGGAAUGGCUUCCACUGGAGGAUUGACUAUGGUUGACGUAGUGGUGCUGGCUGGCCAAGGAGCAGAUGGACGGGUUGGGAGUGGGCUGUGGAGUGGAGAUGUCUGCCAGGGCUCUAGCGUUUCGUGCAUUGCGUGCUGGGUUCAGGAGCAGGAGAAGAGCACAUACACGGGUACAGUGACGAGCAACGGGAGUUAUUGGGCUCGCGUGCAGCUCUCGCCGAACUCAAGCUUUGACAUGGCCGAGUUCAAGCUUAGUUUUGUGAGGUUUGACGAGCCUGGACGAGGCAAGUCAUGACCCGGCUCGACAUGGCUUGUUUCCACCCCUAGCAACAGCCUUAAGCUAGAGAGACAUCAUUUAGCUUUCUCGUUUUACACGGUGGAUGUGUGCUGGAUGCUAAUUUUUCCCAAUACCUCACAAUCCGAUUACCAUUUAGGCAUUUCCCCCCCGUGGAUAAUAUAUCUUUGAUUCCAUAUACCACAGAAGAACAACAAAGGGGGAUGUAGAUCAUAUUGUGGUGGCCAGCAUGCUAAUUGUUUCAUGCAUUGCAAAUGGAAUAGAUGAUGUACCUUGGGAAAUAUAUAGAGUUGGGCAUGUAAUGGCCAUGUGCUAUAGCUAAAAAUUAUGUAUCCUGCAGGUACACGCCAUGAAUGUCCUGAUUUGUAGAGCUCUCAACUACCUUCAGCCAAUAAUGAUAGAACCAGUUUGUUUAUGAGCAUCGGGAUGCCCUCGUAAAGAAAAAACCUCUUGAGAUGCAAUGCAACACACACCAAGUGCUCAGACUCGUCCAGUCCCACUCCGAGGAGAUGGUCGCUGAUCUAGCACUAGAGGCGAGCGGUGGUCCUGGACCGGUUGAUGGCCCAGGCCUCCACGAGCAUGAGGUCCAGUAGGACCCAGGCUAGCACGGCUUCAGACCUCGUGAAUGACGCCCGAUGUUGUGCACUGCCUUGGAGGCCAUCACGGAUAAUGUCAUCAUUAUUGAGGAUGAGCCAUUGACACCGAGGUAGUAGGUGAGGCAGCCACAUGCCUUGGCGAUCUCCGGGAAGGGCUGAUAACUCAUAAGUGCAGAGGAUCAAUUUUAGCAUUUCCAAUAAGUAAGAUUGUCGAACCCAACAAGGAGGUAAAGGUAAGACUAAUAUUCUCUCAAGUUCUAUCAACCUUGAUCCUGAUGCUACUGGAUACGCUGAAAGAGCAAACAAAGCCAAGAAGCUAGUCAAGAUCAGUGCUCGGAGCAUUGCAAAGCUGGACAGAAACUAGGUGAUGAAAGUUGCAGCAAAAGCUCGGGCAUCAUCCUCUGUUCUCCGACCAAUAGAUGCCCGCCAUGGCCAUGAAGCUGAUAUUAGCUCCAGUGGCAAUGACAGUGUCAGGAGUAGUAUGAGUGUUGAUUACAGUGCUACAAAGGAAUCGGGGAGUGAGAUGACGUUGUCUCCUCUAUAGAACUCGUAUCCAUAGAGUCUUGCAAGCCAGGAUGACUAUGAGACUGGCACACAGACUGCAAGCAGUUUAAGCAGCCCGGUACACAUCCACAAGCUUGCCCCUCAUGCUCAAUUUCGUGCAGCACCUCAUCCAGCUCCACCUCCUGAAAGGCCUGCGCUAGGGAUUACAAGGCCACAUGUUCCUGCCACACAUAUAAGUAACAACCCAAUGUUCCAGUCAGCCACAUCAUAUGUCAGGGAGAACCGAAGAGCCUCUGUGGUCUAGGAUCAAGAGGCUGGUCGGUACAUGUCAGUGCCCAUGCAAACAACAAGAACAGGACCCAGUGUUGAGCUGCCUGCAAGAAACCGAAGUUUCUUGGCGAAUCCAAGUGGUGAACCAGGCAACCAUGGGAGAAAUCUUGCACCUGCCAACACAACUUCAUCAGCGAUUCCUUCGGGGCAGCCAUCCGAGAGGUUGACGUACAUAGGCCAAUCAAUAUUCUUUGGUGGGCCAAUCCUGAGCACCACUGGCAUAAAUGCAGAAAGGAAUGAGGCGGGCACAAGAGUGCGUACUGAGACAAGCAGAGAUCCCAACCUCCACCAGCGUGACAUCCGUGGCGAGAAGGCUCGUACAGGUUCCUUCCCAUUGUUUGAGCCUAGGAAUUUCUAGAAGAACCUGCUUUGCUGGCAAGUGACCUUGACCGGCUGUUUUACUCCUCUCUACUAUGUCGUCUGCUCAAGUGCCACCACCAUGAUGUCAGGGAACUGCUGAAGUAGUUGACAUGGGGCUUCAACGAUACAUAGAUAACGAUGCUUUUUAGAGCUUUAUUAUAGUGAGUGAGGAUGGCGCUAACUUUGUUUGAUGUUUUACAAACUGACUGAUAGUCGCAGUUUUAUUUUGCGUGCAUUAGGAAUUGAGAUGUUUUACAAACUGACUGAUAGUCGCAGUUUUAUUUUGCGUGCAUUAGGAGUUGAGAUGUUUGAUGCGCUUGGCAUGUAGUAGAAGAGCUGAUUUAACUUGUCCUUGAUGUGUAGAACCUUGUGAUUUGCCGCCGACUUUGUUCAUAUUACGGACUUCGGAGUGUUCAUUGCAAGUCUCUGUUCUGUUACUGCUGUAAUAGUAGCCCACGUGUGAAGGCAUUUUCUCCAACUGUCUUGGCGUUUGACUGCUUUAUUUUCAUGUUAAGAGAAUGGAAUUUAACUCGGAUGAUAUUGCUUACUGCAUAAUUGAUGUUCAUUUUCCAAACUGAAUUAGUGAGAUGGGUAUGAUUGCAGUUGAAUAAUUCUUGUUCUGUAUCAUGAGUUCAUAUCUAAAUAAACUGUGGCUUAUUAGUGCCACCGCAUUGCUGUCAACGUGCCAAGGAUGUUGCAAAAUUCCCUGCGUCUUUGUAAACUUCUCCCUCUGUCCAAUAAUAUUAUCAGACGGAGGGAGUACCUAUUUGAACAUGGCAGGAAUAAUGAUAAGUUAAACUUAGUUUCAUUGCAUCCAUAGAUUGUGGAUGCUCUAAGGAAGCAUCAUCUUUUGUGCCAUCAGGCUGCGUGCAACAGCCUUUAGCCAGAAAGCCUGUGUUUAAUUCUCUUUUCUAUACGGGCUGACUUCCUGAUCGAAGCAACAUCUUUCCCAAUACCUCACAAUCCGAUUACCAUUCACCUCGCGGGGGAAAAGAUCAUGAAUCCAUAUGCCAUUCAUGGGAGAAGAACAAAGGAGGAUGUAGAUCAUACAGUGGCGGCCAAAGCGUUUCUUUUUCUUUUUGGAUGAAGUGGUGUUCUGGGUGUUUGUUGUAUGCAUUGUGACAUAUGAUGUAUCCUGGGGAUAUAUAUAGAGAGAGAUCUAGGGAUGUAAUGGCCUAGCUGUAAAUUAUGCAGCCCUUAGGUACAAACCCGAGUGUCCUGGCUUGUUGUGCUCUCAACCGCAUGUAGCCUUGAUACAACUGAUUUGUUUACGAGCAUUGGGAUGCCCUCACAGAAGGAAAAAGUAAAACUUGAGAGUCAAGAAAAAAGAAAAACUAAUGGUACUUCCUUAGAACCACACGACAAUCGUGGUUAUCCACUUAAACCUGAUAUCAACAAUAGACGACGGUUCCAUAGAGCAUCUACAUCCCCUCGAGAUAAACUCCUAUAUAUCUCCUGUAGGAAAAAAUGCUAGCUCUACAUAACCCUUUUUAGUCUUUCCGCUCCAUUUAUAUCAUGCGAACCAACCUAUGAUUGGAUGGUUAGAAGACCAAUGGUAUCCAUAGUCCACCAGAGUAAAUACCAUUUCUUUCAAGCGCCUAAGCUAGAAAAUCCUCCCCAAUUCGAGGGGACGGGCGAAUUUUCAAUAUCUCAACAAUGUCCACCGGGAGGAAGUACUGCUGUAACUUCUCCAAGUCCCAGUUGCCACAGAAAUCCAUAAGCUUUGAGACCCACUUAAGGUGACAUCUACCCCCGCGCAGAGAUCAGUCCACCUGUAGGUUCAUGCGCCACCCAGUGAUCCCGCCAUAUUAGGACUUGCUGGCCAGUGCCAGUCCUCCAUACCAUGCCUUUUUCAAGAGUACUAGGCCAUGGGUGAUCGCUUGCCAAGUAGGUGAUGGAUUUCCCUAAAAGACUGUAUCCAAGAACUGCCCAUUGGGAAAAUAUUUCGCUUUUAAUAGUCUAGCACAUAACGAGAUCGGAUACUCAAGAAUUCUUCAAGCUUGGCGAGCCAGCAAAGCUCGAUUAAACAUGCGAAAAUCUUUGAAGCCUAACCGCCCUUGCUUCUUAGGCCGAGUAAUUUUAUUCGAAGCAUACUAGUGGGUCUUUCUCUAGCCCUUCUACACACACCAAUAGUAAUGGCGGAUCAUGCGAUUUAAAUCAUCACAAAGUUCCAUAGGAAGUUUAAACACACUCAUGAUGUAGGUCGGUAUGGACUGCGCAACCGCCCUAAUGAGAACUUUCUUGCCAGCUUGCGUGGGAUUGCCAUCAUACGCAACAGCCGCUCUGACAUUUUUACCUGUAGAUUCUGGAAUUUCCCUUUUGACGUUCUCCCAUCAGGAGUGGGUAGGCCCAAAUACUUCUCCUCAAACCCAUUUGAAGUGACUUGCAGCAGAUUUUUUUACAACUUCCAUAGCAUCACUAGGGCAGGAGUUCCCAAACAACAUAAAUCAUUUUGUGGGAUUCAGGAGCUGCCCAGUAGCAGCUGCAUAUUUAUCUAGUAUGCUCCCAACACAAUAGUAGCUUCUUUAGCAUUUUCUUUAAAGCACAAGAGUGUGUCAUUAGUGAAUAAGAGGUGAGAUAUACCUGGCGAUCUCCUUGUGAUUUUUACUGGUGAUAAGGUUCCAUCCUCAAUGCUCUGAUUGAUAAGUGCACAGAGGCCAUCAGCAACAAAUAGGAACAAAUAAGGGGAUAGUGGAUCACCUUGCCGAAGACCACGCGACGGUGCAAACGAAUCCAAGAUAGCUCCAAAUAGCUCUUGCAUGAAAGAAUCUUGUGUUACAGUCGCCCUCCUUCAACCAGUCGACACGCGAGCGCUGCAACCACAUCAUUUCUUCUCUAUACAGAAGUUCAUUCAGCCUAUCAGUAGCUUUCCAGAUCUCACAUCUGUCUACAUUCAUAAGCAUUAGUUCCUCAAGCUGUGUUCUAGAUUUGUCAAUCCCUUUUGUUACUUCCAAAUUCUUCUUUGCUCCAAGAAUAAAGCUUAAACAUCGUGUAUCUGAGAGCAGCGUGGACGUCUCCCAGACACCUUUUUUGUCCGGCUACUUCCCAAGCACACGCAAUUAUUUCUUGAAGAAUCGGUUCUCUCUCCCACAUCACUUCAUAUUGUCUAAACUUGUUUUUUACAUGCAAGUCCACAUACUUAUCAUAGCAUACAUGCAGCGCCACAUGGUCCGACGCAGGGGAGAUCAGGUGCCAGACAGUUGAGUGCUCAAAACAAUUGCGCUAGCUAGGGGAUGCAACCGCCUGAUCUAGUCAUACUUUCACAUGACCAUUACCGUUCUUUUGUUAUCAUAGGUGUGGGGAACUCCCGAGAAACCCAAGUCUACAAGUUCACAUAAUUCAAGAGAGUCUGGAAAAUCUUGCAUCUGUGCUUCGGGUCUAGGUGACAAAGAGAAAUGCUCAAAAUCCAACAAGCACUCAUUGAAGUCUCCUACCACAAGCCAUGGCAAACUAGACUGGGUACUUAGACCAAUAAGAAGAGUCCACAUAUUGUGUCUAUCCUCGACUCUUGGCUCUCCAUAUAUACAGGUGAGACGCCAGGUCUCCUCAUCUGUUCCUAGCUUAACAUGCACAUCAAUGCAUCUCUGACUUGCAAACACAAACCUUCACCUCAAUCUUCAUGCCAAUACAAAGCCAAACCACCAUUGUUGCCAAUGCUAUCAACUCCAUCAAAACCCUUCAUGCCAAACUUUGACCGAUGUUUCUUCAUUUUAUCCUUGGGCUGCCUUGUUUGACAUAAAAAUACCAAAAUGGGGAAAUGCGACUUGAUGAAAGUCGCCACUUCUCGAACUGCCUGGGUAUUCUCCCCACCUCGGCAGUUCCACCUAAGUAGAUUCAUUGGGACCGGCGGUCCUCCAGCAUGGAGGUCGCCUCAAAAGUCAUAUAUGUAUCUGCCUCUUCAAUUCCUUCACCUUGUCUUCUUCUCUUAACAAUAGGGUCCUUGCGUGGAGUUGUGCUAGGAGGUAAAUCACCCCCUGAACUUGCCUCAUCCCUGCCGUUCUCUAGCAUAAGCACUGUGUUAAACACUUUCCCUAUCAGAUUUGGCACUACUUGGCCACAAAUAUUAACAGAGUCAUCCUCCCUAAUCAGCCUCUUGCGAACCCCUUUGCCAUCAUCGCCCGCAGAUGGGUCAUACAAAUUCGACGUGCCUACCAUCCCAGGGCCCUCCCCAUGUACACGUCCUCAUGGAGGUUCCGACCUCCCUCCUCUUCCUCCGCUUCCUCCAUGACCACCCAUUCUUCCUCCUCGGCCAAAGCCUAUAGGGGCACUUCCUCUUCCUCCAGAACUUGCGCGACCACCUCCUCUACUGCCCCUUGAGCCACUGCCAUAGGAUUCAUUAUUCCGACUUAACCAAUCGCCCCAGUCACAAGACUGAGGGGCAUGAAUUCCAUCGCCACAUUCCUCCACCACGUGUCCCAUGCACCCACAAAAGAAGAAAAAGUCUGGAAGGUUUUCAUGGCACACUGGAUAUUUCUUUCCUCCCUUCAAAGUUAUAGGGACAAAUCUGACUAGUGGGAUGUUCACGUUCACACCUUACCCGUAGAUAGUUUGAGUCAUUGAUUUUUCCUUCAUUAACAACUAUAGUAAAGGGCGGUUCUCCAACCUUCUUUGCCACUUUUUCCACCAAUUCCUUCUUUCUUGUGAGACCAUCCGGUAGCCCUUUGAUUCUGGACCACAAUGGAUACAUAUUCAGGGCAUAUUCAGUAACAUUUGUGAAGCCAUCAUACUCUACUAGCACCACCGGAUCCCAUCGAAAUUGCCAAGGUCCCCCAUCCAUUACUCGUUUCCAAUCCCCCAAGCAGUGACAUUGAGCCAAAAAAAGAUUUGGCCCUUUUAUGUUAAAGGUAACUCCUUGGGCACACGACCAUGCGUUCCUCAUCGAGUUUAACAGAGCUGCAAGACUGAACAGCCUCAUCGUAUGAACCCUAAACAGAGCCAGCCAACGACCUUCUCUUAUCAGAUCUUCAACCUCCCCGGACAAGUCCAGGUCUUCUUCUUCCUCCCCGUGCAAAUUCAAGACCUCAAACGCAUCCUCCAGAUCCGGAUCUGGGCCAUAGUGAUCCCAAUUCCCAUCCUCGUCCUCUUCACGAACUGCCCCACCCGCGUCCUCCUUGGGGUAGCCCUCAGGCAACUCCAUGGACGGGUUGGAUGACUUCCUGAUUGCAUCACCAUCCUCACACAUCUCUCCCUCCCGAAUCUCAGACUCCUUUGCUUUCUCUGAUCCGCCGCCUUCUUCCAAUCUUUGAGCCGACGCCAUGGGGACCUAGUGCAUUGUUGGGACGCACCAGGGAAGUUAAUCGCCGGAAUAGGAGGCGAGACGCCGGUGAAUUUACGUGGACUCUGGCGCGCCGCCAGAGGAGGGGGUGGACUCUAGGAAAACCCUAGAGGACUUGUGGAUAAUAUAUCUUUGAAUCCAUAUACCAUAGAAGAGGAACAAAGAAGGAUAUAUAUCAUAUUGUGGUGGCCAGCAUGCCAAUUGUUUCAUGCAUGCAUUGCAAAUGCAAGAGAUGAUGUAUCUUGGGGAAUAUAUAGAGUUGAGCAUGUAAUGGCGAGGCGCUAUAGCUAAAAAUUAUCUCAAGGGAAAAACUCUUGAGAUGUAACAUCCACCGAGAGUGUUUCUUUACAACCGCUCAGUAAACAUGUCCAGACGUGUCCACGGACAGUUAUAGGGUAGGUCACCAUUCAAAUGAAGGCACCAAAUGUUUAACUAAAUUCAAACAAAUAUUGAAUAAAAGCGGAUGAAAUUCAUGGAAACCGGAUGAUAUUUGUUAAAUUUUGAUAUAUUACAGCCGGAAGGACCAAAAUUAACAAUGUUUCAAUUAAACCAUAAAAGAAUAAACUGUGCGGCAAACCAGACGAUGACCUCGUACACAUGGAUUUCGUGACCUCUGGCACCUCCGUCUUUGUCAACGUCAUCGUCACUGGCGUCCGAGCCAUUGUCCUCCUUUCAGUGGCAGGAACACUGCCAAUCGUUGCAUCAACCCUCAUUAGCCAUUGUUGCUCGCAUGCGGUGCAGCCUCUCGGCAUCCUUUGCCUCUGGAGAGCCUUGGCCUCCUCCGCAUGGUGGCGAUGAUCAGCCAUAGUCACGGAAUAUGCCUCGCGCCGCUAGCCUUUAAGUCGGCCUCGACCUGGUGGCGACUCGAAGAACCCCACUUGAGGAGGUAGUCAUUGAUUUAGCGUAGUGGUCAUGGACCGGUCGAUGGCCCAGGCCACCACGAGCACGGGUCCGGUAGGAACUAGACCGAUGCGACUUUGGACCUCAUGAACAACAUCCACUGCUCUAUCCUAGGCCGCUCCUCGCGUGCCACCUCGGAGGCCACCACGGAGGACGUCGUCAUCUAUAAUACCUAAAUAGUUCAUCCCCACUACCUUAUUUCUCUUGACAUGCAGCCUAUCUACAUCACUAUCAACAUGCAGCCAUCCACGUCACUCCACCUUAACAGUCUAGCCACAUCAUCAAUUCAAAAUACCAUACAUAUUCCUUUUUUUUCCUUCAGAAAAUGCCCUUCGUAUUCCUAUGAUUGCCUGUUUGAGCAGGUAGUAGUUACCGUGCAUUGGCUGGACAUUAUUACGUGCGUUGCAUUCUCAUUGGUUGAUGGGUGCCCAUGAGAAAAUAUGUCGAGUCCAUCUUCGGCAUUGUGUUUCAGUCUACCCUACCUUAUCGCCUGCCAAUUGUCCACCAGCCCAACAGCUCCGUCGCCCAUCCACGCCGCCACGGAUGCACCCGGCCAGUCCAACGACCAUCCGCCGCUACUUUGUUGUUCCUUGGACAGACUCCGUUGCACCAAUGCUCUCUCCCGGCCACUCUCCGUCAAGUCCACACUCUCCCUCUCGGCCCGCUGCCGCUCUCAGGCCACAUGUGCGCAUUAACUCGCUUAAUUGUUGACCCUCCCGCUACCAUUGUAGUGUUGCCGCUAUGCUUUCCGCCUCCACGUCAUAUGCUCUCCCGGCCACAAAUUUUCAUGAAACGGGUGAGGCAUCACUAGUAGAAAAGAGGACUUUAGUCCAGGCCGGGUUAGCCCAUUAGUUCCGGUUCAGUCUAGAACCGCGACUAAUGGGGGCAUUAGUCCCGGUUUGUGAGCCCAGGGGCCACGUGGGACAUUUGUCCCGAUUCGUCUGGACCUUUUAGUCUCGGUUGGUGUCACGAACCGGGACUAAAGGGUGCGAUGCCCAUUAGUACCCGGUUCGUGGCACCAACCGGUACUAAAGGUUAGACCUUUAGUCCCGGUUCGAGCCACCAACCGGUACUAAUGGGGUUUGAGGCAUUAGUACCGGUUCAUGGCACGAACCGGUACUAAAGGUCCCAUUUUCAAACUCUACCCCCCAUGGAUUGCCUUUUCAGUUUAAAAAAAUAAAAGAAAAUAAGUUUCCCAUGUGAUAUGUGGUCUAGUUGUUGGGAAAAUUUGCAAAUGUGAAUUUCGACUUUAUUUGCAAAAUCUCUCUAGAAUUUAGUAAAAUGGGCAUAAAUUUUGCAUACUAACUCGGAUGAAAAAGUUUUUUAUAUGACAAAUCAUCUGCUCGAAAAGUUACAUCCGGAGGCAAAAAAAGUUCAUCAAAUUUCAGUUUUUUUUUGCAUUUUUGUUAAAUCUGGUCAAACUACUUAUUCAAGAAGUAUUAGUGUUAGUAAAUAAUUAUUCAAAAAUAUUAGUGUUACUAAAUAAUUAUUUCACCUUUUUUGAAUUUUGGUCAAAUUGGUCAAACUAUGGUCAAACUGUAGUCAAACAAUGGUCAAACUAAUUAUUCAAGAAAUAUUAGUGUUACUAAAUAAUUAUUUCAGUUUUUUUGAAUUUUGGUCAAAUCUGGUAAAACCAUGGUCAAACUGUGGUCAAACAAUGGUCAACCUAAUUAUUCAAGAAAUAUUAGUGUUACUAAAUAUUAGUGUUAUUUUUUAGAACAAUAGUUUAAAACUUAAACAGUGAAAUGUGUGACUUCAUGCUCAAGCUAAAUUCCUGAUGUUAAUAGGAUUGACAUCUUACUAUUGUCAGGAAAACAACAAGCGCAGACUUGGAAACGAGGGAGAAUAGAACCCGGAAGUUAAGCGUGCUCAGGCUGGAGUAGUGAGAGGAUGGGUGACCGUCCGAGAAGUUAGAUGAUUUGGAAUGAUGAGGGGUGAUUAGAGAUUAGAGGUUAAAUUGAGCAGUGAUGAGGGGUGAUUAGAGAUGAGAGGUUAAAAUAAUUCAGAAAUUUGAAAAUAAAAGAAAAUAUUCCAAAAAAAAAUUUCAAAAUAAUUUAAAGAAAAUCAUAAAAAUUCCUUUAUUACCGGUUGGUGUUACCAACCAGGACUAAAGGUGGACCUCCAAGUAGCGGCAAUGUGGAGAGCCUUUAGUCCUGGUUCGUGUUAGAACCGGGACUAAAGGGGGAGGCUUUAGUAACGACCCUUUAGUCCCGGUUCCAGAACCGGCACUAAAGGUCCUUAUGAACCGGGACUAAAAGCCCUUUUUCUACUAGUGCAGUGAUGAGGGGUGAUUAGAGAUGAGAGGUUAAAAUAAUUCAGAAAUUUGAAAAUAAAAGAAAAUAUUCCAAAAAAAAAUUUCAAAAUAAUUUAAAAAAAAUCAUAAAAAUUCCUUUAUUACCGGUUGGUGUUACCAACCAGGACUAAAGGUGGACCUCCAAGUAGCGGCAAUGUGGAGAGCCUUUAGUCCUGGUUCGUGUUAGAACCGGGACUAAAGGGGGAGGCUUUAGUAACGACCCUUUAGUCCCGGUUCCAGAACCGGCACUAAAGGUCCUUAUGAACCGGGACUAAAAGCCCUUUUUCUACUAGUGCAUUACAGCAUUCAUGUUCACGAAUUACAGGGCACCCUUUCCCCUUCGAUUCUCAACCCAUUCAUGUGUAUAUAUGUUCACCCACCCCUCCUGCAGCACAAGGUCAAAAACUCCCAGCCAGGUUACUGCAAUUGGGUGCCGCCCCCUCCUUAUUGUAAGCACGCCGGUACUCUUGCUUUCUUUGCAGCGAUGACGCUCGCGUCGUAUCCACGGCAUCAUUUUCGUUGAAGGAGAGAUCUCAAUCAUCAUGUAUUCAUCUAGGUUGUGGCCGCAGGAUAAACCCCAUGGAUAUUGCCCCCUUUCUCAUCCCUCCAUCAUGGAAUCAGGGAUGUUUCUUCUCCACCCAAUACCAAUCUAUGCGCAGAGCAGAUGAAUUCUUAAUAUUGUGUGUUUCUGUGACAUUAUAUUCCAUGUGCAUGCUUUGCUACUUGCAGAUCGGCCAAAAAGAGAAAAUCCCAGCUCUCCGGAAACUGUAUUGCAACAGGCUACCCCUGCGGAUAUGCGCGCUCUACUCUCUGUACGCGGUGACUUGAUGGAUGCGUGCGUGGUGAUGAUUAAGGGCAUCUCCAGCCGUUGGCCCCCUAGAAGGGGCAAAAAAUCGCCCCCUGGGGAUGCACCGGCGCUAAACCGCGCACUGGGGGCGUGAUGCCCCCCAGUCGCGGCGCCCACGGUUAGUCAAAAAAGUCAAAUACGGCGCAAAAACGACUCAAAUUUAACGUAAACAUCGGCGAGUUCGUUCAAACUUAAACAUACUUUAUAAAAAAGGAAAAAACUAUUGCGGGCUACCCCCGCCGUCUCCCUCGCCGCCCGCCUCGCCGCCCGCCCACGCGGUUCUACAUGCCGAGGAGGCUGUAGAACCGCGUGUAGUCACCGCCGUCGUCGUCAUCGUCGCCGCCCCCGCCUACGCCUCUGCGUCCCUGCUGCAUCCCUCCCCCGGUUGGCGCGGCGGGUUGGACGGUCCGGGGGCGUCGUCGUCGUCGCUGUCGAGGACCACGACGCCGUGCUCGUCCUCGCGCCCACGCUUGCGAGCGGCGAUCUCCUCAAGGGCACGGCGCUGCCGGACCAUCUCGUCGCGGAGGUAGUCGUCCCGCGCCCACCGCAUGGCGUCCUCGUCGGAGAAGCCGCGCUGGGCUAUCUCCUCGUACUCCGUGGGGAGGCCGGGCUCCGGCUUGGACCCGCGCUGAUCCUCCACGCCCCGGGCACCUGCAUGUCCGGCUUGGACUCGACGAGGACGAAGCGGCCAGUGGGUGGAGAGGCAUUGGCGCCGAUGCGGACGCCGGAGCUGCGGGUGCGCGCGCUGACCGGCGUGCCCUGGGGCUCCGGCUUGACGGGGCGGAGGCAGGGCGAGCCGCCGGACGAGGAGGAGGACCCCCCCGGUCUCCAUGCGCCUCGGGGUUCAGGAGCUUCCCGGCGGCGUGAGAAGGAAGGGGGAGCGGGGUACUCGAGGCACGGCGUGUUGUCGCCCUCGAUGUACUCGAGGACGGCCUCCAACGUGCGCCCGGGCACGCCCCAGCACCGACGCCGGCCGGCGGCGUUGAGCCUGCCGGAGGGCACAACGCCGUUGGUGGCCUCGAGCUGCUGGGCGUGACGACGACGGAAGUAAGGGUCCCAAGCGGGCUGUCGGGGACGUACCGUGGCCCCUCCCUCGCCGCACGCGGCAGGUUCGAGCGGAUGCGUGCGUCCGCACGCCGCGCCGCGCCGGUGGGUACCGGGGGCACCGGCACGCCGCCCGCGCUGAUCCUCCACGCCCCGGGCACCUGCAUGUCCGGCGGGACCGGGUACUCGGCCUCGUAAAGGAGGCGAGCCUCGUCUUCAUGAAGAUGGCGGCGACCGAAGCCGUUCGCCGCCGCGCCGUCGCCUGGGAAGCGCUCGGCCAUGGGUGUGAACUGGAGACGGCGAAAAAGAGGAGAGGAGAGGGAGGAACGACGACGGCGGAAGAGUGUGAGUCGCCGAGUGCGCCGGGGCGUGUCAUAUAUAGGCCGAGGCGCGCGUGCCACCGUGUGUACGCGUGGCGGGGGAGGGAGGGCGAGGGACGCGCGUCGUCCGGUCUUCACUGCGCCGCCCGUGAGGCAUCAGUGGUGCAGGCUGACCGGCGCGGCAGCGCGCGGCAGCUUUGGCAUUGAUUCGCCGCGGGAAACGAGUCGAUGAGGACGGCGAAGGGCCGAGAAGAGAGCCGUGUCGUUGACGCGGCGGGCCCGCGGCUUUUUCGCGCCAAAACAGUUCGCCCGGCGCCCCCGGGCGUCCCCCAGCGCGCCGGGUUCGGGCUGGGUCCGCCAGCGCUGUUUUCGGCCCAAGCCGGCGAAAAUCGGGCUCCUAGGGACGCGACUGGGCCGUUUUUUCGGCGCCGACGCGAAAAAAUGCCUGAGGAGGCCUUCCUGGGAGCGCGGCUGGAGAUGCCCUAACGCAUUCGUGUUCCUGAUGGAGGCAAUAUCUGCAAGCUGAUGUGGCUCCACUACCUCCGCCUCUCUACCCAAUGGUGCAAGGAGGCGACAUGAGAGUACACAAGGCGCACGACAGCAUGCCUUUCUGUACUUCUCUUAUUACUAACAUGCCCUCUCUCUUCCACAUAAAAUUCUAGAAAGCAAACCACGAGUAUCCCAUUGUUAAGUUCUUUGCUUGCCUAAGAAUGAGAUCUUUCAUAAUUAAUUAGAUUGGGAUUUUAUGAUCGGAAGUGACCUGCACACGACGUUGUGUGCACGAUGUGCAGCCGAUAAAUCCUCCGCACCGUCAAAUACUCUACGGACAACGUCGCUGACGGCUGGAUGGGAAACGUCGUGCACGUGUCGUCUAAUAAGUGUCGGCUGUAUAGCAGUGCUCGUUGUUGGGCUUGCGAGUGUCCCGAGCAGACAUUAAGCUUUGUCCAAGCAGAGUCCAAGCCCUGUUUUGAGAGCUUUGAUGAGGCUGGCCAACCCGAGCCUUGAGCUGGCUUGAGUGACUCAGCUUGGUUUCAGCCCAAGCGACUACCACUAGCCAGGUAGCCAGCGUUUAGCUUUCAAUUUUAAGAUGAUUGACCAUCGCUUGUAGAUGCAUGUUCCCAAUCCCUCGAAAUCCUAUUACCAUUCACCUCCACGUGGGUAGCCAAUUCUGAAUAUAUACGUCAUGGGAGAAGAACAAAGCAGGAUGUAGAUCAUACAUCCAUACUGUGGUGGACCCUGGCUAGGGUGAAAGUUCUUGCUUACAUUGCAAGACAUGAUUUAUCGCAGGAUAUAUAUAAGAGAGGGCUGGGCAUUUAAUGACCAUGUUCCGACAUAGCUAAGUAUACAAUAUGGNNNNNNNNNNNNNNNNNNNNNNNNNNNNNNNNNNNNNNNNNNNNNNNNNNNNNNNNNNNNNNNNNNNNNNNNNNNNNNNNNNNNNNNNNNNNNNNNNNNNNNNNNNNNNNNNNNNNNNNNNNNNNNNNNNNNNNNNNNNNNNNNNNNNNNNNNNNNNNNNNNNNNNNNNNNNNNNNNNNNNNNNNNNNNNNNNNNNNNNNNNNNNNNNNNNNNNNNNNNNNNNNNNNNNNNNNNNNNNNNNNNNNNNNNNNNNNNNNNNNNNNNNNNNNNNNNNNNNNNNNNNNNNNNNNNNNNNNNNNNNNNNNNNNNNNNNNNNNNNNNNNNNNNNNNNNNNNGAAAGAGCUAGGCAUAUAAUGGCCAUGUGCAGUUCUAGCUAAAAAAAAUAUGUAACAAGUCAGAAUGUCCUGGAUUAUAGAGCUCUUAAACACCUCUAGCCAGUUAUAAAUUGGUUCGCUUGCGAGCAUUGGGAUACCGUACAGGAAUGACGCAACACAAACCGAGGAUGAUUCCUUAGAACUGCACGACAACAAUAGAUGAUGCUUUCCUAGAGCAUCCACAACCUUUGGAGCUAAACCGCUAUGUCGCCCACAGAAUACUCCCACCGUUGCAAAAUAACAGAAGUUCUAGGGUUUUUCUUUGUCAAAUUUUUUAAAUUUGACUAAGUGUAUAGAAAAAUCCGCAAAGACCUACGAUAAAUACUAGCAAACAUGCCCGUGCGUUGCAACGGGAGAAUGAAAUUUAUCAUGAGUCCCAAUAAGCAUUGCUCAAGACUGUCCUUGCUGCUUACCCUUUAAGCUGAUGAUGCAUGUGUUAAAUUUAUGUGAAUCAAGGUAGAUGGCUCACCAUCAAGGUAGGGACCACAUGGAUGCUGACGUCACGGAUCGAAUGGCCUUGAACAUCUCAUCCAUCGAAGGCAUUUCAUCGGUCGGCGUCUACAUCCGAUCGAGCAACUGCGUCUCCUUUACCUUACCCGACCUGUUGUGACGAGUUGCCACGGGAGGAGCAUUCAUCGGCGGGCUUGAGAGCUUGUAUGACGACUGGCACAUCGUCCAGUGAGCGACGUGUCGCUUGAACGGCGUGAACGACGACUUCUGUCGCCUUGCACCAUUGCGAUGGUGGGAUUUGGUUGGCGUCGUGUCGUCAUGGCUGCGGAAGGGGCUUGGGCUCUUUUAGACUUUAUUAUAUUUUGUUUUUUUAUAUAAUCUACCGUUUUAGAGUUUGUUUUUAGUUUUAUUGCCCGAUAGCAGACUAAGUUUGUACGGAUUGAUUCCCGCAAAAAAAAGUUUGUACGGAUUGAGCAACGAUGAUGUGAAUGCAUGUGCUAGCACAACUUUUGUUUUCUUUUAUAUUACCAGGCAGUGUGGUUAGCUAGUUAGUUCACUCAAAAAAAUCCACACACAUACACCGAACGACAAGAUUCACAGAGAUUUCACAUGAUGGAGACGUGGAGUAGUGCUGGUUGCUGAUUAGUCAGAAUUUGUGUUGACGCGUGGCUUUGCCCGCCGCUGGUCUCAGCUGCAUCUGGAUCAAAAUAAAAUAAAAUCCCAGCCCAGCCGGAUCAACAGGCAAGGCCCAGCCUGGCCGCCAGGCAUCCUGACGCCAACCCCAGCCACAAGCCCACAACACGCAGCGAGGCCUGUGGCCGAGACCCCGCCUGCCUCCCUCGAUUCCCCUCUCCUCUCUCCUCUCACUUGCAAGCCCCCCAUCGCCGUCGGCCAGCUCUCCUUUCCCCGACGCUCCCUCCCGAUUCCCUCAGGAGUCACGCCCGAGCGCCCGAGGAGAGGAGCUCCUAGAGCACCUGCGCCCGCCGCCGGCAAGACCACGGCCAGGUCGUCCCUUCUCCUUUCCCCUUUCUUCCUCCUGUCUCCUCCCCUAGCUCUCUCUCAUGCCGUCUCUCCCUCCAUCUCUUUUCCCUACAGGAGCUCCCCACGCGCCAUGGAGUUUGCAGAGGACCUCCCCUGCCUCGCGCCGCCGCCUCGUUAGCCCCGCGCCCGGAGCACGCCACUGCGGCACCUCUCUUUCUCCCUCUUUUCAUUCCUUCUCCUCCAUGGAUCGUCCUCACCCCCCACGCAUCUCUCUCCCUCUCUGUGUUCCAGGAAACGGCCAUCGCCGAGCGCCAAGCCGUAUCGAGCUCUGCCGCCCUCUGCUAUCCGUCGUGCCGGCCAGCCUCCUCUACGCCGAGGCCCUGCAGCCAUCCCACCACCUCAGAUCUCGCCGGACCCGUCCGGAUCGAGACUCGUGUUGCCCGCCGAGCUUGCCACCUGCUUGUUUUCUUCUGUCGAGCAGGAGCUCGUCCGUGGACUCCUCUGCUCCUAUUGACCCGAGCGAGCAAAUGCCCAUGACCCCCGUGGAUAGCACCGCAGUGGGUGCACUCUGCACUGCGCUGCCGCACUGCUCCCGCUGCCGCCGCCUCGUCUCCCCUCCUUUCUCCAGUUUUUCCUCCCUCCAUCUUCCCGUCUCCUUCCUGACAGGAGCCAGAUGCCAUGAAUUCGCCCGGGAAGUCGCGCUCCGGCCUUAAUCGUCGUCACCGGUGACCCCCGUCCUCACCGCCCGCCUCUGAAUCCUUCCCAGCCCAUGCCGCGCAUGGAUCCGUUCGCUGCAAGCUCCAGCCGCCGCGCCGCCGCCGUUCUGCAGAUCGCUGGUUGAAUAGAUGAAAACACAGGGUCCUGUUUGUAAAUUUGAAACAUUUUUCUGACUGAGUAAAGCCUGUAUUGCGGGUUGAUUUCUCAUAAACAGGGGGGCCUUUUUGUAAAAUGGCCGAUGACGGAUGACAGAAACCUAAUUUGCUUUAUUAUUAGGUAAAGAUAUAUAAUAUGAAAUUUCAUUUAAUAGUAAAUCUAAUGAAGUAAAUUUGGUUUUGUAGAUGUUGCUAUGUUUUUUAAUAGAGUGGUUCAAAUUUAACGAAGUUUGACUGAGAACAAUCCUGGAAGUUCAGUCAUUUUGAAACGGAGGAAUUAGAAAAGAACAUAUCUCUACAGUACCCUUUUAACCUUAUUUUACUCCAGUGAUAGAACCAUCGUAGUAAUAAUUGAGUAAAUGAAUUUAUGUGCUUUUUAGCUAAGAUGGAACUCAAAGAAUUUAUACAUGUUGAGAGAAAGAAAGCUAUUUUAAGAUGGAACGAAAGUCAGAUAAGCUUUGAUUAGUAGUGCUAAUAAACAUAGGAGGUGUUUGGUUCACACUUUUGUAACGUUAUUCGAUAACGAUGGUAACGGAUAGCGCUAAAUCGUGUUUGUUUAGAUCGCUCCGUAAUCGGAUAACUCUGGUAUCGGUUCCCACCCUAUUCAAGGUCGAUUACGCUAGGUACCCGGCGUAAUGGAAUAACGAUACAUAUGGAGCCCUGAGAACACCAUAUGGAUAGAAUCCUGUUCGUCCAGAUGUUUAAGCUGAUACUCAAUUGUGGUUGUUCCCCCAUGGGAAGCUGCCCCAACCGCUUCCUUCCUUGACAUUGCCUCACUUGCUUCUCUGCAAAGGGUCAAUCUGGUUCCAGAGCAAAGGGAGCUUUCAGCCUCCCCCAAAGAUGAUUCUGAUUAUCCAUCAAGGCUUCUCCUUGCAGCUCCUUAAACAGUUUUGUCCAGUCUCUCAAAUAUCUGGAGACCAGGCCUAGCACCUGUUACAGGGAGAUCCAUAAAACUCUUUUAAAUACUGUAGAGUUUCUAAAGUUGCACAACCAUCCCAACACUCGCGACCCGAGCGCUCCGCUAGGAUUCCGCCUGCCGCCGCUAGUCGUUGCUCUCGCCCUCCACCCCUCCCUCCCCUCCUUUCCCCCCUCCCCCGUACCCCUGCCGCCUCCCCGAGCGAGCCGACCGGGCCCCCCUCCCCAUUCCUCUCCAGCACGCCCCCCACGCUCCUCCCUCCUUCCGCCGCCGCCAGCGCACGCCGCCGGGCCUUACCCGCGUGGUGCCGGCGGCGGCGGGUCUGCCUGUCCCGGCACGCGGCCUCCCCUGCUCGAGCGUUGGUGGUUGGCGGCGGUGCUCCUUGGUUGGCGAUGGUGCGGCUUGGCGGCGGGGUUUCGCAGGUCGCUGGCGAUCCUGAUGCGGUGGCGCGGCCAUCUGGCUCCAGCUGGGUUUGGCCGAGCCGGCGUUCCGGCGUGUGGCGGUGCGUCUCCCCGGUGGUGGUGGCGGCUUCGUCGGCCGAUGUGCUGCAGCGUGGCGGCAGCGGUUGUCCGGAUCCUUUGGGGUCCGGCUGGGCUUGUGCGGGCCUGGUAAGCUCCUGUCGUCACGUCCGGUCGGCUCCGCGUCGGUGGUGGUGGUAGUGCCCUCCCGUCGGCUGAGUGGCGGAUGCCACCGAGCCCGUUGGCUCCUCGUCCCUCCUCCAGGUCUCUUGUCGGUGAGCAGAUCCUCUGGCCCGCUCCCGCUCCCGCGACUAGGGUUAGCCCCGCUCCCCCAGCCGCCGCCGCCGCCCCCUCCCGCCUCCGUCGGCCGCCGCAGCGCUCUCCCCGCCUACCUCUCCCCCUUCCCCUCUCCCUCCCCCGUGCACCUGUNNNNNNNNNNNNNNNNNNNNNNNNNNNNNNNNNNNNNNNNNNNNNNNNNNNNNNNNNNNNNNNNNNNNNNNNNNNNNNNNNNNNNNNNNNNNNNNNNNNNNNNNNNNNNNNNNNNNNNNNNNNNNNNNNNNNNNNNNNNNNNNNNNNNNNNNNNNNNNNNNNNNNNNNNNNNNNNNNNNNNNNNNNNNNNNNNNNNNNNNNNNNNNNNNNNNNNNNNNNNNNNNNNNNNNNNNNNNNNNNNNNNNNNNNNNNNNNNNNNNNNNNNNNNNNNNNNNNNNNNNNNNNNNNNNNNNNNNNNNNNNNNNNNNNNNNNNNNNNNNNNNNNNNNNNNNNNNNNNNNNNNNNNNNNNNNNNNNNNNNNNNNNNNNNNNNNNNNNNNNNNNNNNNNNNNNNNNNNNNNNNNNNNNNNNNNNNNNNNNNNNNNNNNNNNNNNNNNNNNNNNNNNNNNNNNNNNNNNNNNNNNNNNNNNNNNNNNNNNNNNNNNNNNNNNNNNNNNNNNNNNNNNNNNNNNNNNNNNNNNNNNNNNNNNNNNNNNNNNNNNNNNNNNNNNNNNNNNNNNNNNGGUGGUGAAGUGGCGGUGGUCUGCGGGCGGUGGCGGCUUCGUCGGCCAAUGAGCUGCAGCGUGACGGCAGGGGCUGUCCGGACCCUGCUGGGUUCGGCCGGGCCUCGGUGCCUGGCAGGUCCCUUGUCCGCGCGUCCGGUCGGCUCCGCGGUGGCGGUGGUGAUUGUCCCCUCACGUCGGUGAUGUUGCGGAUGCCCCCAAGGACACUCUCCCUUCUCCCAUCCUCCAGGUCUCGUGUCGGUGACCUCAGGGAGACGGCGGAGUUGAUCCGGUGAUCGUGGUGGCACAUGUUGGUGGGCGGCGCGAUGGGCGGUGCACUAUGAUUCGUCUGGGGUGGUGGUGGGGGUCUGGGUUGGGAGAAAUCUCUGGCGGCUUGUUCGGCCCCGACGCGGCGACGCCUGUGGGUGCCGUCGGACCUUCCUGAAGGGCGUCGGGUACACCCCUCCCCUCACUGCCCUCCUGCGUACCGGGGGAAACCCUAGGACUAGUCCGGGCAGCAGCGGCAUCAUCGUCGCCUCCUUCUUGAAGGUGUUGCUUGGUACGCGGCGCUUCGGGUGCUGGGAACGUGGUGGUACUUCUCUGGAGGGUGAAGCGGUCGCCGGUCAUCUUCGUUUCAUCGAUCUGCCGUUGUUGGCAUUUGUUUCUAUUCCUUUCUUCUUUGUUUUUCUUUGGGCUUAUUUGUGCUGCGGCCCUAGCACCUAUCGUUGGAUGUAUCGGUGGUUGCUUUGUAAUACAAAGCGGGGGAAAACCCUUUUUCGUCAGAGACAGCGAUGAUGGUUCGGUGACUGUGGUGGCACAUGUUGGUGAGCGGCAGUUCUGGUGGAGCACUUUAGAUCGUCCGGGGUGGUAGCGAUUGUUUGGGCUGGGAGAAAUCCCUGGUGGCUCAUCCGUCAUCGAUGCGGUGACGCGUACGGGCGCUGCCGGACCUUCCUAAAGGGCAUCGGAUAUGCCCCUUCCCCACCGCACUUUGCUUACCGGGGGAAACCAUUGGACUUGUCCGGGCAGCAGCGGCGUCGUCGUCGCAUUCCUUCCUCAAGGUGUUGCUCGGUACGCUGUGCCUUGGAGUGCUAGAAGCACGGUGGUAUUUCUCCGGAGGGUGCGCCGGUCACUAGCCAUCUUUGUUUCGUCGAUCUGCCAUUGUGAGCAUUUGUUUCUCUUUGUUUUUCUCUCUGUCUUUUGGGCUUGUUUGUGUUGCGCCCUAGCAAGCUCGUUGUAUCGGUUGGUUGCUUUAUAAUCUAAAGCGGGGGGAAACCCUUUAUCGUUUAAAGUUGCACAACCCCCACCGGAUUGCAGUUGUAACUACACCCACAUGAAGGUAUCUCUUGUUGCAAAGCCACAACUUAAUUAGCAACAGAUCCAAAAUUGACAGUUGGCACGUGGAAGAGCAUUUCUACAUCUUUCCAAAUUUUCCUAGCUACAAUACAUUCAAAAACAGAUGAUAUACAGUUUCACUCUCCUUACAAUGAACAUACUCUAGGGGUUUAGCCAUCCCCCUUUUCCUUACGUUGUCACAAGUCAUGAUUUUGUUCUAGGAGAACAGCCAAAGGAAACAUUGUACCCUAUGGUGCACUUUAGUACUCCAUACUGCAGGUAGAUACAGAGGAUGGCGGGAGAAGCCAAACCCUUACGGAGUUAAGUAGUUGAGCUAGAAAUUGCCGAGGAGGGCUAAUCCAUCAGAUCAUCGUCAUGGGGAGGUGGGGGAGCAGUGGAGCGGCACCAGAACAACACCUCAUGCUAGGAUUGCCGCAACAAAGAGCAGUCGAUGAUGAGGUGUUGCAUUGUUUCCUGUUCUUGGUCGCAAGGAGGGUAGUUGAUGUCAUGGGGCAGGCUGUGCUAGGCUGGCUAAUUCGUAGUCUAGCACCGCCCCUGAGGGCCAGCCACAUGAAGAUCUUGAUGUGUAGGGGUUGCGGCCCAAUUCUUCCAUGUCAGACGCCAAUGAGGAGCAGUGAUCACGCCCAAGAUGAUAGGCUGCUAGCAGGUCUUAGCAUUAUAUAGGCCAUUGGCAGACCAACGCCAUGUGAGCAUAUCCCGCGUGUCACUAAGAACAAUAUGGCGAAGGAGGAGCCAUAGCUAAACGUAUUGCACCAUGGCCACGAGACGAAGACCACCCUCAAUAUCAUGAAUCCAGGCAUGCAGAAGAAGGCCAUUACGAACUGAGUGGCCUUCGCGGUGGCGCUUCAACACAAUGGCGUUAAUCAAAGGGGCAAUCUCCACGAUCGAGUAGCCAUCAAUUCAGUGAUACGUCUAUAACCAUGAAGAAUGUUUGUCGCCUAGGGUCAAGAAUGUGGAGGCUUGGAAGAUCGAGUGGACGUCAGGUCGAUAAAGGAUAUAGGUAGGUGCUACAAGGACGUGACGUGUAGGUCCUCUGGAGCCACAUCCAUCGAACGCGGAGGGACAUGCCUAUGCACUGCAAGUUCUGAAUGCCAAAACCACCGAAGGCGGCAAUCGUCCUGCAUACCUUUGCCCCCGCUAGCGAGGCCGCGGCUGCUGCUCACCUCUUUUCUCCCUUACGAGAGAGGAACUUGCGGUUCAUGCACUUCAUUUUCUUCAGGACAUUGUGGCCGGGGGGAGGGCGUGCGGUUGAUAGCCAUUAGGAUAUGAACCAGCAUAGUUCAGAGCACGUGGCACCAGUCAUCAAGUUGUAAGAAUGACAUCUAUAGUAGCUGCAAUUUUCUCUUUGCCUUUCAAUCCAAUUAUGAUUAACUCGCAUGGGUAAAAUAUCUUGAAUUCAUAUGCCAUAUUGUAAUAAUAAAUGAGGAUGUAGAUCAUAUUGUGGUGGUUAAUCUCACCACCAUAGACACAUUCGACUAAAUGAAUUUAGGUGCUCUUUAGAGUUUAAGAUUACAUGGAAGUCAGAUAAUUUUAAGCUUGUUGAUCCAUACUAGUGUACAUAUGGUUAUCCUAGUCAAAGAUCAAGUCAUCGCUUCUUCUCGUAAUAAAACAGAUGAUAAUAGGCUUGAUUAACAAAACACCCAAAUUGCUUCUAGAGAUGUACCAAGAAAUGCAAGGAUGUCACAACAUGUAGAUGGAGUUUAAUUCUGGAUGGUGAAUACUCAUUGCAGUGAUGAUGUCUCUUACUCUGCUCAAUGACGAGGCAAGCAUCAGACUCACAAAAUAUAGUCAUACAUAAUGCAGAGAAAAUAUUCAUAACUGGGGACUCAGGUGUGUUGUUUGCUGAUCUACAUUCAAUCGUCGUGAUUCUGUAUUCAUCUAGUCAUUUUCUAUCGGGCAAUAAAUGAUGGAUUUUACCUUCUUUUUUGAUUGCACGCUCAUGUUUGAUAAGUUAUUGCUAAAGCAGACCUGUGGAAGUACACAUAUGCUGAUCUUUUGGAGGGGGGGGGGAGGGUGUCGGUGUCAAAACCGGCAGAUCUCGGGUAGGGGGUCCCGAACUGUGCGUCUAAGGCUAAUGGUAACAGGAGACUGGGGACACGAUGUUUACCCAGGUUCGGGCCAUGUCGAUGGACGUAAUACCCUACUUCCUGCUUGAUUGAUCUUGAUGAUAUGAGUAUUACACGAGUUGAUCUACCACGAGAUUGUAGAGGCUAAACCCUAGAAGCUAGCCUAUGGUAUGAUUGUUGUUGUCCUACGGACUAAACUCUCCGGUUUAUAUAGACACCGGAGGGGGCUAGGGUUACACAGAGUCGGUUACAGAGAAGGAGAUCUAUCAUCCGAAUCUCCAAGCUUUCCUUCCACGCAAAGGAGAGCCCCAUCCGGACACGGGACGAAGUCUUCAAUCUUGUAUCUUUAUAGUCCAACAGUCCGGCCAAAGUAUAUAGUCCGGCUGUCCGGAUACCCCCUUAUCCAGGACUCCCUCAGUAGCCCCAGAACCAGGCUUCAAUGACGAUGAGUCCGACGCGCAGAUUGUCUUCGGCAUUGCAAGGCGGGCUCCAUCUCCGAAUACUCCAAGGUAAAUUUCGAACACUUAAGUCGUGUCCGGCUCUACAGGACAAAUUUCACAUACCACCGUAGAGAGAACAAUAAUCCACAAAUCUAAUCCUCUGACAACUCUUCGUAGCGUGACAUCAUGCCACGGCCCGGUCAUUAUUCAAACUGUUUUUUAUAACUAGCUAGUGCGCAUAUUGCGAGGCGGCUUCUUUGGCACGUCUUGUUGAAGCAGAGAUCGUGCCCCCCUUAUCGUGGGAUUCUUAUCAAUACGGGUGUGGGUAACCAAACCGCACCACCAAUCGUGGUGAGUGGGGAACGAGCAGGUUUCAUUAGGCAAGCGGGGAUCCGGAGCAGGAGGCAAGUGGAUGGCCUCUACCGUCCAGGAGAAGGAUAUCAAAAAGCUUCGGGAGGCCGGGUACCUAGCCCAGAAAAUCGGCCACCGCCUUCCGACGGUGGGACAGAUUGUCCCUACUCCGGAGUCCCAUGAGAGGGUCGUAUUCCUCCCUCAUUUUGUCCGCGGGCUUGGGUUUCCCCUUCACCCAUUUGUUCGCGGCAUCAUGUAUUAUUACGGGAUUGAUUUUCAUGAUCUAUCCCCCAAUUCCUUCCUCAAUGUCUCGAUGUUUAUCAUCGUGUGCGAGACCUUUCUCCGCAUCACGCCACAGUUCGGCUUAUGGCUGAAGAUCUUCAAUGUGAAGCCCAAGGUGGUGAACGAUGAGCACGCCGAGUGCGGAGGCGCCAUGGUGAGCAGAAUGCCCAAGGUCACAUGGCCGACAGGUACUUUCAACGAUUCCGUCAAGGAGUGGUAGCAACAGUGGUUCUAUAUCACUGAGCCGCGCGGCAAGAAAUGGGCCGCUGCUCCUGAGUUCCGAUCCGGAGUCCCUUUGAGGCUUACGUCCUGUCCCAAGAAGGGCUUGAACUGAUCUUCAUCUGACCAACUGUCGGUGAUCCAGACACGCGUCAAAGGUAUGGAAGACAAGGCCAUCAAGCUUGUUGACGUAGUCCAGGUGAUGUUUGUGCGCCUGGUUCUUCCCUGUCAGCACCGAUCCUGCAAUUUGUGGGAGUAUGACCCGGCCGAGCACCAGACCCUGCGAGAGCUUUAUGGCUCCUCACACAAGGACAUCUAGAAGGUGCUUUUUAAGUCCGGCAAACCGUGGCCAGACUCUGCCGCGGACCAUGGGUACCAACUUUCACGCCCCGCAAGUCUGGUAAGUAGUCAUUAUAUUUUGUCCAUCCAUAUGUUUCAUUGUCAUAUCCCGGGGAAGAUGCCCUAACGCACUUCCUGCAAUUAUCCUAGGGAUGGACGAAGAAGGAGGGGCGGAUACAUUGUCCAACCCCGCUGCCAGAAGAACCAGCCGGACCACUUCUGACAAAGAUGCUGGUCCCGGCGCCUUACAAGGCGCCAAAGAAAGAGGCCCAUAAAGAGGCCAAGGAGACCAGGAGCGGCCUCCGUCGUCGUGGUGCUUCGGACACAAAAUCCGAAGACUCCAAUACCCAUCUCUCUUCUGAAGAGGAAGAUGAGGAGGAAGAAGACGAGUCCCGCACGGGGGAAGGAAAGAAAAGGACGACCUCCUCAUAUCUGGAGGCCGAAUUGCCUAAGAGGGAAAAAACUCUCCUGCCAGAGGCGUCCACUACGGCUACCGACAGUAGCCCGGAGUGGGAUCCCAGGUCCCAGCCCCUGGAAAACUCGUAGGUGCACAAAAUCCGAACACAUCUAUGCGACCAGGAUUACCGAGGCACAAUAAAUUAAUUGGUACCAUACUUUUUGCAGCCCGGCCAGGUCUUGCACCGAACAGUCGUCAUCGGAGGAUUCGUUGAGCUCAGAUGCCCUAAAGAGCGAGACACCUCCGAAGGCCCUUUCCCCGAAGCUCGGGCAUGACACCGAGGUGUCAUCCCAGAAGGAGCUAGACCAGGAGGGGCGUACCUCAGGGGCCGGAUAUACGGGAGCGGCGGCUCCCCUAAGUGUCGACGGCGGGGGCGAUCUUGGAUUCGGCCCACAGUCGGACACAGUCCCGGAGACCUUUGAGGCUCCGGGAUUAGACAGGCAGCUCCCCUUGACUAGAGGAGGUGAUCCUGCUCCGCCGGCGACCUUUGCCCAACCAGAGGUGCAGGACAACUUAUUGACAGUGCUAAAGAGUGCUUCCAUCGUCGAUGAACAUCGCGCCCUUAUGGGCAUGGUGAUUGAGAAGGUUCAGGCCACUGAAAGUGGACUGGAUGAAUCCUGCAUCAGCCAUAUAAAAGGCUUGGAGGUAAGUUUUAGUAGUUUUUAGAAGAUUUGUCAUAGUAUAGAUAGUAGCCCCUGAUACACUGUCCGGUGAAAGAAGGAACCAGACAGGGGAUCAAAUUUCCUUCCACAGGAGACUCAAUGCAUGACAUAUAUCUCUUCCUUUAUAAAUAGGCGUCUGCAGCGACUGCCGCAUCUCAUACUGCGGAAGUAUCCGGACUGAAGCAGAGUCUGGAGCGGGCCGAAGAAGAACUUGGCCGGGUGAAGAAGCAGUUGGAGGACCAUCAAGGUAUGUCAAAACCUUGUUAAGUUGAGCACAAUUAAGUAGGUGUGCCUAAUGAAAGUAUAUAUACUGCGCGCUCUAGGGGCGAAUGCCGAAAUUGACGCAUUGAAGAAGGCUAUGGCCUUAGCCGAAAAGAAAGCAGCCGCUGAACAGACCCUUCGCGAGAAGCACGAGGCCAGGGUCAUUGAAGCUGAACGAGAGCUUCAGGAGGCCGUGCAGAAAAGUGAGACUUUGGAGCAGAGUCUAUCAUUGAAAGAAUCCGAAGUCGCCCAAGCUCUCCAAGCCGCAGCUGAUGCUCGGGAGGAAGCCCAAGGUGCUCUGAAGGACAUUCAGCAGGCGAGGAAGAUUGCGGCUGGUAAGUCUUUUUCCUAUUUAGAGCAAUUGUUUAUGCCCUAACAGGAAAAAUUCAAGGUGACAAAUUGACUUCUGAUUUCUCCAGGGGCAUUUGCGGAUCUUUCGCGCAGCAUAUCUGAUGCUGCUCAAUUCUAUCGAGUUGAGGAGAAGAAGACUGCGGAAAAGCUUUUCUGGUCACAGUAUUUGGCACCGAAUUAUCUGGUGCCAUUCGUCGAUCAGCUGAAGCAGCUGGUCGCAGUGCACCAGGCGGCCGAACUAGCCAUGAAGGAUUUGAUUGUCCGUCUAUGGCCCACCGAGCCUAUUCCGAGCAGUUACUUUGGGCUCGUGAAGCGAAUUGUGAGUGCCUGUCCUUGGCUUGACGUCAUUAAGCGGUCGGUUUGUAUAGAAGGUGCGCGAAUGGCAUUUGCCCCCGCGAAAGUGCACUGGGGAAAGCUGGAUGCUGAAAAGCUGAUGACUGAGGGACCACCCAAGGGGAAGGAGCACCGCAAGCCUGAACUAUAUUACGAUGGUGUCCUGAAAGGAGCCCGCCUUGUGGCGGAGCAAUGUACCAAAGACAUUGUAUUUCCAUGAAGGCAAUCAUGCUGUCCUUUGUAAAGCGGAACAGAGUCACCUUUAUUUAUGUAUUUAUAUGAAAGUUUUUCUUCCUGCGCGGCCGUUUUAUAUGUUAAUCUUGAGAGUUGGCCAGUCGUCGGCUUCUGCCCCCACGUAGGAAAUACAGGGGUGUUCGGGAUAUACCUGAACACUCUUUACCCCAUUUUUGGGUCCAUAAAGGAGGUGUUCAGCACAGUGAACCAGGCAAUCAGACUAUAGGGAUUUAUCACUCUCACUUAGCCAUAGGAAUUCGAGUAUGGUAGGCGCAACCCCUGGUGUUCGGAAAGACCGCACAAGGGGAUCUAACAGCACCUGAUCGGUAGACCGAUCCGCCGCACUCUGCAUUUAUUAUGGCAUUAUGCGGAAUAAGUCCUUAAAUAUUUUACAACCUCUCGAACAGCUGACCAGCUCUCGCCUUAUCAUGACAGUCAGUUUUCGGCUUUCUCUAUUGAGGUUCUCGUCCGGAAAAACAGGGACACAAUCGCAGUAGUUCUCCCAGCGCUACCUUAGCCGAUAUUGCGGAACGUAAGGUACCAAAACAUGGGAGACGGGCAAACCCAUCUUGGACCCAAGACAUGAUUCGGAGUUGAUGCAUAUAAUGCUAUAAGUUCGGGGUGCCGAGCAACCGAGAAGGUGGUCGGACUUUUUUGCCAUAGUGCGGGUAUAAUGAACCCCUUGGCGUUUUAAGGCAUAACACAAUAUUCGGAUGCCGUUUAUGACUAAAAAAUGUCAAUAAGAGAUGAUAGCGGAUAAGCGUCAUAUAACUCUACAUGUUGUAUUCGAGUAAUACAUUUAUGCAUAUGGGUACUGUUCAUGUUGUAAAAAGGAGGUAUGACGGCAUAACCUAUUUAGACCGGGCGGGAGAGAGCUGUAUGUGAAUCCGAAGUAUGUCCAGAUUGUCUUCGGGGUAAAUGUUCAAAGAUUCCCCCUUUACACGUCCGGGCUGAUUUCCUGGCGCCAGUCCUAUUAUCCGCAAAAGAGAACAUGCAAAGAAAAUGAUGAGGGACGUAUGUGCGCCACGGAGCGAUUGAACCGCGGGGCGUGGCCCUUCCCAACUUAUGCUGGGGUGUUUGACUGGCGCCUGGUCGAGCCGAGCUAUCCUGACAUGAAUUAGUUCGGACUCCUUUAUUACUGUCCGGGGGGUUGGCUGCCGAAUCAAGGUUCGGUAAGGAGGCACAAUUCACUGCUUCAGUGGCCAUAUGCUAUUCGACGCCGAAGUAAGGCUCAGCCGUGCCCGCAAAUGUGACUAUGUCACGUGGGCCUAGUAUGGUACCACGUUGAAUCGAGCCGACAUGGUUCGCCCAGGCAGUACGUAAUAGUUACUGUAUAGGGGGUUAGUGUCUAAGACUGACUCUUCGGUAUGGUGAUCAUUCGGUGAUCCGGAGACAACCUCUAGGGUGGUGUUUAUAACUCUCACCGUGUUGGUUUGCGUAGGAGUUUCUUUUCCUCUAUAUUGCAUUGCUUUGAGACCCCUUAUUGUUUUCGGUGUGUGACCGACCGGCUUGUUUGAAGACCCGGCAUUAUCUAUUUGUAUGAUUGGCUGCCGAUCCUGGGUACCAUGGAUUUGGCAUGGGCGGCCGAGUAUGCAGUCUAGGUCGGAUGGGCCCGAAUUGCUUUGUUGAAGUGGCCUUUUCCGCUAACCGGACUGGGAGUCGCGGAAUCCAGCAUUGACUGCCAUCUCGUGGGCGUCAUCAUUAUUCUUGGGACGCUUAUGUUUGUUGCGUCGAUGUUUAUGGAUGCUAUAUCUGGCCUGUAAUGUGCCAGGGGUGUUUGCUUUGUUGCUGUGAGCCAGCCAGCUAUCUUCGCCCGCACAAAAGUGGGUAAUGAGUGUUGUUAGGGAUGCCAUGGACUUUGGUUUCUCUUGGCCGAGGUGUCGGGCGAGUCACUCAUCCCGAAUACUAUGUUUGAAGGCUGCUAUGGCUUCGGUGUCCAGACAGUCGGCGAUUUGGUUCUUUUUUAGUAGGAACCGAGUCCAGAAUCUCCUGGCUGACUCUUCGGGCUGUUGGGUAAUGUGACCUAAGUCAUCAGCAUCCGGUGGUCGCCUAUAGGUACCUUGGAAGUUGUUGAGGAAUGCGUCCUCAAGAUUUUCCCAACUGCCGAUGGAGUUCGCCGGCAGGCUAUUCAGCCAAUGUCUGGCUGGUCCUUUAAGCCUAAGGGGAGAUACUUGAUGGCAUGUAGAUCAUCACCACGGUCCAUGUGAAUGUGGAGAAGGAAAUCUUCGAUCCAUACCACAGGGUCUGUGUCACGCCCAAUAUGCGAUACUAUCCUAAAGAGACUCAAAGGUCCCACCAAGGAUAGAACCGCAUAUUGAUACGCUUUUGCAAGGUGGAUAUCAUUACAUCAACAUUACAUAAUAGAUGGGGAUACAUACAAAAGGCAUACAAUGCCACACGAAUACAACAUCAUCUUACAUAAGAGCAACAUCCGACUAUGGAUGAAACACAAACAGAAACUCAAACGACAUCCACCCUGCUAGCCCAGGCUGCCGACCUGGAACCUAUCACCUGAUCGACGAAGAAGCAGAAGAAGAACUCCAAAACAAGCAAGCAUCGCACUCGCGUCAAGAUCAUCGCAUAAACCUGUACCUGCAACUGUUGUUGUAGUAAUCUGUGAGCCACAAGGACUCAGCAAUCCCAUUACCAUGGGUAUCAAGACUAGCAAAGCUUAAUGGGAAAGGAAGGGUAAAGUGGUGAGGUUGCAGCAGCGAUUAAGCAUGAUAUGGUGGCUAACAUACGCAAAUAAGAGCAAGAAGAGAACAAGUGGAACGGUCGUGAAGCUAGCAAUGAUCAAGAAGUGAUCCUGAACUCCUACUUACGUCAAACAUAACACAGAAACCGUGUUCACUUCCCGGACUCCGCCAAAAAGAGACCAUCACGGCUACACACGAGGUUGAUGCGUUUUAAUUCGAAUCAGGUGUCAAGUUAUCUACAACCGAACAUGAACAAAUUCCCAUCUGCCCAUAACCGCGGGCACGACUUUUGAAAGUUUAUACCCUGCAGGGGUGUCCCAACUUAGCCCAUGAUAAGCUCUCGCGAUCAACGAAGGAUAUACCUUCUCCCAGGAAGACCCGAUCAGACUCGGAAUCCCGGUUUACAAGACAUUUCGACAAUGGUAAAACAAGACCAGCAAAGCCGCCCGAUGUGCCGACAAAUCCCGAUAGGAGCUUCACAUAUCUCGUUCUCAGGGCACACCGGAUAAGUCAAGCUACGAGUAAAACCAGACCUCGAGUUUCCCCGAGGGGGACCCGCAGGCUGCUCGGCUCGGACCAACACUCGAAGGAGNNNNNNNNNNNNNNNNNNNNNNNNNNNNNNNNNNNNNNNNNNNNNNNNNNNNNNNNNNNNNNNNNNNNNNNNNNNNNNNNNNNNNNNNNNNNNNNNNNNNNNNNNNNNNNNNNNNNNNNNNNNNNNNNNNNNNNNNNNNNNNNNNNNNNNNNNNNNNNNNNNNNNNNNNNNNNNNNNNNNNNNNNNNNNNNNNNNNNNNNNNNNNNNNNNNNNNNNNNNNNNNNNNNNNNAUAAUAAAGAUGACCCUUGGGCUCCGGAAACCCAAGGGAAAAAGGGCUAGGUGAGGCAAAUGGUAAAACCAAGGUUAGGCCUUGCUGGAGGAGUUUUAUUCAAAGCGAACUGUCAAGGGGGUCCCAUAAAUCACCCAACCGCGUAAGGAACGCAAAAUCUGGGAACAUAACACCAGUAUAACGGAAACUAGGGCGGCAAGAGUGGAACAAAGCACCAGGCAUAAGGCCGAGUCUUCCACCCUUUACCAAGUAUAUAGAUGCAUUAAUUAAAUAAGAGAUAUUGUGAUAUCCCAACAUAAUCCUGUCCGUCAUGGAGCAAUCUUCAACUUCACCUGCAACUAACAACGCUAUAAGAGGGGCUGAGCAAAAGCGGUAAUAUAGCCAAACAACGGUUUGCUAGGGAGGGUGUCGGUGUCAAAACCGGCGGAUCUCGGGUAGGGGGUCCCGAACUGUGUGUCUAGGCGGAUGGUAACAGGAGACAAGGUACACGAUGUUUUACCCAGGUUCGGGCCCUCUUGAUGGAGGUAAAACCCUACGUCCUGCUUGAUUAAUAUUGAUGAUGUGUGUUACAAGAGUGGAUCUACCACGAGAUCAAGGAGGCUAAACCCUAGAAGCUACCUAUGGUAUGAUUGUUGUUCGUCCUAUGGACUAAAGCCAUCCGGUUUAUAUAGACACCGGAGAGGGCUAGGGUUACACAAAGUCGGUUACAAUGGUAGGAGAUCUACAUAUCCGUAUCGCCAAGCUUGCCUUCCACGCCAAGGAAAGUCCCAUCCGGACACGGGACGAAGUCUUCAAUCUCGUAUCUUCAUAAUCUUGGAGUCCGGCCGACCAUGAUAGUUCGGCUAUCCGGACGCCCCCUAGUCCGGGACUCCCUCAGUAGCCCCCGAACCGGGCUUCAGCGACGACGAGUCCGGCGCGUAUAUUAUCUUCGACGUUGCAAGGCGGGUUCUCCUUCAAACUUCAUGUUCCUGUCGAAUAGUGUCCUGCUUCCUUAUAAAUGUUGCGCUCCUUGGCUUCUACGCCCAAUAAUGGCCUUCUUCCACGUGUCGUAUGAAUGCGAAAAGCUAGGGUAUUUUUACAUUUUACCCCCUAGCCGUGCGAAUGAGCCACCUAUAAGAGAGGCGAGGAUCUAGAUCCAGCUCACACCAUCCUCCAUCCGCAAGUUCUUAUCGAAGCGCCUCUGACAAAAAUCCAUUCCAUCAUGGAUAGUUGACGCGGCUCCUCCUCUCGCGCUCCCAGCCCUAAGCCAGGAGAUUGGGGGAGAUGCUCAGUUCCACACAGCAAGCUAGUGGCGCUCCAAACCGAGGGAUAUCUUCCCCCAGCUUUCAUGGUUCCGGUUCGAGCCGGACUGGCCACCUUCAGGGGUGGAAAGCAGGCAGAGAGCGUCCCCAACCCUUCCAAAGGAGAGCGGCUAUGCUUCGUCCCCUACCUAAUAAGGGGACUCGGAUUUCCCAUACAUCCAUUUCUCCGGGGGCUCUUGGAGUUCUACAAACUCCAGCUUCACCACCUCACACCUGCCUCCAUUUUGCACAUCGCGGGCUUUGUAGCUCUUUGCGAGCUGUUCCUGGGCAUCGAGCCCCAUUUUGCGCUGUGGAAGAGAUUGUUUUGCCUCGUACCCCGUUCUUAUGAGGGGUCGAUAUAUCAAGUGGGCAGAGCCGAAAUACGGCGCAUCGCCGGGACCGGAUAUCUAUCUGGCACCCCGAAGAAGGCGUCCGAAGACUGGCCUUCGGAAUGGUUCUACAUGGAGGACGCCCCUCUGCCGGAUCCAGUUCGGAUCGGCCUCCCGGAGUUCAGCAACGCUCCCUUGAAGAAACGCGUGAGUUGGCGCCCGCGGAGCCCUCAACGGGAGGAUGAUGGGAGCGUCCAUUAUCUGAUGGGCCGGAUUAGGUUACUGGCCCACUCUGGAUUGACCAUGAUUGGAAUCAUGGCCACGUGCAUUAUGCGAGGGGUGCAGCCACUCCAAUAUAGGGGACACCGUAUGUGGGAUUUCAACGGGGAAGAUGACGCCACCCGUCAUGGCCGCAGAGGGCCAGGCUCGGCAGCCGAUCUGGCAAAGAUCUUGUCCGGCUUGUACAAGGGGGAGGAGGAGGACUUCCUCCGCACGAAUCCAUUGAAUGGAUUCUCCAUGAAUAACGCUCGGAGCUGGGUAAGCGGACGUUUAUCUACCUGAUCCAUACUUCCAAAGUCAAGUAUCUUACUUCGUGAUUUCGACGCAGGAGCUGCGCCGGGACGUGGAGGGCAUACAAAGCCUAACUCCACAGCCCGAGGAUCCGGAACGAUCCCUUGAUCCGGCCUCCGAAGAGGAUCCGGACAUAAAGGUGGAGCUGAUCGACGGGGUGUUCCACCAGCUUAGCAUGGAUAAUGCCCUAGUCGCCAUUACGGCUGACUACCCUGGUUUGUUUCCGGCCUCCUAGGUGACUACGACCGAGGUCUUGACACCAUCAUUUGAUCCAUGCUCAAUUCUGACCAUCCUAUACUGAUGGUGCAUCGCAGGAGGUGCCUUUGAGGCGGGGAGCCGAACCUGCGGCGGCUGACCAGCAAGGGUCAGUUCGGCCCAGCAGGCGGAAGAGGAGUGCGACGCAAAUCGAAACGUCACCGCAACGGUACGGCGCACCGUCGUUUUUAAGGGAAGGAUCCCUAGGAGGUAUAUUAAUGCUCAUAACUUUUCCAGGAGAAAGAGCGCUCGCCGGACAGUGUCCGGAGAGGUUGCCAAUCAAGCCUCCGCCAGCCAUGCUCCAUCGCGUGGUCCGGAAGGGGAGGCGAACACAAGGCAUGAGCCGGAUGUUCCUCCGAUGAAGGAUGCCGACAGGCUGUCCGCCACCCGGUCUGAGGUGGAGAGCGCCAUGAAUCACAGGCGUCGCCGGAUAGUUCUUCGUGACGCGUGUUUCUCCCCGGAGGCGUUGAAUGCCUUUGAAGCGGGAGACGCGCACCUCCGUGCCGCUCAAGAUGGUUUAACCAGAGCCACGGAGUAGUAUGUGAAGGACAUACGGGUAAUUAAUUUUAAUAGUUAUAUAUGCCAGUAGCCCCCGAGACUUAAAAUAGUUAAAAUAAUUGAUUUAAGGAUCAUUUAUUAUGCAGGAUCUUACGGAGAAGAAUACCCACCUGUCCCAGGAGCUUCAAGAGUGCAAGGCCCAACUUGAGGCUGCACUGGCCGCCACAGGGGGAGCCACAGAGACCCCCGCUGGUAAUACGUACUUCAAAAAGAUAAGUAGUUAACAAAGUGCGGCGUGUGCGUAAAUCUGACAAUAAUAUUGCAGAGGGCGCCGGACUAGAUCCGGACAAGCAACAGCUACUGCGUCAGCUAAAGGCCGGCGAGAGGGUGCUUAUGAAGGUGCAGCAGGAGAGGAACAAGCUCCAGGAUGCCCACACCCAGCUAGGAGAAGAGCUGAAAGGUGUUCGGGCCCAGCUGUCUCGCUCCGUGAAGGAGAAUCAGCGGCUUCGCCGCGGCAUUUAUAGUAAGUGCUUGAGCAAAUUCCUUUGAAAAGAAGAAUUCGGCGAGGAAGUCGAUUGACAGAAAUGUGUCUUUAGGUGUGCUCACAGGUCGCCCUGCGGAGGAAAUGCCCGGUUGAACGGGUGACCAACUUCUCGAGCUGGUGCAACUGCUCGAACGUGUUCGGCAGGCGAUGAGUGGCAUCGUUCAGGCCUUAUGGCCUUCCGUCUCCCUACCUGAGGGCCUUGGAGGGCUUGCUGAGAAGCUUCAGGGAGUACGGCGACGCCUCCGUCUGUGGAAGAUAUCGGCCUGCCGUCAAGGCGCCAGGGAGGCCUGGGCCAUGGUGAAGACGUGGUACCCAAAGGCUGACCCAAACCACAUGGCCGAGGUCGGACCUGUGGGGCCUGAUGGGAAGGAGAUCCCUGUGAGCUUGAUGUACGGCCAGGUAGAGCUGGCCGCGAAAUAUUCCCAACAGGACUGUAAAUUAGACAGCCUGUUAGAUGGGAUUGAAGAGGAGUACAAUCAGUCAGUUUGACGAUGUAAUUUAAAAUGACAUGUAAAAUGCCUUCUAGCAGGAUCGUAAAUCGUUUGUCUUUGCGGACCUUUUCGCUUCAACCUCGGGACCCAACAGUUUGGAGUGUGUCCGAAUACCCUUACGGUUAUAAAAGAACCGGGGCAUGCAUGGAGACAAGGCGUCGGGGUCAUAAUUGCUUUAUAAGACAAGUGCCCAACUAGCUAUGUUAUAUUACAUGGUUAGUAAGAAACACCUUCCAGGGAGAAUAGUUCCGUUAAGGGUUCCUUUCCCUGGGAGGCAUGCCCUAAAGUGCAUGUCCGGACUGCGAAAAUAGCAGAAAAAGCAUCUGGGGGCAGAUAAAUAAGUAAGUAAUAAAUCAUCUUUCAAGUCACCGACCGAAUAUUCUCUUAAGAACGCUAGCUUUCGGCUUCACCCAGUCUGAGGUACACAUCCAGCUGACCCAGCAGUAACAAUCGUAGAGGUGCUCCCUUUACCUCCUAGCCGAACAAUCGGGAACGUAGGGGUAAGCACAGGAGCCAGGCAACCCAGCUUGGCCAAAACUUAAGUCAUAUCAAUGCAUAUAAUGGUGAAUAAAAGGUACAUGCGGAAGUAUAACACAUGUGUUGGGCAUGAAGCCCGUAUAAAUAAGCUUCUGUUAAAGAAGCCCCCAGGUAUAAUGAGUGCUAGGAUUACAUCAAGUGUGUGCGAAUCAAUGCGCAAAUCAGCCUAUAAAAGGUAUUGAAAAAACAAGUGGGAAGAAGGAGGGGGACAAGAGACAGUGAAAAUGUAAAAAGGUGGACGGAGGAGUGAGACGAACUCUGAGUCCGGCGUUAGGCGUAGAAUCUUCGGAGACGGGCUGUGUUCCAUGGGUUCAGCUCGAGUCGAUUGUCAGAUGCGUUACGUAGACGGUAUACCCCUCCGGUCAGGACUUGGUCGAUGAUGAAGGGACCUUCCCAUUUGGUCUUAAGUUUGUCCUUUUUCUUGUCCGGCAGGCGUAGAACAAGUUCGCCAACAUUGUAAGUUUUGGCCCCUACUUCUCUGCUUUGAUACCUUCGAGCCUGCUGCUGAUAGAAUGCAGAACAAGCUUUUGCCACGUCCCGCUCCUCUUCUAAGGCGUCCAAACUGUCCUGCCGAUCCAACUCGGCUUCUCUUUCUUCGUACAUGCGCACGCGAGGUGAGUCAUGAAUUAUAUCAGAGGGCAGAACUGCCUCUGCGCCGUACACCAUAAAAAAUGGUGUGAAUCCGGUAGUUCGGUUUGGCGUGGUCCGCAGCCCCCAGAGUACGGAGUUGAGCUCCUCUACCCAGUGCGUGUUAGAUUCCUUGAGGGACCGCACUAGUCUGGGUUUGAUGCCGCUCAUGAUUAGACCAUUUGCUCGCUCGACUUGACCGUUAGUUUGAGGGUGAUAGACUGAAGCGUAGUCGAGCUUGAUGCCCAUGUUUUUGCACCAGAGUUUAACGUCGUCGGCCGUGAAAUUCGUGCCGUUAUCAGUGAUGAUGCUGUGGGGGACGCCAAAACGGUGUACUACCCCGGAUAUGAAGUCUAUCACAGGUCCGAAUUCUGCCGUUUUAACCGGCUUGGCCUCAAUCCAUUUGGUGAAUUUGUCCACCAUGACCAAUAAGCAUUUGUUCUUGUGGGUUCCCCCUUUAAGGGGUCCAACCAUGUCAAGCCCCCAGACCGCGAACGUCCAGGUGAUGGGUAUAGUUUUGAGGGCGGUGGGUGGCAUGUGGCUCUGAUUAGCAAAGAGCUGGCAACCAACGCAUCGUUGGACUAAGUCCUGAGCAUCUGCCCGGGCCGUCGGCCAAUAAAAUCCUGUACGGAAGGCCUUGCCUACAAGGGCCCGGGCUGCAGUGUGGUGCCCGCCGAGUCCGGCGUGAAUUUUAGCCAGGAGAUUUCUCCCUUCCUCUUUGGAGAUACACCUUUGAAGGACUCCGGUUGUUCUUUUUUUAUAAAGUUCUCCCUCAUGGACCUUGUAGGCUUUAGAUCGCCGAACUAUGCAGCGGGCCUCAUUUUGGUCUUCGGGAAGUUCCUGCCUGAUUAAGUAGGCUAGGAAUGGUUCCGUCCACGGGGCAAUUACUGCCAUUAUUUCGUGGGCUGAAGGUGUUAUUUCAUUGGCUGAGCCGCCGAUUGUGUCAGAGUGGUCUGAGUUAGGUGAUGCAGCUGGCUCCAGAUUGUUAUUUCCGGACUCCUCUUCCCAUAAUACGGAUGGCUUAAAGGGCCGUUCCAGGAAGAUGUUUGGAGGGACGGCAUCACGUUUUGCGCUGAUGCGUGCCAACACGUCUGCUACCUGGUUAUUAUCCCGGGCUACAUGGUGGAACUCGAGUCCUUCGAACCGAGCUGACAUUUUUAGGACGGUGUUGCGGUAAGCUGCCAUUUUUGGAUCUUUGGCGUCAAAGUCCCCAUUUACUUGGGAUAUUGCGAGGUUUGAAUCCCCGCGCACCUCUAGGCGUUGAAUGCCCAUGGAGAUUGCCAUCCGGAGGCCGUGUAGAAGGGCCUCGUAUUCGGCUGCGUUGUUGGAGUCCAUGUACAUUAUUUGAAGUACGUAUUGGACUGUGUCUCCAGUUGGGGACGUCAAGACGACGCCAGCCCCCAAGCCAGCCAACAUUUUGGAUCCGUCGAAAUGCAUGAUCCAAUUGGAGUACGCGCCGUACUCUUUAGGGAGUUCGGCUUCGGUCCAUUCGGCGACGAAGUCAGCCAUAACUUGCGACUUUAUAGCUCGCCGUGGUUUGUAGGUUAUGUCAAAUGGUAAGAGCUCAAUGGCCCAUUUUGCAAUCCUGCCCGUUGCGUCGCGAUUGUUUAUAAUAUUGUUGAGAGGUACUUCGGAGGCCACCGUUAUGGAACACUCUUGAAAGUAGUGUCGCAGCUUCCGGGAUGCCAUGAACACCGCAUACGCUAUCUUUUGAUAAUGUGGGUACCGGGACAUGCAUGGAGUUAAGACAGUGGAUACGUAGUACACUGGUUUUUGAAGAGGGAAUCUGUGCCCUUCUGUUUCUCAUUCAACGACGAGUACCGCACUGACAACUUGAUGUGUUGCUGCGAUAUAUAAUAACAUAGGUUCGCCCAGGUUGGGCGCGGCUAGGACCGGAUUUGUUUCCAGUAUGGCCUUGAUUUCUUCGAGUCCGGCCGUGGCAGCAUCCGUCCAUUCGAAGUGUUCGGUGCGCCGGAGGAGGCGAUAGAGGGGCAGAGCCUUUUCUCCCAAACGGGAGAUGAACCGGCUUAGAGCCGCUACGCACCUAGUUAGUUUUUGUAUUUGCUUGAGGUAUUUUGGGAUAUCCAAUUGUGACAGAGCUCGGAUCUUGGCGGGGUUUGCUUCAAUUCUUCUACCGGAUACAAUGAAGCCCAAAAGCUUUCCGGCUGGUACUCCGGAGACACAUUUUUCCGGGUUGAGCUUAAUGUCAUAUGCUCGGAGAUUGUCAAAUGUCACCCUCAAGUCGUCUACUAGAGUUUCAACGUGUUUGGUCUUGACGACCACAUCGUCUACGUAUGCCUCUACUAUUUUGCCUAUCUGGGUAGCCAGACAUGUCUGAAUCAUGCGCUGAUAUGUUGCGCCGGCAUUUUUGAGUCCGAAGGGCAUUGUUUUGAAGCAGAAUGGCCCAUAUGGAGUAAUGAAUGCCGUUGCGGCCUGGUCUUUUUCCGCCAUCUUGAUUUGAUGGUAUCCGGAGUAUGCGUCGAGGAAGCACAAUGAAUCGUGCCCUGCGGUAGCAUUGAUGAUUUGGUCGAUGCGAGGGAGAGGGAAAGGGUCCUUUGGACAGGCCUUGUUAAGGUCUUUGAAAUCGACGUAGAGGAGCCAGGAUUUGUCCUUUUUUGGUACCAUUACUAGGUUGGCUAGCCAGUCCGGAUGUUUUAUAUCUCUGAUGAAUCUGGCUUCUAAGAGUUUGGCUAGCUCCUCUCCCAUUGCCUGUCUUUUGGGUUCGGAAAAUCGCCGAAGAGCUUGUUUGACUGGCUUGAAUCCUUUUAGUAUAUUUAGGCUGUGCUCUGCUAGCCUGCGUGGGAUUCCUGGCAUGUCUGAAGGGUGCCAGGAAAAAAUGUCCCAAUUUUCCCGGAGGAAUUCUUGUAGUGCGGCUUCUACAUCAGGAUUUAAUUGUGCCCCAAUGGAGGUCGUCUUUGUGGGGUCCGUUGGAUGGACCUGAAAUUUGACUAUUUCGUCUACUGGUUUAAAAGAGAUGGACUUGGAGCUCUUAUCGAGUAUCACAUCGUCCCUAUCCACCAUGGAGCACAGUGCAGUUAGUUCCUCUGCCGCUAGGGCUUCGGAUAAUGCCUCUAGGGCUAGUGCGGCUGUCUUAUUUUCAGCGCAGAGUGCUGUAUCUGGAUUACUGGCCAGAGUGAUUAUUCCGUUGGGUCCGGGCAUUUUGAGCUUCAUGUACCCGUAAUGGGGUAUAGCUUGGAAGAUUGUGAAUGCCUCUCGCCCUAACAAAGCGUGAUAUCCGCUGCCGAAUGGGGCCACUUGGAACGUGACCUCUUCGGACCUGUAAUUGUCCGGCGAGCCGAACACUACAUCUAGUGUGAUUUUUCCUGUGCAGCGUACUUCUCGACUAGGGAUUAUUCCCCUGAAGGUUGUGCUGCUUCGCUCAAUGCGGCUCCAGUCAAUUUCCAUUUUUUGAAGGGUUUCCUCAUAGAUGAGGUUUAAUCCGCUGCCGCCAUCCAUGAGUACCUUGGUAAGAGGAAAGUCGUCCACUAUCGGACUGAGGACUAAUGCGGCUGGUGCUCUAGCUGUUCGGAAUUAGGUUCGUCGCUGGAAUUGAAGGUGAUAGCCAUGUCGCUCCAUGGAUUUGUUGUUGCUACUUGGUAGACUUCGGCGAGGCUGCGGAUUGUUCGUUUCCGCAUGUUAUUUGAUGCGAAAGUCUCGAAGAAUGUUAAUACCGUACUGGUACUGCUGGGCUGGUUGCCCGGGGCUAAAAAGCCCUCGCCACUUUUGGCCACCUCCCGUAGUAUCCAACAUGCUCGAAGGCUAUGUGUUGGAGUGGCGCCCUCCGUACUGUGGAUUUUGCAGGGUCCGUUGAGCCAUCUCUCCAGUACGGUUCCGUACCCUUUAGGGGGUUUUUGCUUUUUGGUUUUUAACCCAGGUGCUUGAGUAUGACACACCCUUUUAUUUCGGACUGGGGUUGUAUUCAGGGCCGGAUUGUCCCAAAACCUAGUUUCGGUUUUCCAGGCACUCUCCAUGCAAUGGUCGCUAGGUCGGCGAAGCGUGUAACUUCGCGAUGACUGAUGCGUUUAUGAUUCCCUUGUCCAUGCAAUUGUUGUAGAAGAUUGAAAUUGCGCUUUCUUCACGGCAGUCCUUUAUCCUGUUCAUAACCAAGAGGAAUCUGGCCCAGUAAUGAUGUACUGUUUCAUCGGGCUCUUGCCGUAUUUGAGAUAGAUCGCUUAUGUUUGGGUGGGCGGGUGGAAUUAAGUUCGGAACCCCGCCCGAUCUGAGGCUCAAAGGCCAAGAAGCUUCCGGAUUCGGAAGCUUGGUUUGCUGAAUGCUUUCCAACAAAUCUGGUUCGAUGCCUGACUUUAGGUUCAGUAUUUGAUUAGCGUCCGUCCCUCCGCGGGAAUCCAGCAUGGAGGGAUCGGGAAUCCGGACAUAGUUGGUUUUUAACAUAGAAGAAGAGUCGCCGCAUUGUUCCUCUACCACAACAACGUGGUGGGUAACCUGGGGAGAGUUAAUUUCUCUUAGAUCGGUUUUAAGCCCAAUCUGAUCGUAGUCGGUAGCGACUCCGAGGGCGGCGAUGCGAUCCAAGAGCUCGUUUACGGAGGAGAGCUCAAUCGGAUCUAGCUGCUCAGCGAAUUCCGAGCUGACGUGAAGAUCGCUUUUAAUGACCUGAGAGGUCAUUGUCGGAGCGGUGGCCGAACAGGCGGUCAUAAGAAAACCGCCUAGCCAGAUAGUCUGGCCGGCGGCCAAAGCUCCCUUGACGAUGGUGCCGUCUUUAAAGACGGGGAAAGGCAUCCUUCCUGAUGGUGAUGGCACAGAGGACCUCUCAAUGAAAGCACCAAUGUCGGUGUCAAAACCGGCGGAUCUCGGGUAGGGGGUCCCGAACUGUGCGUCUAGGCGUAUGGUAACAGGAGACAAGGGACACGAUGUUUUACCCAGGUUCGGGCCCUCUUGAUGGAGGUAAAACCCUACGUCCUGCUUGAUUAAUAUUGAUGAUGUGUGUUGCAAGAGUGGAUCUACCACAAGAUCAAGGAGGCUAAACCCUAGAAGCUAGCCUAUGGUAUGAUUGUUGUUCGUCCUAUGGACUAAAGCCAUCCGGUUUAUAUAGACACCGGAGAGGGCUAGGGUUACACAAAGUCGGUUACAAUGGUAGGAUAUCUACAUAUCCGUAUCGCCAAGCUUGCCUUACACGCCAAGGAAAGUCCCAUCCGGACACGGGACGAAGUCUUCAAUCUCGUAUCUUCAUAAUCUUGGAGUCCGGCCGACCAUGAUAGUUCGGCUAUCCGACACCCCCUAGUCCGGGACUCCCUCAGAGGGUGAAAAGGUUAGAGGCUGACAUGGAAAUUUGGGAGGCUUGAAGAGCAAAUGAUAGGUAGCACAGCAAAGUGAUAGAACGAAGCAACUAGCAUAGCAAUGAUAGUAGUGAGAUCCAGGAUAGCGGUCAUCUUGCCUGAAAUCCCGCAAGGAAAGAGAACGAGUCCAUGAAGAAGAUGAACGGAUGAAACACAAACAGAAACUCAAAUAGAAACUCAAACGACAUCAACCCUGCUAGCCCAGGCUGUCGACCUGGAACCUAUCCCCUGAUUGAAGAAGAAGCAGAAUAAGAACUCCAAAACAAGCAAGCAUCGCACUCGCGUCAAGAUCACCGCAUAAACCUGUACCUGCAACUGUUGUUGUAGUAAUCUGUGAGCCACGAGGACUCAGCAAUCCCAUUACCAUAGGUAUCAAGACUAGCGAGGCUUAAUUGGAAAGGAAGGGUAAAGUGGUGAGGUUUUGCAGCAGCGAUUAAGCAUGAUAUGGUGGCUAACAUACGCAAAUAAGAGCGAGAAGAGAACAAGCGGAACGGUCGUGAUGCUAGCAAUGAUCAAGAAGUGAUCCUGAACUCCUACUUACGUCAAACAUAACACAGAAACCAUGUUCACUUCCCGGACUCCGCUGAAAAGAGACCAUCACGGCUACACACGCGGUUGAUGCAUUUUAAUUCGAAUCAGGUCAAGUUAUGUAUAACCGGACAUUAACAAAUUCCCAUCUGCCCAUAACCGCAGGCACGACUUUCGAAAGUUUAUACCCUGCAGGGGUGUCCCAACUUAGCCCACGAUAAGCUCUCGCGAUCAACGAAGGAUAUACCUUCUCCCAGGAAGACCCGAUCAGACUUGGAAUCCCGGUUUACAAGACAUUUCGACAAUGGUAAAACAAGACCAGCAUAGCCGCCCGAUGUGCCGACAAAUCCCGAUAGGAGCUGCACAUAUCUCGUUCUCAGGGCACACCGGAUAAGUCAAGCUACGAGUAAAACCAGACCUCGAGUUUCCCCGAGGGGGACCUGCAGGCUGCUCGGUUCGGAUCAACACUCGAAGGAGCACUGGCCCGAUGGGGGGGGGGCUAAAAUAAAGAUGACCCUUGGGCUCCGGACACCCAAGGAAAAAAGGGCUAGGUGAGGCAAAUUAAAUGGUAAAACCAAGGUUGGGCCUUGCUGGAGGAGUUUUUUUGAAAGCGAACUGUCAAGGGGGUCCCAUAAAUCACCCAACCGCGUAAGGAACGCAAAAUCCGGGAACAUAACACCGGUAUAACGGAAACUAGGGCGGCAAGAGUGGAACAAAGCACCAGGCAUAAUGCCGAGUCUUCCACCCUUUACCAAGUAAUGCAUUAAUUAAAUAAGAGAUAUUGUGAUAUCCCAACAUAAUCCUGUCCGUCAUGGAGCAAUCUUAAACUUCACCUGCAACUAACAAUGCUAUAAGAGGGGCUGAGCAAAAGCGGUAAUAUAGCCAAACAAUGGUUUGCUAGGAAGGGUGAAAAGGUUAGAGGCUGGCAUGGCAAUUUGGGAGGCUUGAAGAGCAAAUGAUAGGUAGCGCAGCAAAGCGAUAGAACGAAGCAACUAGCAUAGCAAUGAUAGUAGUGAGAUCCAGGGUAGCGGUCAUCUUGCCUGAAAUCCCGCAAGGAAAAAGAACGAGUCCAUGAAGAAGAUAAACGGAUGAAGCCGAACCAAGCGUAGACGAACGAAUCCUCACGAUCGCAACGAAACGGGAACUAUCAAGAAGAAGCACACAACAUAGUAAACACACCACACAUAGACAAGACAUGAUGCACAACCAAGCAUGAUGCAUGACAAGCUACAUGAAGCUACUCAUGGCAAGAUAUGAAGCAAACAAGAGCAACACAUCAAAGCAAGUUUAAAUGAGGCCGGAAGCAACAUUUAACAUGCAAAUUUCGAAAUUGGUCCAGAUCUGAAUAAACCUUAUGUUCAAGUUGUUAAACAGCAAGUUAAGAUGCACCAUGAUGAUCUACACGAAAUUCUAGUCAAGUUACAUAUAAAGUUCAUUAGAGUUGGAGCUACGGCCUAGAAGAUAUGAGCAAAACAAGUUAAACAUAGCAUUGAUGCAAAAUGCAUACAAACAUCAAGAAAGCACCUCAAAACAAGGAUUCAACAUGAUAACAUGAAACUACAUGCAAUUCUAAGCAAGUUCAAAACAGCAUGCUACAGCACCCCAACAUGAGAACAAAAGGCAUGGACAUGAUGUACAGGUAAUGCAUGACAAAACAUGAACACUAAGUUAUCUCCAUAAAUCACUAGAACAUGCUCAAAAAGACAUGGCAAGAUUACAUAUAAUAACAGUUUCAGACUUUGCAGAAAUAACAUCAGGUUGCAAUGUUUAGAGGUAUCAAACAACAUGUUACAGGAAUUUAACAUGGCAAACAGAGGCAUUGCAUGAUACUACUAAAUGCGUAGAACAAAAGUCUUUUACUGACCAUAAGCCAAAAAGGAUCAGAAGAUAUGAUGGCACCCAUUUAGAAAUGGCAAGUUAUAUGACAGAUUCAUACAUGGCAGGAACAACGAUAAGUAGGCACCUUGGUGAGAUUGUACCACUCACCACAGAUCAUUACAUGGCAUUACAAGGCAACCAACAGCAAGAAGAAAUGUUUAUGAAGCUAAUCAUGGCAAGAACAAGUUUAUAGGGUGCAUGGAUCACAAGAAAAGCUCAUGGCAAAACUGAACUUCACGUUAACAGACUGACAACAACAUUAUUUAGCAACUUUGGAGCAUGAUAACAAAAAUCUACAGCAGGCUAUAAAUGCAACCAGGGGAAUUGAUGGGUAGAGCAUGACAUGUAUAACAAAAGAUCCUUAGUGAACAUCUCCAGCUUAUGCAUAGAAUGACUUGUAGCAGCAGGUUUACAUAGCAUCAUAAAAUGACAGAUUCAGCCUAGCAAAACAGCAACAACAAGUACCCUACUUAACAAGCUCUAUGCACUCACUACAAGACUCACAAAAAUACAUGGAAAGCACCCCUGUAAAGAUGGCAUGACAUAGUUCAAAACACAUGUAGAGCUCAUGCUCAUAGAAUGCACACACAAAAUGCAACAAAAAUGACAAAUGAGCAUGUUCUGUUAACAGACAGUAGACAACAUCUUAUAGCACUCUUGCAACAAUGAUUCAGGCAUCAAGAUGAACUCAACCAAACAUGGCACAAUGGAAUUAAAUGUAGAGCAUCUCACAAUGAACAUUUUGAUAUAAUAUAUGCAUGAAACAGAGCUAUGGAUGCAGAGUUAUGAUGCGAUGAACAGGGGUAUAAAAUGCAAAAAUAACUCGGGACAUAGCAGAAUUUAGGAGGGUCAACCUCGCAGAAUGGAUCUGGAUCUGGGGGCUCGGGUCGAGGCGGGACGGGCUUGCCGAAGUUGGCGCUAGGGUGGCCGGAGCUUCACCGGAGGAGGGCCGGCGAGGGGAGGCGCGGGGUGCCGGCGUUGGGGAAGGCGGCGACCGGGGGCGGCGACCGGAGAAGGGAAGGGGCGGCGGCGCGGGCUCGGGAGCUCCUCUCCCUGGAUCUCAGCGCGGAGGGAUCCGGGGCUGGAAUGGGCUCCGGCGGCGGCGGCGCUCGCGAUGGCGGCGGAGGACAGGCGGCGGGGCAACGGGGAACCUGGCGAGGGGAGGCGCGGCAGGCGGCGCGAGACCCUGCGAGGCUCGGAGGCGGGGACCCAGAGGGGCGCGGCGGCGCAGGGAGGCAGGGGGGCCACGCGGCGCCCUCUAGUUGGCUGCGCGCGGCGGCGCGGACGUGUCUGGCCGGGGGCGGACGUGUCCGGGCGCGGAGGAAGAAGGAGGCUAGGGUUUUAGGGAGGAUUCAUCCGCGAAUUUGGACGGGGAGGGCAUAUUUAUAGAUUCUGGGAGCUAGGAGAGUCCAAAUGAGGUGCGGUUUUUGCCCACAUGAUCGUGAGUGAACGACCGAAAGCUUGGAGGGGGUUAGGAUGGGUUUUGGGCCACUUUGGAGGGGUGUUGGGCUGCAAAGAGAGAGGGGCUUUUACGGUUACCCGGUUAACCGUUGGAGUAUCAAACAACCUCCAAAUGGCACGAAACUUGACAGGCGGUCUACCGGUGCUAUGCCAAGGCCGCUUGGCAAGACUCGGUCCAUUUCGAGAAUGUUUAACAACCGCUCACAACGAGAGACAAAAGGGGGACGCCGGAGGACAUAGGAGUGCCGGAUGGCAAAACGGACAACGGGGAAACUGCUCGGAUGCAUCAGACGAACACGUAUGCACUGCACAUGAUGACAUGAUAAAAUGCAACAUGCAAGCAAAUGACAUGGCAACACCGACGAAUAACUGGCAGACACCUGGCGCAUCGAAUCCGGGGUGUUACAACACUCCUCCACUAACAAGAGAUCUCGUCCCAAGAUCUUAGGACUGAGACAAAAGGGAAAAGGGGUGAGGUGAAACAAAAACUCAGGAGAAGAAGCAAAGAAUCGAGAGCACUCGAGAAGUAGCGAGGAACGGCGAGAAUGAUGAGAAGCGAAAGCUCACGGAAUCAGAUAGACUAUGAAACCACUCCGGUUAGAGCGAGAUAAGAAACGAAUAAGACUGAAAGGAUUUAGGCAGCACUCCGGCUGAAAAUGGAAGGAAUAGAACCCGAGCUUGAGAGGACGGAAUGAUACUUGAUGAAGACAUGACACAAAACCUCCGGAAAGAAUUGAAAGAGUUGAAUGAAAAGAACGAAGAAGAAAAUGACAACUUGAGCCACGAAUGAAAUUGAAAGCAUCUUUAGAAGUUAGGUUUAGACGGAGUUGUUGAGAAAAUCAACAACGAAAAUAAUAAGCUUGUUGUGGUCUUAUGGUAAACUCUCAAGAUCAUAAGAUGAUAACCGGCCACAAACGAAAAUGAUUGGAUAGCUGAGAAGAAGGAAGAAAUGCAAAACUCCAUUUCAAAAGAAAAUAAAGAAUUAUUUGCACCUCGAGACGCAAGAAGAAAGAUUCUUGAACUCCACCAACAAGAAUCUUGAUGAACUCUUUGGAGAAUGAAUUAAAUUAUGACGAUCCACCAUGAAGAACUCCGGUAACAAAAAGGAUGAUGAGAUAGAAUGAAGGAAGAAAGAAUAAGAUUAAGCCUUGCGACGAUUUAAAUGGAGGUUCCAACGAAAUGGCCGAGGAAAUUGAACUCUGGAAAAGAAAAGAUGAAAACACUUGGAACUAGAAUUUAUUCAACAAGAACAAACUCCGAAGGAAGGGAUUAAUCACUUGGAUGAAAUAAGAAUAAGAUUUAUUGUAUGCUUAUCCUUCAUCAAAUUAAAUUGAUGACAAACAACGGAUUUGGCAUACUACUUAUUCUUCUUGAAAAAGAUUAAGGGGAAUGUGGCACAAAACUUGAGAGAGUCUUCAUGAACCACCGAUAGGAUUGGAAAGAACGAAUGAAUAUACGUGAAAAUAACGGAAAUAAAUCUUGAACGAACCACCGUAAGAAAUCAAAAAUGACUAAUGAAAGAGAAUGAAUCACCCGGAAGAAUUAGAAGAACCAAUAUGCUAGAGGGGAUUUAGAUGCAAGAGAACAAAGAGAUCAUGAGCUGAUUAAAGAACACUUGAACGAAGCACCGGGAUAAAUAGAGAACGAUAGCUGGAAUGUGAGGACGAAGAAUUCUUCUGGAAUGAUGGCCUCCGGUGAAAAGAAACAGAAAUCAACUCCCGAAAUACUCCGGAUAGGUGAGAAAAGGAAUAUCUGACAAAUGGAAUAAUAUGAGAGGAUAACAUGAAGCUAGAACCGAGAAUCUUCAGGAGGACAGACAAGAUUUAGUGGACAAACUCUUCUUCGAUCUUCAAAUGACGACGAGAAACAACACCAAAAUACUGAGAUACUCCGGUAGAAUGGAAAGCGAAGAGGUUGAGCCAACAAUGAAAAUAAUUUGAACUUGAUCUUGGAAAAUAUCUGACUGAUGAAAUUCAUUCCUACGUCAAGUCUGAAAAGAAUUUGGAAUAGCUCCGGAAUAAUUAGAAGAGUCAGGUAAGAUCCUGGGAAAUGACUUGUGGGUUAUGGGCCCACUAAAAGAAAACAAUGUUGGAAAGGAUUGUUGAAGAGAUAGAUGAUGCCCCGGAACAAUUGAAAUAUUUGAAUGAGGUGACAACCUCGAAUUAAUUGGAACACAGAUGAAUCUCCUGAUAUGUCUUCCGAACUCCGGAAGGAUAAACCGGCGAGAGGUGAAAAAACAGGGAAAACACUUGAUCCAAGGGAAAAAUAUAAUCACUAUCGAAAAUUGGAAUUGAAUCCACCGGAGAAGAGAUGAAGAAUGUCGAAACGAGAAUUCACCGGUUGAAAUAAUUGAGGGAAGAUUGAAGAGGCUCCACACGAAUGAAAUAGCUUCUCGAAUAAAGGCUCAGACUCUGGGAAGAGAAAGGGAUGGGAGGGCGGGAAAACAAAGGCAACUUGGAAGGGGAAAUCGACGAAUAUCUUGAAGAGAAAACACCGGUUGAAAUCACUGAGGAAAGAAGGCAAAGACUUCGCACGAGUAGGAUGGAUACUCGAUUAUGGACUCCGGCUCCAAGAAAUAAAAAUGGUUGGGCGGGUGGGAAAAAGAAAACAACUGAGGAUUGAACUUGGCAAAGACGAAGAGGCUCGAGUCAACUUGACAAGAAAUGCACCGGAUGAAAAGAGAUGAGAACCAACGAACGAAAACUAACCGCGUGAUCCUAAAGAAAAUUUGAAGGGGAAGAGGAGUAAUUCAAAACACCUACAUCAAGAUUCCUCACCAGAGCGACGAAGGGACUGAGGAGUAAAAAGAAUUCCUACUCUCCGAUAUAACUAGACUCUGAAAACAGUUUUCUUCUAGACUCGACAACGGCCAAACUACACGAUCAAUCAAGGGGGCUCCUAGGGUCGGUCGAGGCUCUGAUACCAACUUGUCACGCCCAAUAUGCGAUACUAUCCUAAAGAGAAUCAAAGGUCCCACCAAGUCUAGAACCGCAUAUUGAUACGCUUUUGCAAGGUGGAUAUCAUUACAUGAACAUUACAUAAUUGAUGGGGAUACAUACAAAAGACAUACAAUGCCACACGAAUACAACAUCAUCUUAUAUAAGAGCAACAUCCGACUACGGAUGAAACACAAACAGAAACUCAAACGACAUCCACCCUGCUAGCCCAGGCUGCCGACCUAGAACCUAUCCCCUGAUCGAAGAAGAAGCAGAAGAAGAACUCCAAAACAAGCAAGCAUCGCACUCGCGUCAAGAUCAUCACAUAAACAUGUACCUGCAACUGUUGUUGUAGUAAUCUGUGAGCCACGAGGACUCAGCAAUCCCAUUACCAUGGGUAUCAAGACUAGCGAAGCUUAAUGGGAAAGGAAGGGUAAAGUGGUGAGGUUGCAGCAACGAUUAAGCAUGAUAUGGUGGCUAACAUACGCAAAUAAGAGCGAGAAGAGAACAAGCGGAACAGUCGUGAAGCUAGCAAUGAUCAAGAGGUGAUCCUGUACUCCUACUUACGUAAAAAAUAACACAGAAACCAUGUUCACUUCCCGGACUCCGCCGAAAAGAGACCAUCACGGCUACACACGCGGUUGACGCGUUUUAAUUCGAAUCAGGUGUCAAGUUAUCUACAACCGGACAUUAACAAAUUCCCAUCUUCCCAUAACCGCGGGCACGGCUUUCGAAAGUUUAUACCCUGCAGGGGUGUCCCAACUUAGCCCAUGAUAAGCUCUCGUGAUCAACGAAGGAUAUACCUUCUCCCAGGAAGACCCGAUCAGACUCGGAAUCCCGGUUUACAAGACAUUUCGACAAUGGUAAAACAAGACCAGCAAAGCCGCCCGAUAUGCUGACAAAUCCCGAUAGGAGUUGCACAUAUCUCGUUCUCAGGGCACACUGGAUAAGUCAAGCUACGAGUAAAACCAGACCUCGAGUUUCCCCGAGGGGGCCCUGCAGGCUGCUCGCUUCGGACCAACACUCGAAGGAGCACUGGCCCGGGGGGGCUAAAAUAAAGAUGACCCUUGGGCUCCGGAAACCCAAGGGAAAAAGGGCUAGGUGAGGCAAAUGGUAAAACCAAGGUUGGGCCUUGCUGGAGGAGUUUUAUUCAAAGCGAACUAUCAAGGGGGUCCCAUAAAUCACUCAACCGCGUAAGGAACGCAAAAUCCGGGAACAUAACACCGGUAUAACAGAAACUAGGGCAGCAAGAGUGGAACAAAGCACUAGGCAUAAGGCCGAGUCUUCCACCCUUUACCAAGUAUAUAGAUGCAUUAAUUAAAUAAGAGAUAUUGUGAUAUCCCAACAUAAUCCUAUCCGUCAUGGAGCAAUCUUCAACUUCACCUGCAACUAACAAUGCUAUAAGAGGGGCUGAGCAAAAGCGGUAACAUAGCCAAACAAUGGUUUGCUAGGAAGGGUGAAAAGGUUAGAGGCUGACAUGGCAAUUUUGGAGGCUUGAAGAGCAAAUGAUAGGUAGCGCAACAAAGCUAUAGAAUGAAGCAACUAGCAUAGCAAUGAUAGUAGUGAGAUCCAGGGUAGCGAUCAUCUUGCCUGAAAUCCCGCAAGGAAGAAAAAUGAGUCCAUGAAGAAGAUGAACGGAUGAAGCCGAACCAAGCGUAGACGAACGAAUCCUCACGAUCGCAACGAAACGGGAACUAUCGAGAAGAAGCACACAACAUAGUAAACACCACACAUAGACAAGACAGGAUGCACAACCAAGCAUGAUGCAUGACAAGGGUACAUGAAGAUACUCAUGGUAAGAGAUGAAGCAAACAAGAGCAACACAUCAAAGCAAGUUUAAAUGAGGCCGAAAGCAACAUAUAACAAUUCCGGUAAGUCCUCACAUGCAAAUUUCGAAAUUGGUCCAGAUCUGAAUAAACCUUAUGUUCAAGUUGUUAAACAGAAAGUUAAGAUGCACCAUGAUGAUCUACAUGAAAUUCUAGUCAAGUUACAUAUAAAGUUCAUUAGAUUUGGAGCUACGGCCUAGAAGAUAUGAGCAAAACAAGUUAAACAUAGUAUUGAUGCAAAAUGCAUACAAACAUCAAGCAAGCACGUCAAAACAAGGAUUCAACAUGAUAACAUGAAACUACAUGCAAUUCUAAGAAAGUUUCAUAUAGAGCACACUCAAAACGGAGCAACGGUUCAACACAUGCACUCUAUACAAGUUUAAAGGACAAGUUGUCCAAAACAGCAACUAGGUAUAUUGCAAGCAUCAAAACAACAUGCUACAGCACCCCCAACAUGAGAACAAAAGGCAUGGACAUGAUGUACAGGUAAUGCAUGACAAUACAUGAGCACUGAGCUAUCUCCAGAAAUCAAUAGAACAUGCUCAAAAAGACAUGGCAAGAUUGCAUAUAAUAACAGUUUCAGACUUUGCAGAAAUAACAUCAGGUUGCAAUGUUUAGAGCUAUCAAACAUCAUGUUACAGGAAUUUAACAUGGCAAACAGAGGCAUGGCAUGAUACUACUAAAUGCAUAUAACAAAAGUCUUUUACUGACCAUAAGCCAAAAAGGAUCAGAAGAUAUGAUGGCACCCAUGUAAACAUGGCAAGUGAUAUGACAGAUUCAUACAUGGCAGGAACAACGAUAAGUAGGCAUGUUGGUGAGCUUGUACCACUCACCAUCGAGCAUUACAUGGCAUGACAAGGCAACCAACAUCAAUAAGACAUGUUUAUGAAGCUAAGCAUGGCAAGAACAAGUUUAUAGGGUGCAUGGAUCACUAGCAAAGCUCAUGGCAAAACUGAACAUCAUGUUAACAGACUGACAGGAACAUUAUUUAGCAACUUUGGAGCAUGAUAACAAAAAUCUACAGCAAACUAUAAAUGCAACCAGGGGCAUGGAUGGAUAGAGCAUGAUAUGUAUAACAAAACAUCCUUAGUUAACAUCUCCAGGUUAUGCAUAGAAUGACUUGUAGCAGCAGGUUUACAUAGCAUCACAAAAUGACAGAUUCAGCCUAGCAAAACAGCAACAGCAAGUAUCCUACUUAACAAGCUUGAUGCACUCACUACAAGACUCACAAAAAUACAUGGCAAGAACCCCUGUAAAGAUGGCAUGACAUAGUUCAAAACACAUGUAGAGCUCAUGCUCAUAGGACGCACACACAAAAUGCAACAAAAAUGACAAAUGAGCAUGUUCUAUUAACAGAUAGCAGACAACAUCUUAUAGCACUCUUGCAACGAUGAUUCAGGCAUCAAGAUGAACUCAAAAAAACAUGGCACAAUGGAAUGAAAUGUAGAGCAUCUCAUGAUGAACAUUUUGAUAUAUUAUAUGCAUGAAACGGAGCUAUGGAUGCAGAGUUAUGAUGCGAUGAAGAGGGGCAUAAAAUGCAAAAAUAACUCUGGACUUAGCAGAAUUUAGGGGGGUCAACCUCGCGGAAUGGAUCUGGAUCUGGGGGCUCGGGUCGAGGCGGGCCAGGAUCGCCGGAGUUGGGGCCAGGGUGGCCGGAGCUUCACCGGAGGAGGGCCGGCGAGGGGAGGCGCGGGGCGCCGGCGUUGAGGAGGAAGGCGGCGACCGGGGGCGGCGACCGGAGAAGGCAAGGGGCGGCGGCGCGGGCUCGGGAGCUCCUCUCCCUGGAGCUCGGCGCGGAGGGAGCCGGGUCUGGAAUGGGCUUCGACGGCGGCGGCGCUCACGAUGGCGGCGGGACAGGCGGCGGGGCGACGGGGAACCUGGCGAGGGGAGGCGCGGGAGGCGGCGCGGGACCNNNNNNNNNNNNNNNNNNNNNNNNNNNNNNNNNNNNNNNNNNNNNNNNNNNNNNNNNNNNNNNNNNNNNNNNNNNNNNNNNNNNNNNNNNNNNNNNNNNNNNNNNNNNNNNNNNNNNNNNNNNNNNNNNNNNNNNNNNNNNNNNNNNNNNNNNNNNNNNNNNNNNNNNNNNNNNNNNNNNNNNNNNNNNNNNNNNNNNNNNNNNNNNNNNNNNNNNNNNNNNNNNNNNNNNNNNNNNNNNNNNNNNNNNNNNNNNNNNNNNNNNNNNNNNNNNNNNNNNNNNNNNNNNNNNNNNNNNNNNNNNNNNNNNNNNNNNNNNNNNNNNNNNNNNNNNNNNNNNACCGGGCGAGGCUCGGCGGCGGGGACCCGGAGGGGCGUGGCGGCGCAGGGAGGCAGGGGGGCCACGCGGUGCCCUCUGGUUGGCUUGGCGCGGCGGCACGGACGUGUCCGGCCGGGGGCGGACGUGUCUGGCUGGGGGCGGACGUGUCCGGGUGCGGAGGAAGAAGAAGGCUAGGGUUUCGGGGGGAUUCAUCCGCCAAUUUGGACGGGGAGGGCAUAUUUAUAGAUUCUGGGAGCUAGGAGAGUCCAAAUGAGGUGCGGUUUUCGCCCACACGAUCGUGAUCGAACGACCGAGAGCAUGGAGGGGGUUAGGAUGGGUUUUGGGCCACUUUGUAGGGUUGUUGGGCUGCAAAGAGAGAGGGGCUUUUACGGUUACCUGGUUAACCGUUGGAGUAUCAAACGACCACCAAAUGGCACGAAACUUGACAGGCGGUCUACCGGUGCUAUACCAAGGCCGCUUGGCAAGACUCGGUCCAUUCCGAGAACGUUUAACACCCGCUCACAACAAGAAACAAAAGGGGGACGCCGGAGGACAUAGGAGUGCCGGAUUGCAAAAUGGACAACGGGGAAACUGCUCGGAUGCAUCAGACGAACACAUCGUAUGAUUCGAUGUUGACGGGUUUAAACCCUUCUAGGAAUUCAUGACCCAUUACUUCAUCAGUGAAGCAGAGGGGGUGUGCGGCGCCUCUGUGCCGGGCUAUGUCACGACACAGUCCGACUAAGUCUGGUCGGUUAUGUUCGGCCCGGCCAGACUUAUUAUUAUGUAUCUGGCAUGACGGUCAUCGUCGUGUGCUAUGGCGCGCGUCCGUGAUCUGUAGAUCGAUCUUGGUUGUCCUGCGUUGUUUUCCAAUAUGUCUCGCAGGUCCUGCGUAUUGCCCCGGGCCAUAGUGAACUGGCGUGGGGGUGCGGGCUAGUAUUCGGUCUGAUACGCCGUUUUAUCCUAGCCACGAGGUGGCCGGUCAGCCUCGUCUUGUGCUGGUAGUGUAGGCUCUGCGGCCUCCUCCCCUAGCUGAGGUAGCAACUUGUGCUUUGUGUAACCCUUGGUGGGGGGCCCCAGUCCGUAUUCCUCGGCGGCCAGGACCUCGGUCCAUCUGUCUGCGAGCAGAUCUUGAUCAGCUUGGAGCUGCUGCUUCUUUUUCAGGCUUCUUGGAGUGGCUAUAAGCCGGCGCUUAAAGUGCUCCCGCUCCAUUGGAACUUCGGGUACACCGAAUUCAUCAUCUCCGAGGCUCACCUCAUCUUCGGAGGGAGGCAUAUAGUUGUCAUCCUCCACGUAUCCAUCCGUCGCCUAUUCCUCGGGGCUGACCUGCCCGUGUUCCUGUUCGGCCUGUUCAAAGGUAGGAUGAUCAGGAUUGUAUUCCUCUUCGGCACCAUCCGGGUUGUUUUCUUCUCCUGUGUCGGUAUUGCUGUGGCGGGGCUUAGAGCGGCACCGAUGACGCCCAUGCUUUGGUUUCUUCCCUAAGGGGUUAUCUUCUGUUGCCUCAUCGCCAUUGUUUUCUUUGGGGGUGUCCACCAUAUAUAUAUAUAUAUAUAUAUAUAUAUAUAUAUAUAUAUAUAUAUAUAUAUAUAUAUAUAUAUAUAUAUAUAUAUAUAUCAUACGAAGAGGUAGCUGUCCAGCGCCCUGUGGGCAGUGGUUCCCGUUCUUCUCCCGCAUCGUCGUCUAUACCGUCGAUGUCUUCGGAGACGAGGUCAAGCACGUCGAUCAAAUCGUCGACAGUGGCUAUUAAGUGGGUGGUGGGUGGGUAACGAAUUUCUUCGUCGCUUGCUUCCCAGUCGAGCCAGACAUAGUUCGGCCAGGAAUCUCCUAACAGAGAGAGACCUUAAUGAAUUUAGCACUUCGCCAAAGGGGGAGUGCAGAAAGAUAUCCGUGGCGGUGAACUCCAUUACUGGAGCCCAAUCGGACUCGAUGGACCCGGGCGCGCGCGGUUCGGAACCCACAUCCGGACAUAGGUCCGGGGGUCCGGUGACGCAGAUUCCCUUAACGGCGGAGUGUGUGUUCGGCUCUACUGCCGAAGAGCAUGCGGCCUCCGGGGCGGGGUCCAUCCACCCGUCCUCGGACAACGCGAUCUGCCCCGAAUUUAGGUCCGGAGCAGCUGCAGGGGCGAUAUCCUGAAUACUGUCCGACAGCAGAUUUAAGUCGUGCUCAUCGUGACUGUUCGGCGCUCCUGAUAUGGGCCCGAAUUCGUCAAAGAUCAAGUCUCCGCGGAUAUCGGCCGUGUAAUUCAAGUUGCCGAACCUGACCUGAUGGCCAGGGGCGUAGCUAUCGAUCUGCUCCAGAUGGCCAAGCAAGUUGGCCCGCGGUGCGAAGCCGCCGAACACGAAGAUCUGUCCGGGGAGAAAAGUCUCGCCCUGGACUGUGUUGUUGAAGGUUGAGGGAGCCAUCGAGCCUUACAGCGACGACACAGAGAAACUCUCAAUGAAAGCACCAAUGUCGGUGUCAAGACAGGCGGAUCUCGUGUAGGGGGUCCCGAACUAUGCGUCUAAGGCUAAUGGUAACAGGAAACCGGGGACACGAUGUUUACCCAGGUUUGGGCCCUCUCGAUGGAGGUAAUACCCUACUUCCUGCUUGAUUGAUCUUGAUGAUCAUGAGUAUUAUAAGAGUUGAUCCACCACGAGAUCGUAGAGGCUAAACCCUAAGCUAUUCUAUGGUAUGAUUGUUGUUGUCCUACGGGCUAAACCCUCCGGUUUAUAUAGACACCGGAGGGGGCUAGGGUUACACAUAGUCGGUUAUAGAGAAGGAUAUCUAUCAUCCAAAUCACCAAGCUUGCCUUCCACGCAAAGGAGAGUCCCAUCCGGACUUGGGACGAAGUCUUCAAUCUUGUAUCUUCAUAGUCCAACAGUUCGUCCAAAGUAUAUAGUCCGGCUGUCCGGAUACCCCCUUAUCCAGGACUCCCUCAAGGGGCGGGGGGACAUCUUAGCGCGAGCAAAUGAAAGUGUGCAGCUUAUGUGGUGAGACAGCUUAGACUAGUGAACCACUUUUCUGAUAUAUCUGGCUAUUUUAAGACUGAACCGAGACAGGAUUUUAGUUCAUUCACUACUAGGCCGACUUGCAUAUAAACCCUUCUUUCCCAAUACCCCACAAUCCAAUAGCAUGACACACCCUAGGUUGGGAAUAGAUCUAAGCUAUGAAUAUUCCUGGGAAGAUGAACUGAAUACUGCAGAACUAUAGAUGCAGACUACCAACAAAGCUUCACUAAGUAGCAACACCACUGGAAAAAAUAGCACCAUAUAGCAUCUCUAAUAGCACGCUAUAGCGUAUUGAGAAUUGCCUCGCUAAAUAUAUCGGUGUAUAAUGUCUUGCAAAUAGCACGCUAUAGCGCGAUAUAGCACGCUAAUAACAUAUUUUUUUAGGUCGCCGCUAUUUUGCUGUAGCGCGUUAUUUUUUUCAUUGAGCAACACCCAGGGUGCUAGUUUCAUUCAUCACAACUCACAAGUAAUGUUGUGUCGUGGUGCGGUUAUAUAGAGAGCCGAACAUGCAAUAGGUCAUAUAUAGCUCCAUGCCAGCCAAGUUACCGUCAAGGAUGUGCCCGCUAUAUCAUGACCCACGGUGAUCCAGAAGGGGCACUAGGGUUCCCCUCACCACCUCAAACCUCCCUGUGCGCACAGAGAGAGAGAGAGAGAUGAUACAAGUGCUUAAAUCCGGAUUUGACUAACCGCCGAAGGGACUAAAAUAAGGAAAACGAUAUAGAUCAACUGGCUGAUAACACCGAACGCAUCAGCCGCCUCCCAGGACAUGCGUGCCUCUUCUUCCGCGACCUUAUCUCUUUCCAUCCACCUACCAUCUUGUUUCUUCCCCAAUCUCCUGCCCACGACUCUCACAAAUUGCUUCAAGGUUGACCGGUGGAGAAUCUGCUGCUGCAAUGGCCUACGAGAUGCGUCCAUGGUAUUGAUUCGCUUGCCAGCAUGGGGAUGCCCUCAGGAAGAGAAAAGGAACGAAAACACUAACGACCAUACGUGUGGCAGUUUUGCAGCUCGCCCACACGCGUGGAUCGCCGUCCCGUCGAGUUUGCACGAAUCUUGACACAAUGAGGCACAAUUCACGUGCCACGUAGGACGGGGCUGGUGUGUGGGCGUUGGAGAGUUCGCCCACACACCCACAGCACGCGGUUUGGCAGCUGCACUGUGUGGGCGAACUAGUUUCUGCCCACACAGCCAACACCUAGUUCACGAGCCUAUGGGCGAGCUGAUUUUUGUCCACACGACACUCGUACGUUAUUGGACAGCAAAUGCAGUUACGCGUACAUGGCAACUAGGUAAACACACAUGGCAACUAUGAUUUCUUGCAAGACAACAACUGCAGUUGCGCGUAUGUGGCAACCAGAUAAAGACACAUGGCAACUUUGAUUAACCAUACAUGGCAACUAUGGUUGGACCACACGUGGCAACUAGGUAAACACAUAUGGCAACUACUGUUUGACCAUAUGUACCAAGUAGUUGUUGGAAAUAUGAGCAAUUUACCGAAUGAUUUUAUUAAUAAAAAUACUAGAUAAAGCAUAACUAAAAUAGCAAAUAUAAAUCAAGUCAUGCAAUCUGACAAAGAGAAGGUAAACAUCGUCUGCAUAUAUGAACUUAAGGUAAACAUAUCUAGAACAGACACUAGAUGAAGUUGCUUAUAUGAAACAGAACCUAACAUACGUAGGGUGGAAACUAGAGCCAAGAACUGUAGGAGGACUUCUAACAGAAAGGAGAAGAACACGUACGGCACAGCAGCAGCAGAAGCGCUGGACUUGGGGUCGGUGUCCUCGCCUGCCAUGUCGUCGAGGAGGUCGUGGACGUCGGGGAAGAAGUCGUCGUCGGGGAAGUAGUCGUCGGCGACCGGAUCGUCCGUGAUGAAGCAGCCAGUAGUCGCGCUGAGCGCUCCCCAAAAACCUUAUCACCCUUCUCCCGUACAGGACUCAAAAGGUGCGAUCUCGGAGGCCUACUGUCCCGACGUGCGGUGCAUGCCGCAAGCCGGGAUGAGGAAGACAGCAGUAGCGCAGAGGUUGGAACUCUGUGGCGAGAGGAAGAGGACCUCCUGAUGUGUCUCUCGGGAGAGGAGCGACCUCUCUUAUAUAGGCAUAGCAGAGGGACGCGAACAGGCUGCGCCGGGAGGUGAAGCAACGGAGGGAGACGAAGUGAACAGGUAGCACAAGAAGAGGUGCGCCGUUCGUAUUCAUUAUCCACUACCGCAAAAACUUUUCAGCUCCCAGGUGACCUUUCGUAUACCCGUAGUGCGUGGCAAAAAUUUAGACAUCGGCUCGGCUCAUUCCCGCAACCCGCGGCGCGUCGUGGCGAGGCGGGCGGCGGAGGAGGAGCGCGCGUGGAUGUCCCUCUUGUUCUCAUGCUCAUACAAGUGGGGAAAGAACCUCCCUUAUAAGGAGUUCCAAUUCCCACUCAACUAGCAAUGUGGGACUAAACUUUAGUAGUAUCCCUUGCCUUGCACAAAUGGGCUAAGUGGGCCUCUAGGAUUUAUUAGGAAUUUCUGAAAUAGUUAUUGGGCUGCCCCAAUAUAGACUAAAUUCCAGCAAUCUCCCACCAGAUCCUAGAGGCACACAGAAAUUUUCCUUUGGUUCCAAAACACUGUUUUAUAUACCGGUACUGCAAUAGAGACUGUUAAGUUGAACUUCCACCUAGAACUCUAUGCUACACUAGUAAGCAACUUGAACAGUGGACUGGGCCUUGAACUGCAAGUUUUCUGCGAAUCUAGCUUUACAUAAAGCCUUGACCGAUACGUGGCUACCGUGGGUCUUCCCCGCGGAUGGAGCUUAUGCGUCAUACUCCGUGACCUUUCAUGAGUUUACUAGAGAGAACCCUACUCUCAUAGAUUGCGACGUUUGACAAUCAGACUCAUAUAGGUGUGUUCUUCAAAAGAUGUUCUGCAGGAUAACAUCUCUGCUUAAAUAAGCCACUUAGAACACAUUAAGAUAUACAUCAACCUGCCAUGCAGAUUAGGAGAGUAUUGCAUCUUCAUGGAGUGGUAUUGUGAAUAGUAGGGAUACUCUCCUCUCAGUUGACCAACAGCUUGUCUUCCACAUCUAAUUCACGGGAUCUCCGAUCACAAAGAAUAGGUUACCACAGUGAACAACUCAUAUUGUGGGUCUCAUACCCAUCUCCCUCGACGCAUUAUCUAUUACAUUACGCGAUAGACCCUUAGUAAAAGGAUCUGCCAGAUUUUUAGACGUUUGGAUAUAAUCCAACGCAAUAACUCCGGAGUUUUUCAUUUUCCUAACAGACUUUAACCUUCUAUGAACGUGUCUUGAUGACUUCAUGUUAUCCUUUGAGCUGCUCACUUUCGUGAUCACAGUUUGAUUGUCGCAGUUCAUAAGGACACCUGGUAUAGGUCUCUCAACAACCGGCAAGUCAUUCAAGAGCCGAAGAAGCCAAUCUGCUUCAACCGUAGCUGUAUCUAGUGCUAUGAGUUCUGCUUCCAUUGUUGACCUCGUUAAGAUGGUCUGCUUGCAAGACUUCAAGAAACAGCGCCACCUCCAUGAGUGAAUACAUAACUGCUCGUGGACUUUAUCUCAUCAGCAUCUGAGAUGCAGUUUGAGUCACUAUACCCUUCAAGCACCUUUGGGUGCCCAGUGUAGUGAAUUCCAUAAUUCGUUGUGCCUUUCAAAUAAUGCAAAACUCUCUCUAGAGCUUUCCAAUGCACAUCUCCUGGUUUUGAAACAAACCAACUCAGUUUGCUAACAGCAAAAGAGAUGUCAGGUCUUGUAGCACUGGCUAAGUACAUAAGAGAGCCAAUAAUCUAAGAAUACUUUAAUUGAUCUCUAGCAAUUCUUCGAUUCUUUUGAAGCAGCACGCUAGCAUCAUAUGGUGUUGGAGAGGGCUUGCAGUCACUAUAGCCAAAGCGACUCAAGAUCUUUUCCACAUAGUGAGAUUGAAGCAAUGUAAUCCCACCAUCAUCAUCUCUCAACAACUUGAUGUUCAGAAUGACAUCAGCCACUCCUAAAUCCUUCAUCUCAAAACUGCGAGAUAGGAAAUCCUUGACCUCCUUAAUAACAUUCAGAUUUGUUCCGAAAAUCAGUAUGUCAUCAACAUACAAGCAAAGCAUAACUCCCUCGCCCCCACCAUGGCGAUAGUACACACAUUUAUCAGCUUCGUUCACAAUAAAGCCUGCAGCUGUUAAAGUUCUUUCGAACUUCUCAUGCCACUGUUUGGGUGCUUGCUUGAGUCCAUACAAAGACUUCAGCAACUUGCACACUUUUCCUUCAUGUUCAUCUAUUACAAAUCCAUCUGGUUGUUCCAUAUAAAUUUCCUCAUCCAACUCUCCAUUUAGGAAAGCAGUCUUAACAUCCAUUGAUGAACGAGAAGACCACGUGAGGCAGCUAGUGAAAGUAGAACUCGAAUAGUGGACAAUCGAGCCACAGGUGAGUAAGUAUCAAAGAAGUCUUCACCUUCCUUUUGGGUAUAACCCUUAGCCACGAGCCGAGCCUUGUACUUUUCGAUAGUACAAUCAGGCCUAAACUUCUUCUUGAAUACCCAUUUGCAUCCUAUAUGUUUGCACCCAUAAGGAUGAUCAGUUAUCUCCCAAGUUUCAUUCGCCAAGAUAGAAUCCAUCUCGCUACGAACUGCUUCCUUCCAGUAGUCAGCAUCUUCAGAUGCAUAGGCCUCUGAAAUAGAACUGGGAGUGUCAUCUAUGAGAUACACAAGAAAAUCAUCACCAAAGGACUUUGCAGUCCUCUGUCUCUUGCUCCUAGUAGGAACUUCAUUGUUCUCCUCCACAGGACUUCCAAAGUGUUCCAUCGAAAUGGCAGUUUCGGUAACUGUAACUGGUUCCUGAUUCGAUGAACUAGGCAUCUCCUGAUUAGAUGAGGUAGCCAUAUCCUUCAUGGGAAAGAUAUCUUCAAAGAAAGUCGCAUCAUUCGACUCCAUGAUCGUACCGACAUGCAUGUCAGGUACCUCAGAUUUUACAACCAAGAAUCUAUAGCCAAUGCUAUGAAAAGCAUAUCCCAGGAAAACACAGUCCACAGUCUCUGGUCCAAGCUUCCGCUUCUUUGGAAUUGGAACAUUGACUUUCGCCAAACAACCCCAUGUUCGUAGAUAAGAGAGUCUUAACCUUUUCUUCUCCCAUUCCUUGAAUGGAGUUAUCUCUUUGUUCUUUGUGGAACUCGGUUUAGGACAUGACAUGCAGUCAAUAUCGCCUCCCCCCACCAUGCCUUGGAGAGACCCGAUGUGUCUAACAUGGCGUUAACCAAAUCAGUUAGAGUACGGUUCUUUCUUUCGGCCACCCCAUUUGACUGAGGUGAAUAGGGAGGCGUCCUCUCAUGGAUCAUAUCAUGUUCCGCACAAAAAGCAUCAAAUUCAUUGGAAAAAUACUCUCCACCAUGGUCGGACCUAAGCCUCUUGAUUUUUUUCGAUCAAGUUGGUUUUCCACUUCAGCUUUAUAGAUCUUGAAAAAGUUCAAAGUCUCAUCCUUAGAUUUCAGAAGAUACACACGACAGUAUCUAGUGGAGUCUUCAAUUAGCGUCAUGAAAUAUUUCUUUCCACCUUUUGUCAACACACCAUUCAUUUCACAUAGAUCUGAAUGUAUGAGCUCUAGUGGUGCAAGAUUUCUCAUUUCCGCAGUCGUGUGAGACUUACGAGGUUGCUUAGCUUUCACACACACUUGACACUUAGAUCCCUUGACAGUGGUGAAACUAGGGAUUAAGUUCAACUUCGCUAGUCGCGACAUGCAACCAAAGUUAACAUGACAAAGACGUGAAUGCCACAUAUUUGAUUCACUAUUGUUACAAAUAUGAUUAACAACUUUAUUGCAAACGUCUGAUAAAGAUAAACGAAACAGGCCUCCUGACUCAUAGCCUUUACCAACAAAGGUUCCAUACUUGGAUAUUACGAAUUUAUUCGACUCAAAGACAAGCUUGUAGCCAUCUCUACACAGAAGAGAUCCGCUAACAAGAUUUUUAUUGACGGAGGGGACAUAAUGUACGUUCUUCAGCCGCACGAUCUUCCCCGAAGUAAACGUUAGAUCGACCGUGCCAACACCACGAACAGAAGCACUUGAACCGUUGCCCAUCAGCAUGGUUGAAGUCCCUAUGGUCUGAUAAGACGAAAACAUGGAAAUAUCACCGCAUACAUGCACAUUAGCACCCGUGUCAAUCAACCUGUCAGGAGAAUGACAUACUGAAAGAAUAGUGGGAAAUAUACCAUACCCAUCAUCCUUCAUGUCAGUGUCUCCAAUGACAACAUUAGCGGUCUUGCCGCCUUUCCCAGGAUGACUCUUGUCAUAGCGAUUAGGGCAACUAGGAGCCCAAUGAUCAGGAUCUCCACACACAUGACAGGCACCUUUCUUCUUGCCAUUCUUCUUCUUGAAGUUCGUGUGUUGCACAGCCUUGUUCUUCCCAUCAAACUUUGCUUUACCAUCAAACUUGCCCUUGUUCUUGAACUUGUGGGGCUGAAAGUUCUGCUUCUGUACCACAUUGGCACUAGAUCCUCCCUCAAUACCUCGAGCACGUGUAUCCUUUGCUCUCGCCUUUUCUUCCACAUCAAGAGUACCAAUGAGAUCCGGAACGGAAAACUCCUGUCUCUUAUGUUUCAGUAAGGUAGCAAAGUUCCUCCAUGAAGGAGGAAGCUUAGUGAUGAUACCCCCGGCAACAGACUUGUUCGGUAGCAUGCAAUUGAAGUGCUCAAGUUUUCUAGCAAAUGAUUGUAUCUCAUGAGCCUGCUCAACCACGGAGCGCUCUUCAGUCAUCCUGUAAUCAUAGAAUUGCUCCAUGAUGUACAGCUCAGUGCCGGCAUCCGAGACCCCAAACUUGGCCUCGAGUGCGUCCCACAUAUCUUUUCCAUUAUCAAUUGACGCAUAAGCAUCAACUAUGUUCUCUCCAAGAAAACUCAAGAGCGUAACCUUAAACAAGGUAUCCAUUUUCUGAAAAGCUUGUGCCUGUUGGGCAUCUUGUUCUCCUUCAGGUUUGCCAAGAGUGGCGUCAUAGCAACUCAUGGUUUAAAACCAUAAGACUGCUCUCACGCGCCACCUCUUAUAGUGGAUACCCUCAAACAUAGGAGGUCUCAUGGAAGCAGCAAAACCACUUGGGGUAAAUUGCCUAUAAUAAGGUUUUUGGAUUGUUGAAAAUAUGAGCAAUUUACCAAAUGAUUUUAUUAACAAAAAUACUAGAUAAAGCAUGACUAAAAUAGCAAAUAUAAAGCAAGUCAUGCAAUCUGACAGAGAGAAGGUAAACAUCGGCUGCAUAUAUGAACUUGAGGUAAACACAUCUAGAACAGACACUAGAUGAAGUUGCUUAUACGAAACAGAACCUAACAUAUGUAGGGCAGAAACUAGAGCCAAGAACUGUAGGAGGACUUCUAACAAAAAGGAGAAGAACACGUAUGACACAGCAGCAGCAGAAGCGCUAGACUUGGGAUCAGUGUCCUCGCCUGCCAUGUCGUCGAGGAGGUCGUGGACGUCGGGGAAGUAGUCGUCGGUGACCGAAUCGUCCGUGAUGAAGCAGCCAGUAGUCACGCUGAGCGCUCCCCAAAAACCUUAUCACCCUUCUCCCGUACAGGACUCAAAAGGUUCGGUCUCGGAGGCCUACUGUCCCAACGUGCGGUGCACGCCGCAAGCCGGGAUGAGAAAGACAGCAGUAGCGCAGAGGUUGGAACUGUGUGGCGAGAGGAAGAGGACCUUCUGAUGUGUCUCUCGGGAGAGGAGCGACCUCUCUUAUAUAGACAUCGGCUCGGCUCAUUCCCGCAACCCACGGUGCGUCGUGACGAGGCGUGGCAUGGCGAGGCGGGCGGCGGAGGAGGAGCGCGCGUGGAUGUCCCUCUUGUUCUCAUGCUCAUACACGUGGGAAAAGAACCUCCCUUAUAAGGAGGUCCAAUUCCCAUUCAACUAGCAAUGUGGGACUAAACUUUAGUGGUAUCCCUUGCCUUGCACAAAUGGGCUAAGUGGGCCUCUAGAAUUUAUUAGGAAUUUAUGAAAUAGUUAUUGGGCUGCCCCAAUAUAGACUAAAUUCCAGCAGUAGUUAAUCACACACGGCAACUAUGGUUUGAUUACACGCGGCAACUACCAUAUAUUAGAUAUGGCAACUAUAGUUAACCAAAACAGAUAGAGUUGCCAUACUUUUACAACUACAAUCGCCAUUCCCGGAUAACUAUAUCUGUCAUCCCGGAUGCCAACUAAAUCAUCAUCUCGCAGACACCUAACGUAGCUACGCCUCGAUGUGUGGGUAUUUUUUACUCGUGCCACACGCGCGGGAUGAAGAUGAGUAGUACUUUAUUGUGCGUGUGGCACGAAGUAACUGCGUCCACACGUGUGGGCAAUUCUCAUGUUCGCCCACACUCAACCAGUGUAGGUUGCCUCCUGCUCACGGCACACACGAUGUAAGGGCGGAUGGCUAGUAUGCCACACGUGUGGCAGUUAUUGUCGUCCAAAAAGAAAUAAACUGAGAGGCAACAAAACCGAGGGUAUGUCCACAGAACUGCACGAUAAACGUGAUUAGCCAUCUCAAAACCGAUGUCAACAAAAGCUGGCAGUUCCUUAGAGGAUUCAUAACUUUUGGACUCUAUUCAUAUCAUCAUUGUAGGUAACAGAGUAACUGGGUUAAUUGUGUUUUGUAGAUAAGAAAUUCACAUGAUUUAUCCUUGUUGAUAGAAAGAAAGCUAGUUUAAGAUGAAAAGGAAGUGCUCGCGGAUGUGAAUGUGAACACAAUGAAGCAUGCCUCCUUUGCAAUCAAUUUAUCAAAUCUGUUGUGCAAAUUUUCUGUCAGUGGCCCUUCUAUGUUGAAACAUGGUUUAAGCUCGGUCCAACGCAUAUUGAGUUAAGUUCCAUCAAGAUCAAUGCUCUGAUUGGUGGAGUAACGUCGCUACUGGGUACCAAAAGAAUGCAACUACUGCUGCCAUUUUUUCCUGACAUAUAUGGAACAAACGAAACCAUUGUAUUUUUCAGAACUCCAUCGCCAACCAUGAUGUCGCUGCCAGUCAGAGAUCAACUUUGACGGUGCCCCAUAUCAGUAGGUUUAAUCUCUGCAGGUUAAGCUCUCUCAUUGUCGUACAGUCAGCGUCUAAUGAAGACUGAACCCCUUUCUUGUUCUCUUGAAUUAUUACAUGUAUCUUCCUAGUCUAUAAUGGAAAGGACAAGUACCUGUCAGUUUAUCUUAUCUUCAAAAAAAGAUGAAAAGGAAUUGAAGGAAGUCAGCUAACUUUAUCUGUUUGAUUAAUGCUAGUAAACAUUGUUCAUGACACCUUUUUCUGAUCUUGGCACGCACUACACUGUGCAGAGCGCGAUCAUUUGCAUGAUUUUGUCGUUGUGUGCAACACACACAAGACACCAAGGGCCGGAAAGGUUCCUUCACCUAUUCGAGGGAGGAAGCGCAGCGAACGUGGAACCACACAAUCAAUGUAGAUGCACGCCAAAGAUUUACACCGGUUCGGGCCGCGCGUACGCAUAACACUGUACUCCUUUUUUGCGUAUAUGUGGGAUGCACGGAGAGCUACAAGUUUGUCCCAAGACGGAAAUUGCUAACUACUGCCUCAACUAUCUCAGAGCAUCUCUAGCAGACCCCGUAUAAUGCUCCGACCGUAAAAUAACCGCAAAAAAUACGGGUCGCGUGAAAAAAAAACUGCCCGAUCAGACCUCGUAUCGGGCCGCGACCUAAAAAAAAUUGUGGGGCGCGGCAAAAAUUUGCCCUCAACCUUUAGAUUUACGGGGUGGGAGGCCGACCCGAGCUCGCCCCCUAUUCGUAGCGAGAUUUGGCGCGAGGGAAAUUUCCGCGCGUCCGUUCCUGCUUCUCACCCCCUUCGCCGCCAUUGCCCCGCCUCGGCCCGCUCCGGUCCAUCUUCCCUGGCCAUUCUUCGCCGCCAUGAAGCCUCCAGCCGCCCCCGUCAUCGUGGAUGUCGCACCCGCGCAAUCCCCUCCGGCAGAUCUCGUCGCUGGCCAUGUCGCCCCCGCCAUCUCUCAAGGCACCACCGUGCCUGUUCGCAAGCGGCAGGGCAAUGUGGUCAUGCAGGGCGGAAAUCCUACUAUCCCCACCGGGAAGGCAAGGGCGCCAGGCGCCGCCACCUCUGCGCGAUCUGCCUGACCGUGCCGGAGAAGAAGGGCAAGGUUUCGACCGUGAAGCACAAGAAGUCUCCUAUGAAAAGGCCGGCGACUUCAUCCUCUUCCUCCGCCGUGGCAAGAGGUACCCCAACGAUGCCCUUCAAAGGUGUUGCUUCAACCGCAAGCGAGGUGUUCGACGAAAUGGUCGGAAGGUAUGCUUCUUUGAUUUCUUCUACUUGCUUUGGUUUUCGCCAUUGCGGUAGCGCGUGACUUAAUGACACUCACUGUAGCGCCGAUUCGAACGAUGCCACUGCCAAGUUCGUCAACUUGUUGGACACCAACAACAACAGGAGUUGGAACCAGUGUUGCUGAUGCUUUAAGUGCGCCCGGCGAUGCUUUCGUUGCCGGAGUUGGAACAAAGUGCCGGUGAUGGACUCGGAGGCGGCGAUGGCAUCGAUGGCGGUACUGCGGAGUGAAGAUCAUGACGACGGGUGAAAAGCGACCAAGAUGAUGAUGGAUGUGGUCAUUGCUUUUGCAUGAUGUCCUUUUGUGUUUGUCGUAGAAAACUAUGCUUUUAUUUGCGUGCGAACUAUGUUUUAUUCUUCGAGUUUGAACUCAAUCGUCGGAAUCGUUGUCAAAUUGGCUACUCUGGGUUUUCAAUUGGCAGGCCGAUGCGGCCUGUGAAUAUACUGUUUAACGGGUCGGCUACGCGGUGUCUGCUCGGCCGCAGCCUGCGUCGGCCCGCAAAACCGUGUUUCACGACCAGCAAACUAGUUUUGCGGGUCGGCAUUUUAUGGGGUCUACUAGAGAUGCCUUAAUGUAGUAGUCAGGUCCUCCUUUUAUGACUCAAGGGCAUAAGGGCUAUAGUGAUCUAUACCUGACUCUGACAGAAUAGGACAAAUGCAUUAAAUGAUCCGUUGGGUGUCAUCCUCUUUUGGCCUCCUGUAACAAACGCUUUUGGCCUCAAUAGUUCUUUCAAGUUCGUACAUUGACAGGCUUGUUUCACAAAUUUUACUGAUUCCUAAUAUUGUUUUGACAGGUCGUUGCGAUUACUGUAUUCUUCCUUCUGGUGUUUGCAUUUUAUGCCUUCUUUGCACCAUUUCUGGGAACGCAAGUCCCUGAGUAUGUUGCGGUAGGCAUUUAUACUCCCAUGGUAAGUCUUAAAAAGUCUCAUUGUUUUUUAUGUCUUUUUGAUCAUCUGCAGAGAGUUAUCUUGUGGUAUCAUGAAACAUCAUUUCCACUCUUCGCAUGCAUUGACAGUCUUCAUCCUUUAGAUCGGGUGCACAAGUUUUAAUCCUGCUGAUCCUGGUAUCAUGGUAAGGUUUGAGGAUGGUUGUGUUGAUGUACCUGCCAACAAUGAUGGAUUGGCAGGCAUAAACUUGCCCCAGAAAGCAAACAACGCUAUUUGAACACACUCCCCAAGAUCUACUUGCGGAAGCUCUCUAGAUGGCCAUCCUAAUCAAAGAGGUACAUCUGUAGGGGAAGCAAACAUACAUGUGAGCUCACAACUACCAAAGAAAAGAUCAAGAUGUUUCCACUUUGGUGGGCUCGUGUGUGCUUUAUUUGUUAAGGAGGACUGCCGGAAGUCUGAUGAAUCAGAGAAACAAGCUAUUGGCGAAGAAGCUCUGUUUUGCACAUUAUGCAAUGCUGAGGUAUGCUUCUUUAGCUUUUGGCUAUGCAGCAUGCAGCCGAAUAGUCAAUUUGGAGCAUAGGCACAUUGCGCUCUUUUUUUAAGUUAAUUUUUUUAUUGACUUUUACUGCUUGAAAACAUCCAUAAUUUUGUGUAGAUGCACAUAUGGAAGUGUAGUAUAACUUUGCAAAAUUUCAUCAAUUUACGUGUUUGUACGUGACAUAUAAAAAAAAUAGACAAAUACGUAUUACCUAUAUUAUUGUUUCGUUUAUACAAUAAUAUUAUUAUGGUUGCACAUUAUUUUUACCUUCUGGAAGUGCAACUAUUACUGUUUAAGAUCCAUGAAUUAACUUCUUAGCUGUUGGGCCUGUCAUUGGCUUACUACUUACCUAUAGUGCUUGCAUGUUGGACCUAAUGUAUACUAAGCAUUACUCACCGGUUCUUACUUUUUAGAACAAGUCUUGUUAGCCGAUAAUUAACUGAAUUCUGAUAUUAUUAUGUCCAGGGUAUAUUCACACUUCUGUCAUUAGUGGCAUGCAUACCUUUAGGAGAACUUUUCUUCUUCCACAUGAUAUUGAUCAGAAAGGUUUGCCUCACACCUCAUACUUGAAAUGUACUCCAUCUGUAAACUAAUAUAAGAGCAUUUAGAUCAAUGUUUUAAAUAGCGGGCUAUGGAAAAUAGCGGCGGGCCUCCAAAUCAGCUAUAGCGGGCUAUUUGUGAAGGCGACCAUUUAGCGGCACCCUGCUGAAACGGCCGUAACUGGCUAUAGCGGAGCUAUAGCCGGCUAUUUAAAACUAUGAUUUAGAUCACUUCCUUAGUGAUCUAAAUGCUCUUAUAUCCGUUUACAGAGGGAGUAAUACAUAGUGGGAUGUUUAUCUUGCUUUCUUAGCUAGGUUCCUUCUUUAAUUCUCUAUCAGGGGAUCUCAACCUAUGGUUAUGUGGUUGCAAUGAGAGCUAUGAGUGAGGGGAUUCCAGAGGACGAGGAGGGAGCAAAUAUCAUCUAUUCCUCCUCAAAUUCAGCAACAACUGGAUUCAGUGCUGGAAGUUCUCCUGGCCUUCACCACAAGGGUGCUAGGUGUACACCUCCAAGAAUAAUUAUGAUCAGGUAAGCUGCCUAUGUAAAUUGCAAGAUUUUUGAAAGUUUAAUCAUGACUCUCAGCUGGAAAAAAAUUAUUUAUAUUGUUUGAGACAAUUGUAAGACAAUUGUAAGACUACUGAAUUUAGUUGUGCUGAAACUUUCAACCAGGAUGCAGUGAUUCCACAUUUGGACCCUGGGAUGGUUCCUUCAACCGUUGAUCCUGAUGCUGCUGGAUACGCUGAAAGAGCAAACAAAGCCAAGAAGCCAUUCACGAUCGGUGCGCGGAUCCUUGCAAAGCUGGACAUAAACGAGGUGACGAAAGUUCAGGAAAAACCUUGGGCACCAUCCUCUGUUUUCCCACCAAUAGAUGUCCGCCAUGGACAUGAAGCUGAUAUUAGCUCCAGUGGCAAUGCCAGCGUCAAGAGUUGUAUGAGUAUUGAUUACAGCGGUACAUAGGAAUUGAGGAGUGAGAUGAGGCCGUCUCCUCUAAAUACCUCAUAUCCAUAGAGUCUUGCAAGCCAGGAUGCUAUGAGACUGGCACACAGACUGCAAGCAGUUUAAGCAGCCUGGUCCACAUCCACAAGCUUACCCCUCAUGCUAAUUUUUGUGCAGCACCUCAUCCUGGUCCACCUCCUGAAAGGCCUGCGCCAGGGAUUACAAGGCCACCUGUUCCUACCACAUACAUAAGUAACAAAGCCAUGUUCCAAUCGGCCAUAUCAUAUGUGAGAGAGAACCGAAGAGUCUCUAUUGUCUGGGAUCAAGAGGCUGGUCAGUACGUGUCAAUGCCCAUGCAAACAACAGGAAAUAGACCCGGAGUUGAGCUGCCUGUAAGAAACCCAAGUUUCUUGGCGAAUCCAAGUGAAGAACCAGGAAACAACCAGGAAACCAUGGGAGAAAUCUUGCAGAUGCGACCACAACUCAUCAUCGAUUCCUUCGGGCCAGCCGGCUGAGAGAUUGAUGUACACAUGCCAAUCAGUAUUCUUUGGUGGGCCAAUCUUGAGUACCGCCAAAAUAAAUGCAGAAAGGAAUGAGGCUAGCACAAGAGUGUGUCCUGAGGGAAGCAGAGAUCCCAACUCCCACCAGCGGGACAUCCGUGGCGAGAAGCUCGGACAUGCUCAUGCCCGUUGUUUGAGCCUAGGAAUUUCUAGAAGAACCUGCUUUGUUGGCAAGUGACUUUUACCUUCUGUUUUACUGUUCUCUAUGUCGUCUGCUCAAGUGCCACCAUGACGGUGGGGGUGAAAAUACAAAGAACUGCUGAAACGGUUGCUCCUUCGGGGCAGCAAUGAUACAGAGACGUUCAUGAUCUUUAGAGCUUUAUAGUGAGCAAGGAUGGCGCUAACUUUGUUUGAUGUUUACGAACUGACUGAUAUAUGUUGUUGUUUUUUCUUUCACGUGCGUUAGGAGUUCAGUUGUUUGAUGCGCUUGAUAGGUAGUAGAAGAGUGGAUUAAACUGUUCUUGAUGUGUAGAACCUUUUGAUUUGCAGCUGACUUUGUUCACAUUGCGGACUUUGGAGUGUUCCCUUAGCUACUAUGGUAAUCGUUACUCACAUGUGAAAGCAUCAUCUCCAACUGUCUUAGUGUUUGAUUGUUUCUCUUUCAGUUGUGUUGAAGGAAUGAAUUUGAUCCAAGUGAUAUUGUUUUUCUGUGCCGUUGUUCAUCUGUCAAACGUCUGUGAUUACGCUUGAACAAGUAUUGUAUUGUAUCAUGAAUUCAUGACUAAUGUAGUAGCAGAAGUUAAACAUAGCUUCAUGCAUCCGUAGGUUAUGGAUACUCCAAGGAAGCAUCAUCAGGUGCACGAGCAGCCUGUACAAUCCGACAUCUUGAUCGAAGCAACAUCCUUCCCAAUACCUCGCAAUCCGAUUACGCUUCACCUCAUGCGGUAAACAUAUCUUGAAUCCAUAUACCAUCGGAGAAGAACACAAUGGAGGAUGUAGAUAAUACUAUUGGUGGCUAGGGUGUUUAUUCUAUUGCAUGUGGUGGCCAGGAUGUUUGUGCUAUGCAUUGCAGGACAUGUUGUACCCUGGGGGAUAUAUAUAGAGAGCUAGGGAUAUAAUGGCCAUGUGUAGACCUCGCUAUAAACCAGAAUGUACAACCCGUUGGUACAAACCUGAAUGUCCUGGCUUGUAGAGAUCCCAACCACCUCCAUCCAUGACAUAAUUGAUUCACCAACUGGCAUUGAGACACCCUCACAAAAGGCAAAAGGAAAAUCCAAGAGGCAAUAAAAUCAGAGGAUACUUCCNNNNNNNNNNCGGCGAUGCUUUCGUUGCCGGAGUUGGAACAAAGUGCCGGUGAUGGACUCGGAGGCGGCGAUGGCAUCGAUGGCGGUACUGCGGAGUGAAGAUCAUGACGACGGGUGAAAAGCGACCAAGAUGAUGAUGGAUGUGGUCAUUGCUUUUGCAUGAUGUCCUUUUGUGUUUGUCGUAGAAAACUAUGCUUUUAUUUGCGUGCGAACUAUGUUUUAUUCUUCGAGUUUGAACUCAAUCGUCGGAAUCGUUGUCAAAUUGGCUACUCUGGGUUUUCAAUUGGCAGGCCGAUGCGGCCUGUGAAUAUACUGUUUAACGGGUCGGCUACGCGGUGUCUGCUCGGCCGCAGCCUGCGUCGGCCCGCAAAACCGUGUUUCACGACCAGCAAACUAGUUUUGCGGGUCGGCAUUUUAUGGGGUCUACUAGAGAUGCCUUAAUGUAGUAGUCAGGUCCUCCUUUUAUGACUCAAGGGCAUAAGGGCUAUAGUGAUCUAUACCUGACUCUGACAGAAUAGGACAAAUGCAUUAAAUGAUCCGUUGGGUGUCAUCCUCUUUUGGCCUCCUGUAACAAACGCUUUUGGCCUCAAUAGUUCUUUCAAGUUCGUACAUUGACAGGCUUGUUUCACAAAUUUUACUGAUUCCUAAUAUUGUUUUGACAGGUCGUUGCGAUUACUGUAUUCUUCCUUCUGGUGUUUGCAUUUUAUGCCUUCUUUGCACCAUUUCUGGGAACGCAAGUCCCUGAGUAUGUUGCGGUAGGCAUUUAUACUCCCAUGGUAAGUCUUAAAAAGUCUCAUUGUUUUUUAUGUCUUUUUGAUCAUCUGCAGAGAGUUAUCUUGUGGUAUCAUGAAACAUCAUUUCCACUCUUCGCAUGCAUUGACAGUCUUCAUCCUUUAGAUCGGGUGCACAAGUUUUAAUCCUGCUGAUCCUGGUAUCAUGGUAAGGUUUGAGGAUGGUUGUGUUGAUGUACCUGCCAACAAUGAUGGAUUGGCAGGCAUAAACUUGCCCCAGAAAGCAAACAACGCUAUUUGAACACACUCCCCAAGAUCUACUUGCGGAAGCUCUCUAGAUGGCCAUCCUAAUCAAAGAGGUACAUCUGUAGGGGAAGCAAACAUACAUGUGAGCUCACAACUACCAAAGAAAAGAUCAAGAUGUUUCCACUUUGGUGGGCUCGUGUGUGCUUUAUUUGUUAAGGAGGACUGCCGGAAGUCUGAUGAAUCAGAGAAACAAGCUAUUGGCGAAGAAGCUCUGUUUUGCACAUUAUGCAAUGCUGAGGUAUGCUUCUUUAGCUUUUGGCUAUGCAGCAUGCAGCCGAAUAGUCAAUUUGGAGCAUAGGCACAUUGCGCUCUUUUUUUAAGUUAAUUUUUUUAUUGACUUUUACUGCUUGAAAACAUCCAUAAUUUUGUGUAGAUGCACAUAUGGAAGUGUAGUAUAACUUUGCAAAAUUUCAUCAAUUUACGUGUUUGUACGUGACAUAUAAAAAAAAUAGACAAAUACGUAUUACCUAUAUUAUUGUUUCGUUUAUACAAUAAUAUUAUUAUGGUUGCACAUUAUUUUUACCUUCUGGAAGUGCAACUAUUACUGUUUAAGAUCCAUGAAUUAACUUCUUAGCUGUUGGGCCUGUCAUUGGCUUACUACUUACCUAUAGUGCUUGCAUGUUGGACCUAAUGUAUACUAAGCAUUACUCACCGGUUCUUACUUUUUAGAACAAGUCUUGUUAGCCGAUAAUUAACUGAAUUCUGAUAUUAUUAUGUCCAGGGUAUAUUCACACUUCUGUCAUUAGUGGCAUGCAUACCUUUAGGAGAACUUUUCUUCUUCCACAUGAUAUUGAUCAGAAAGGUUUGCCUCACACCUCAUACUUGAAAUGUACUCCAUCUGUAAACUAAUAUAAGAGCAUUUAGAUCAAUGUUUUAAAUAGCGGGCUAUGGAAAAUAGCGGCGGGCCUCCAAAUCAGCUAUAGCGGGCUAUUUGUGAAGGCGACCAUUUAGCGGCACCCUGCUGAAANNNNNNNNNNCUUGAACAAGUAUUGUAUUGUAUCAUGAAUUCAUGACUAAUGUAGUAGCAGAAGUUAAACAUAGCUUCAUGCAUCCGUAGGUUAUGGAUACUCCAAGGAAGCAUCAUCAGGUGCACGAGCAGCCUGUACAAUCCGACAUCUUGAUCGAAGCAACAUCCUUCCCAAUACCUCGCAAUCCGAUUACGCUUCACCUCAUGCGGUAAACAUAUCUUGAAUCCAUAUACCAUCGGAGAAGAACACAAUGGAGGAUGUAGAUAAUACUAUUGGUGGCUAGGGUGUUUAUUCUAUUGCAUGUGGUGGCCAGGAUGUUUGUGCUAUGCAUUGCAGGACAUGUUGUACCCUGGGGGAUAUAUAUAGAGAGCUAGGGAUAUAAUGGCCAUGUGUAGACCUCGCUAUAAACCAGAAUGUACAACCCGUUGGUACAAACCUGAAUGUCCUGGCUUGUAGAGAUCCCAACCACCUCCAUCCAUGACAUAAUUGAUUCACCAACUGGCAUUGAGACACCCUCACAAAAGGCAAAAGGAAAAUCCAAGAGGCAAUAAAAUCAGAGGAUACUUCCGUAGAACCCCACGGCAAGAAUGUUUAGCCGUCUCAAAACUGAUGUGAACAAUAGAUGACGGUAGCAUCCACAACCCUUGGGGCUACACCUCUAUACAUCUCUCCUAUAGAAGAAACACCGACCUAUCUUCAGAACACGCUUUCCAACCUAAUUUUUGGUAUCAUCACCGUAGUAUAAUAGAGUAAUUGAGUUUAAGUGGGGGGUUUUUAUAUAAGGAGAAAUUUAUAUAAUUUUUCCUUGUUGAUAGAAAGAAAGCUAGUUUAAGAUGAAAAGGAAGUGCUCGUGGAUGUGGAUGUGAGCAAAAUGAUGCAUGCCCCCUUUGCAAUCAAUCUGUUGAAUCUUUUGGGCAUAUUUUCUGUCGAUGCCUCUUCUCCGUCGAAACCUGAUUUAAGCUCAGCCUAACGCGCAUUGACUUAAGCUCUAUCAAGAAAAACGCCCUUGGAAUCAUCAAUGAGUAGUGGAUCAACGUCGCUACUAUGAACCAAAAAAAGAUCAGAAGGAAGUAAGAUAACUUUAUGUUUGAUUAAUGUUAGUAAACAUUGUUCAUGGCACCUUUUCAUGAUCUUCGCAUGCACUGCACAUAGUGUGACCCUUUCCAUACACUUGUUGAAACAAAUUGAUGCCUAAAAUAUUAAUCAAACAUUGUCACCCCCUUCGCCGCCAUUGCCCCGCCUCGGCCCGCUCCGGUCCAUCUUCCCUGGCCAUUCUUCGCCGCCAUGAAGCCUCCAGCCGCCCCCGUCAUCGUGGAUGUCGCACCCGCGCAAUCCCCUCCGGCAGAUCUCGUCGCUGGCCAUGUCGCCCCCGCCAUCUCUCAAGGCACCACCGUGCCUGUUCGCAAGCGGCAGGGCAAUGUGGUCAUGCAGGGCGGAAAUCCUACUAUCCCCACCGGGAAGGCAAGGGCGCCAGGCGCCGCCACCUCUGCGCGAUCUGCCUGACCGUGCCGGAGAAGAAGGGCAAGGUUUCGACCGUGAAGCACAAGAAGUCUCCUAUGAAAAGGCCGGCGACUUCAUCCUCUUCCUCCGCCGUGGCAAGAGGUACCCCGACGAUGCCCUUCAAAGGUGUUGCUUCCACCGCAAGCGAGGUGUUCGACGAAAUGGUCGGAAGGUAUGCUUCUUUGAUUUCUUCUACUUGCUUUGGUUUUCGCCAUUGCGGUAGCGCGUGACUUAAUGACACUCACUGUAGCGCCGAUUCGAACGAUGCCACUGCCAAGUUCGUCAACUUGUUGGACACCAACAACAACAGGAGUUGGAACCAGUGUUGCUGAUGCUUUAAGUGCGCUCGGCGAUGCUUUCGUUGCCGGAGUUGGAACAAAGUGCCGGUGAUGGACUCGGAGGCGGCGAUGGCAUCGAUGGCGGUACUGCGGAGUGAAGAUCAUGACGACGGGUGAAAAGCGACCAAGAUGAUGAUGGAUGUGGUCAUUGCUUUUGCAUGAUGUCCUUUUGUGUUUGUCGUAGAAAACUAUGCUUUUAUUUGCGUGCGAACUAUGUUUUAUUCUUCGAGUUUGAACUCAAUCGUCGGAAUCGUUGUCAAAUUGGCUACUCUGGGUUUUCAAUUGGCAGGCCGAUGCGGCCUGUGAAUAUACUGUUUAACGGGUCGGCUACGCGGUGUCUGCUCGGCCGCAGCCUGCGUCGGCCCGCAAAACCGUGUUUCACGACCAGCAAACUAGUUUUGCGGGUCGGCAUUUUAUGGGGUCUACUAGAGAUGCCUUAAUGUAGUAGUCAGGUCCUCCUUUUAUGACUCAAGGGCAUAAGGGCUAUAGUGAUCUAUACCUGACUCUGACAGAAUAGGACAAAUGCAUUAAAUGAUCCGUUGGGUGUCAUCCUCUUUUGGCCUCCUGUAACAAACGCUUUUGGCCUCAAUAGUUCUUUCAAGUUCGUACAUUGACAGGCUUGUUUCACAAAUUUUACUGAUUCCUAAUAUUGUUUUGACAGGUCGUUGCGAUUACUGUAUUCUUCCUUCUGGUGUUUGCAUUUUAUGCCUUCUUUGCACCAUUUCUGGGAACGCAAGUCCCUGAGUAUGUUGCGGUAGGCAUUUAUACUCCCAUGGUAAGUCUUAAAAAGUCUCAUUGUUUUUUAUGUCUUUUUGAUCAUCUGCAGAGAGUUAUCUUGUGGUAUCAUGAAACAUCAUUUCCACUCUUCGCAUGCAUUGACAGUCUUCAUCCUUUAGAUCGGGUGCACAAGUUUUAAUCCUGCUGAUCCUGGUAUCAUGGUAAGGUUUGAGGAUGGUUGUGUUGAUGUACCUGCCAACAAUGAUGGAUUGGCAGGCAUAAACUUGCCCCAGAAAGCAAACAACGCUAUUUGAACACACUCCCCAAGAUCUACUUGCGGAAGCUCUCUAGAUGGCCAUCCUAAUCAAAGAGGUACAUCUGUAGGGGAAGCAAACAUACAUGUGAGCUCACAACUACCAAAGAAAAGAUCAAGAUGUUUCCACUUUGGUGGGCUCGUGUGUGCUUUAUUUGUUAAGGAGGACUGCCGGAAGUCUGAUGAAUCAGAGAAACAAGCUAUUGGCGAAGAAGCUCUGUUUUGCACAUUAUGCAAUGCUGAGGUAUGCUUCUUUAGCUUUUGGCUAUGCAGCAUGCAGCCGAAUAGUCAAUUUGGAGCAUAGGCACAUUGCGCUCUUUUUUUAAGUUAAUUUUUUUAUUGACUUUUACUGCUUGAAAACAUCCAUAAUUUUGUGUAGAUGCACAUAUGGAAGUGUAGUAUAACUUUGCAAAAUUUCAUCAAUUUACGUGUUUGUACGUGACAUAUAAAAAAAAUAGACAAAUACGUAUUACCUAUAUUAUUGUUUCGUUUAUACAAUAAUAUUAUUAUGGUUGCACAUUAUUUUUACCUUCUGGAAGUGCAACUAUUACUGUUUAAGAUCCAUGAAUUAACUUCUUAGCUGUUGGGCCUGUCAUUGGCUUACUACUUACCUAUAGUGCUUGCAUGUUGGACCUAAUGUAUACUAAGCAUUACUCACCGGUUCUUACUUUUUAGAACAAGUCUUGUUAGCCGAUAAUUAACUGAAUUCUGAUAUUAUUAUGUCCAGGGUAUAUUCACACUUCUGUCAUUAGUGGCAUGCAUACCUUUAGGAGAACUUUUCUUCUUCCACAUGAUAUUGAUCAGAAAGGUUUGCCUCACACCUCAUACUUGAAAUGUACUCCAUCUGUAAACUAAUAUAAGAGCAUUUAGAUCAAUGUUUUAAAUAGCGGGCUAUGGAAAAUAGCGGCGGGCCUCCAAAUCAGCUAUAGCGGGCUAUUUGUGAAGGCGACCAUUUAGCGGCACCCUGCUGAAAAGGCCGUAACUGGCUAUAGCGGAGCUAUAGCCGGCUAUUUAAAACUAUGAUUUAGAUCACUUCAUUAGUGAUCUAAAUGCUCUUAUAUCCGUUUACAGAGGGAGUAAUACAUAGUGGGAUGUUUAUCUUGCUUUCUUAGCUAGGUUCCUUCUUUAAUUCUCUAUGAGGGGAUCUCAACCUAUGGUUAUGUGGUUGCAAUGAGAGCUAUGAGUGAGGGGAUUCCAGAGGACGAGGAGGGAGCAAAUAUCAUCUAUUCCUCCUCAAAUUCAGCAACAACUGGAUUCAGUGCUGGAAGUUCUCCUGGCCUUCACCACAAGGGUGCUAGGUGUACACCUCCAAGAAUAAUUAUGAUCAGGUAAGCUGCCUAUGUAAAUUGCAAGAUUUUUGAAAGUUUAAUCAUGACUCUCAGCUGGAAAAAAAUUAUUUAUAUUGUUUGAGACAAUUGUAAGACAAUUGUAAGACUACUGAAUUUAGUUGUGCUGAAACUUUCAACCAGGAUGCAGUGAUUCCACAUUUGGACCCUGGGAUGGUUCCUUCAACCGUUGAUCCUGAUGCUGCUGGAUACGCUGAAAGAGCAAACAAAGCCAAGAAGCCAUUCACGAUCGGUGCGCGGAUCCUUGCAAAGCUGGACAUAAACGAGGUGACGAAAGUUCAGGAAAAACCUUGGGCACCAUCCUCUGUUUUCCCACCAAUAGAUGUCCGCCAUGGACAUGAAGCUGAUAUUAGCUCCAGUGGCAAUGCCAGCGUCAAGAGUUGUAUGAGUAUUGAUUACAGCGGUACAUAGGAAUUGAGGAGUGAGAUGAGGCCGUCUCCUCUAAAUACCUCAUAUCCAUAGAGUCUUGCAAGCCAGGAUGCUAUGAGACUGGCACACAGACUGCAAGCAGUUUAAGCAGCCUGGUCCACAUCCACAAGCUUACCCCUCAUGCUAAUUUUUGUGCAGCACCUCAUCCUGGUCCACCUCCUGAAAGGCCUGCGCCAGGGAUUACAAGGCCACCUGUUCCUACCACAUACAUAAGUAACAAAUCCAUGUUCCAAUCGGCCAUAUCAUAUGUGAGAGAGAACCGAAGAGUCUCUAUUGUCUGGGAUCAAGAGGCUGGUCAGUACGUGUCAAUGCCCAUGCAAACAACAGGAAAUAGACCCGGAGUUGAGCUGCCUGUAAGAAACCCAAGUUUCUUGGCGAAUCCAAGUGAAGAACCAGGAAACAACCAGGAAACCAUGGGAGAAAUCUUGCAGAUGCGACCACAACUCAUCAUCGAUUCCUUCGGGCCAGCCGGCUGAGAGAUUGAUGUACACAUGCCAAUCAGUAUUCUUUGGUGGGCCAAUCUUGAGUACCGCCAAAAUAAAUGCAGAAAGGAAUGAGGCUAGCACAAGAGUGUGUCCUGAGGGAAGCAGAGAUCCCAACUCCCACCAGCGGGACAUCCGUGGCGAGAAGCUCGGACAUGCUCAUGCCCGUUGUUUGAGCCUAGGAAUUUCUAGAAGAACCUGCUUUGUUGGCAAGUGACUUUUACCUUCUGUUUUACUGUUCUCUAUGUCGUCUGCUCAAGUGCCACCAUGACGGUGGGGGUGAAAAUACAAAGAACUGCUGAAACGGUUGCUCCUUCGGGGCAGCAAUGAUACAGAGACGUUCAUGAUCUUUAGAGCUUUAUAGUGAGCAAGGAUGGCGCUAACUUUGUUUGAUGUUUACGAACUGACUGAUAUAUGUUGUUGUUUUUUCUUUCACGUGCGUUAGGAGUUCAGUUGUUUGAUGCGCUUGAUAGGUAGUAGAAGAGUGGAUUAAACUGUUCUUGAUGUGUAGAACCUUUUGAUUUGCAGCUGACUUUGUUCACAUUGCGGACUUUGGAGUGUUCCCUUAGCUACUAUGGUAAUCGUUACUCACAUGUGAAAGCAUCAUCUCCAACUGUCUUAGUGUUUGAUUGUUUCUCUUUCAGUUGUGUUGAAGGAAUGAAUUUGAUCCAAGUGAUAUUGUUUUUCUGUGCCGUUGUUCAUCUGUCAAACGUCUGUGAUUACACUUGAACAAGUAUUGUAUUGUAUCAUGAAUUCAUGACUAAUGUAGUAGCAGAAGUUAAACAUAGCUUCAUGCAUCCGUAGGUUAUGGAUACUCCAAGGAAGCAUCAUCAGGUGCACGAGCAGCCUGUACAAUCCGACAUCUUGAUCGAAGCAACAUCCUUCCCAAUACCUCGCAAUCCGAUUACGCUUCACCUCAUGCGGUAAACAUAUCUUGAAUCCAUAUACCAUCGGAGAAGAACACAAUGGAGGAUGUAGAUAAUACUAUUGGUGGCUAGGGUGUUUAUUCUAUUGCAUGUGGUGGCCAGGAUGUUUGUGCUAUGCAUUGCAGGACAUGUUGUACCCUGGGGGAUAUAUAUAGAGAGCUAGGGAUAUAAUGGCCAUGUGUAGACCUCGCUAUAAACCAGAAUGUACAACCCGUUGGUACAAACCUGAAUGUCCUGGCUUGUAGAGAUCCCAACCACCUCCAUCCAUGACAUAAUUGAUUCACCAACUGGCAUUGAGACACCCUCACAAAAGGCAAAAGGAAAAUCCAAGAGGCAAUAAAAUCAGAGGAUACUUCCAUAGAACCCCACGGCAAGAAUGUUUAGCCGUCUCAAAACUGAUGUGAACAAUAGAUGACGGUAGCAUCCACAACCCUUGGGGCUACACCUCUAUACAUCUCUCCUAUAGAAGAAACACCGACCUAUCUUCAGAACACGCUUUCCAACCUAAUUUUUGGUAUCAUCACCGUAGUAUAAUAGAGUAAUUGAGUUUAAGUGGGGGUUUUUUAUAUAAGGAGAAACUUAUAUAAUUUUUCCUUGUUGAUAGAAAGAAAGCUAGUUUAAGAUGAAAAGGAAGUGCUCGUGGAUGUGGAUGUGAGCAAAAUGAUGCAUGCCCCCUUUGCAAUCAAUCUGUUGAAUCUUUUGGGCAUAUUUUCUGUCGAUGCCUCUUCUCCGUCGAAACCUGAUUUAAGCUCAGCCUAACGCGCAUUGACUUAAGCUCUAUCAAGAAAAACGCCCUUGGAAUCAUCAAUGAGUAGUGGAUCAACGUCGCUACUAUGAACCAAAAAAAGAUCAGAAGGAAGUAAGAUAACUUUAUGUUUGAUUAAUGUUAGUAAACAUUGUUCAUGGCACCUUUUCAUGAUCUUCGCAUGCACUGCACAUAGUGUGACCCUUUCCAUACACUUGUUGAAACAAAUUGAUGCCUAAAAUACUGUCCUUUACUCUUCAUUAUUUUACAACAUACUUCAGAGUAAAAAAGGUGUUGAUGAAUGAAAUGACUACAAGUAGUAAACCUUAAUUUUUUUGCAUCCAUAAAAAAAUCGUUUGAUUAACCAUAGAGCACUUAUUUUAUGUUGAGUACAAUUUCCAAACUAUCCCACAAACUUCAGAAUGCUUGAGCGUUUGAUACCCUGGAAUCAUGAAAUGAAGACUCGGAAGAAUUUACGGGUUGCAAUUGACUGGCGAAUGGCAGUGGUUAAGGUGGAAGGAGCGCCGGUGUAGCUGGCAACAAGUGGUGGAGGAACAUAUUGUUGGGGUGGGGCCAGCGACGCUCUAACAUGCAAGGCAUCGAUUGCGGGGGUUGAGAUGAGAAAGAGAGCUCGUGCGCCGGUGCAUGAAAGACAAGCUGGGCACAGGAGGAAGGUUUGCUAGGCUUGCUUGCAGACCGAGUCAAACUCAAUCUUUGACCAAGCCGAGUCCAAGUCCAACUUUGAAGGCUUAGAUGAGCUUGGCAACGCCGAGACAAAAGCUAGUUCAGCGGCUUGUUUCCAACCCAAGGAGCAGCCUCUAAGGGCAUCUUCAGCCGUUCGGCCCCCCAGGGCGCCUAAAUAGAGCGGCCUGGGGGCGUGCCGGCGCUAGUUCGGCCCCUGGGGACGACCUAACUCCCAGUCACGCCCCCACGCGCCGGCCCCAGGAUGCGGGAAAUUCAAACUUGGUCGUUCCCGCUUUCAAAAGACGCCGCAAAUCCGGCGAUUGAACGUAGUCUAGCGUCACAAAAAACAGAGGGCCGCCGUGCGCACCGAUUCACUCGGCUUGGUCGGCUCCAGGCGUUGGCGGAGUCGGCGUGCGCGGGCUCAUCGGUGUCGGACCUGCUUCGUCGCAGGGCUGCGUCGGCGCGGCUUCGGCACUGCUGGGCGGCGAUGUAGAGACGCCGUCCGGGCUUGGCGUCCGUGUGGUCGUGGGCGUCAUCGGCGUUGCCGUCGGCAGGUCGUUCAGGAUGAGGCCGCGCUGCACCAGGUACCACGCCUUAAGCUUCUCGUCGUUGCUCUGGAGCAUGUCCGCCCCGCUCAUCAGAAAAGUCAUGUCGGUGUUCCUCUUCUUCGCGGCGACGUUCGUCCGGAGUAGGUCGAGCUUGAUGGCGUUGUUCUUCAUAAGCGACGACCACCGCGCCUCGGUCUUCUCUUCGCGUAGGACGGCCCGGGCCUGGGCAUCGGCGAGGCAAUGCUCGAUGGACUCCUGCACUCGUGUGGUAGCCGCGUCGGCGCUUUUCCCCUUCUUUGCCAUCUUGUGGCCGUCCGGCCGUCCCUCUGACGCGCUCGGGGUUGUCGCGUCUGGCUUGUAUGUCUCCUUGGCCUUGUCGAGGGCACGCCGGACUUCCGCCCACUUCUCGCACUUGUCAAUGCGCUUGUAGACGUGGAAGUGCUUGAAGUCGGCGUCUUGGUUGUCGCCCCGAUACAUGGCAAACAUACGCAGCAGCUGCGCGGAGAGACAAACAGUUGGUGGGCGGCGGGCGUAGGGGACGAAGAUAUGCGGGCGAACGGCGUGCGUACCUGAUCCUCAAUGCUGGCGCCGCUCUCCGGGCGAGCCGCGACCUCCUCGAUGAUUCCAUGCCAUUUGUUGCACGCCAACUGGAUACGCCCCCAAUGGUUCGCCAUCGCCUUGGAGCCGCGCUGCAUGUACACGCCUUUGAAGUAGGGGUCGACGAGCUUCCGCUCGUCGAACUCGGCCUUAAUGCGGUCCCAGUACGUGUCCAAGCUCUGGUUCGCGCCGGUGGUCGGGUCGAGGCAGGCGACUUUCCAUGCUUCGGCGAGGCAUUCCUCCUCCUUGGACGUCCACUUGAUGUGCGGUUCGCCUGACCUAGCCGCCCGCUUCUUCUUCUUCUGGCGCCCCUUCGUCGGAACAGGAGCCGGUUCAUCCUCCUCCUCCUCCUCCUCGGGUUCCUGCGCGUCGUCGCCGUAGACGUAGCCGAGCUCGGCCUCCAUGUCGCCGUUGAGGUCCACUACCUCGUCCUGGGUGGCGAACCUAGGAGACUCGGCGGCCGCGGUCGAUCCUGUCGCGAUGAUGUCGUCCAUGUCGGCUCCCGUGUCGUCGGCGUCGCUGAGGUGCGAGAAGGGUAGCGGUCCGCGAUAGAGAUGGGGCGUCGGUGUGGACGCGUAGGAGGCGGGCGGCGAGUAGUUGUAUGGAGGAUACUGCACGCCGACGAAGGCGGGCGAGGGCGUGCGCGUAGCGGGGUGACCAUGAGGUAAGGUCACGUUUGGGUUGAACCCGCCGUGCGCGUCGCCGUCGGCGUAGCCGGGCGACGAUGAACCCCAUGGAGAUCCGGCGCCUUGCUGUCCCCAGGGCGCGUACGUACUGGGCGUGGCUGACGACGGGUGGAUUCAUCCCCGCCUGGUCGACCGAUGAGGAAGACGCCGCCGCGCGCGCCUCGUUGUCGCGGGCCUUCUUGGCUAUGGCCCUGUUCCGCCUGUCGGCGGUGACUGCUUUGCGCCGCUGAACUUCCACCGUCCACUCGGCGUUCGACAGGCCCGGUGGCUUCGAUGGCGGCGCCCUCGGCUUCCUCUGCUUCGGCUGGACCACAGCGCCAGUCGCGGUUGCCGCCGCGCGCGGCAUGGCGUACUUCUUCGGCGGCAUGGCGUGCUUCUUCGCGGCGAGCGGGAGAGGGUUUGGCGGGAGAAAGGGAUAGAAUGGCGGGAGGAAGGUGAGCGAGCGGGAGAGAUGCGAGGGAAAAGCGUCAAGAAACGGCGGGAAAAGACCCUCGGGUCGCUUCCAGGGUGGGCCCACGCGCCUUUUUCGCUUGCGCCGGCUCCCCAAGCGCCCCCCAGGGCGCCGGGUUCGGUCUGGGUCCGCCGGCACUAGUUUUGGCCCGAGCCGGCGAAAAACGGGCUUCUGGGGGCGCGACUGGGGCCUUUUUUUGGCGCCGGCGCGGCAAAAUUGCCUGGGGAGGGCCUGUUGGGGGCGCGGCUGGAGAUGCCCUAACCAGACAGUAAGUGUUUAACAUCCUUUUUUCACACCGUGGACUUGUUACGGCAGCUACAUUUUCUCUAAUGCCUCUCAAUCCAUUCACAAUACAUCUUGAAUUCAUAUGGUAUAGGAGAAGAACAAAGAAGGGUGUAGAUUAUACCAUGGUGGUCAGGGUGCUUAUUGUUUCAUCUAUUGCAAGAAAUGUUGGAUCUUGGGGGAUAUAUGUAGAGAGAUCUGGGCACGUAAUUUCCAUGUGAAGACCUAGCGAAAUUAUAUCUAGCCUGCAGGUACAAACUUGAAUGUCAUGGAUUGUACAUGUCUCAACCACCCACAGCCAACAAUACAAGUUCAUGGGCGCACACGUGCCUGCACACACACACACAAACAGACACACACACACACACACACACACACACACACGCACACACGCACGCACGCACAUCAUGCAUCAUAAUGUGAGGAUUCUUCCUUGCGUGACAAAGGAUGUUAGUCAUCCGAAAACUGGUACAAAAAUAUAUGAUGCUUGUGAAGAUCAACUGUACAUUGCUACAAUAAACAUGAAAUACAGUUUAUAAAAAUUGAAAAGGUAAAGUUUAGAUACACGCGACCAGAACGCACUUAUUAAUAAUGAUAUCAAUAUAUUAUAAACCAUCGCAGAUGAGACAGUUGAUUGAAAACCCACCUCCAGGCUCUAGCCAUGACAGAAUAAAUAUUUUGCUUAUGAGCACUGGGUUGCCCUUACUUUAAGAAAAAGGAAAAAACAGAGAGACAACAAAAACUGAUGAUACUUCAUCAGAAUUGCACAAAAAAAGCUCGGUUAGUCAUCUCAAAACGGAUGUCAACAACAGAUGACGGUUCCUUAGAGCAUCAAUUCACAACCUUGGAGCUAAACCUCUAUAUAUCUCUCAUGUAAAAAGACAUAUCUCUACAACUCCCUUUUAGUCUUCUUUAACACCGCCGAUAUCACAACCGUACCAAUAACACUACUGACCACGGCGGAGUGCCUACGUGCGAGGGAAUGGCUCCCACAGCAGGAUUGACUGUGGUUGACCGAGUUUUUUGGAGUGUACUUGGGGAGGAGCUGAUGGACGGGGUGGGAGCGGGCGGUGGAGUGAAGAUGUCCGACGGCGCUGUAGAUGGACGGUGGGUCGGAAUGAGAGCUCACGCAUUGGUACAGAGACGAGUCUGGAAGCGUGCAGUCCGAGUCAAACUUGAGCUUUGACCAAGCCGAGUUCAAGCUUAGUUUUGUGAGGUUUGACGAGUUUGGAAGCUCGACUUGGCUUGUUUCCACCCCUAGCAAUAGCCUUAAGCUAGAUACGCAUCAGUUGGGUGCCUUCUUUUACACGGCGGAUGUGUGAUGGAUGCUACAUAUUUUCCAAUACAUCACAAUCCAGUUACCAUUUACCACACAUGGAUAAUAUGUCUUUGUAUCCAUAUACCAUGGAAGAAGAACAAAGAAGAAUGUAGAUCAUAUUGUGGUGGCCAGCAUGCGAAUUGUCUCAUGCAUUGCAAAUGCAAGAGAUGAUGUAUCUUGGGGAAAAUAUAGAGUUGGGCAUGUAAUGGCCAUGUGGUAUAGCUAGAAAUUAUGUAUCCUCUAGAUACACACAUGAAUGUCCUGACAUGGAGAGCUCCCAACCAGCUUCAGCCAGUAAUGAUAGAAUCAGUUCGUUUAUGAGCAUCACGAUGCCCUCACAUCACGGGAAAAGUCUUGAGACACAACAUUCACUCAGAGUGUUUCUUUAUAACCGCACAAUAAGCAUAACUCCAACGCAAAUCACCAAAAUGGGCACACCAAAUGUCUGCGGACAAUGUCCAGACGUGUCCGUGGAUAGUCAUAGGGGCUGUUGCCACCAAAUGGAGUCACAACUUGUUCGGCUAAAUUCAAACAAAUAUUGAACAAAAGGAAAUUCAGGGAAGCCCGGUGAUAUUUGUUAAAUUUUGAUGUAUUACAACCGGAAGGACGAAAAUCACCAAAGUUUCAACUAAACCGUAAAAAACUGAAACUAUGCGAGAUACCAAAGGAUGACCUCAUACGCAUGGAUUUUGAGACCUCCGACACCUCCAUCUUCUUCGGCGUCAUCGUCACCGCCGUCUGAGCCGUCCUCCUCUUUCUAGUGGCGGGAGCACUGCCAAUCGUCGCGGCAACCCUCAUUAGCCAUUGUUGCUCGCUCGCGGUGCAGCCGCUUGGCGUACUUUGCCUCGGCAGAGCCUUGGCCUCCUACGCCUGGCGGUGACGAUGGGCCACAGUCGCGGAAUACGCCCCGCGCUGCCAGCAUUUUCAGCUAGCCUUGGCCUGGCGGCGACUUGAACAACCUCACAUGGGGAGGUAGUUAUUGAUCUAGCGCAGCGGUCCUGGACCGGUCGAUGGCCUAGGCCACCGCAAGCAUGGGUUGGGGUCCGGUGCAGGGGCGGGCCCACUUCAAUUCAUGGGUAUUCAGUUGAAUACCCGUUAUUUUUGUCAAAAGAUUUCAUAUAUAUAGUGUAUAUUACACACAGAUUUUUUUUUGAGGGAAUAUAUUACACACAGCUAUGAAAAAAGAAGUAAACCGAGGCAAUAUGUGAGGCUAACAAGCCUUCAGCCCACGUUCUGGGUGCGCUGGCUGGUUCCCUCCCUUCCCACCCCACAUGGCCCAGUAGCCCGCGACAGUAACUCCUUCCACGCUCGCAGCCCAUUCAAAAAUAACUGCAGCCUGCGUUAUUUCGCUGAACUCAAUUGAUCAAAUGAACCGUCGGGCCGCCUCCCGAAAUCCCCAAUUCUGAUCGCACCUCAUCCUCCUAUGCGACCACGCGCAGCGGCGCAUCCAGCCAUGGCACAGGCGCACAAUGGCAUGGGCAGGUGUGGUCGUGGCGCGGUGCAGACAUCUCGCAUCCAGCAUGGGCGUUUGAAGUCCAAAUUUUCCUACCUCGGCACUCCGGAUCAGGAUAAAUGGCCUCGGCCGCAUUCUGCUUGCGAGGUAGCGUCCACAUCCCCCACACAUACAAACAGUAAGUUAUUGUCUAAUUGGCUUUCUGUUUCAGCAUAUUGAAAUUUCAGAUUUGUUUGCACUUACACAAAAGAAACUGAGAUUUUAGAAGUUAUUAAGUAGUCUAAUACAUUAAUAUUGUUUGCAAUUUGCGAUGAAAAUUUGCAAUUCGAGAAUCUGUUUGAAUUAUGAAUUCGUAACAACAAACAUUACUUUAAAAAAUUAGCACUCUGAAACUUGAGGUUUAAAAAAAUCAAACCUUUCAAAUUUUGAAUACACGCUCUUAAAAUCUUGGGCCCGCCCCUGGUCCGGUGGGAACUAGAUUGAUGCGAUUUGGAUGCCUUGGAGGCCACCAUGGAGGACGUCGUCAUUGUUUAAGACGAGCCACCGCCAACGAGGAAGUAGAUGUGGCGGCUGCAUGCAUUGGCCAUCACUCACCGGGAAGAGCGCCUCGUCCUUCUUCAUGACCACCGGGUGCCACUGGCACCCGGAGUGCCGAUGGGGCAGGGAAGGCGACACCACCUCUUUGCCUUAGCGGAGAUAGCUACCUGACGACUCCUCCUUGACGUGUACUCCCUCCGUUUCAAAAUACUUGACUUCCAUUUGUCGAAAAAUGGAUGUAUCUAUAUACUAAAUCAUGUCUAGAUACAUCUAUAUUUUGACAAAUGGAAGGCAUGCAUUGUGGAACGGAGGGAGUAGUACGGAUGGCGGCUCCUCCUUAACAUGGCGUACAAUUUGGAUGCCGUAGUUGGGCGAGGACAGUAGCAUGGGUGGUGUCAGACCACGGUCGGAUCGCGAUUGCUCGAGUAAUAGCUAGAGCUACCGCGCGUACUCCUUGUCCAUCUGUGUGGACUCCGUGAGGACCCGCGGCUGCUACUGCUCGUCGUCCGUGGAGAGCACCUCUGUCUUGAUCGUAGGAGCCAUCGACGCCAACUGGCCCAAAGACCGUGGGCGGCGGAGCCAUGAUCCGGACUCCGGAGCUCAUGCUACAUAUGGAGGGCCCGCGGAGAAUGAGUUGCUGUAGCCGGACUUGCUCCGCGGUAGCAGCUGGUUGUGGAGAUCUGCUGAGGAGAGGAGGGGAAAGGAGUAGCGACAGUGUCAUUUGGUCCACUCCGUCGACCGGCUUAGCCUGGGCAGGCAGACCGACGGUACUUCAAUGCGGGUGCAAAUGGGUGAAGUAGGCUUCUCGGUCGCUGCGUCGGUGUGAAUGUCGACAUUGAAGUUACCCUUAGCCAUCUCAAAACUGAUAUCAACAAUAGAGAAUAUUUCCAUAGAUGAAACGUGAAAUAUAAUUAUACAAAUUAGGAAAAAAGAGUACGAUACACAAGACCAGAAUACUUUGGUAGUGAUACCAAUAUAUUAAAAAACCAUUGCUCUUCAAGAUCAGUGCUUGAAGCCUUGCAAAGCUGGAUAGAAACAAUGCACUAAAAGCUGUAGCCAAAACACGGGCACCAUCCUUGUUGGGUUUCACCCAAUACAGACCACAUGGAAAAUCACACAAACACACAUGAGUUUAAAUGCUAGCUAGAAUAAUCCGAAUAAUUCCAACAUGAAAAACUUUGCCAAAGACAUGUCCCAUCUCUUUCUUUCUUUAUUGGAACUCAUGAAUUAGUUGUAGGCAAUGCCGGAGUGCUGGUAGUUGCCUCCAGAAGAGAAGACGUUGAAUGUGGGCCAGGAUUGGCCUUUUGAUGUUUUGAGGGAUGCAUGUACUGAGGUGCACAUAAUGUUAUUGUUGAUUAUUUGGCGUGCCUGGCAGCUACAUAAUUACAUGGUUAAAUUUUUUUAGAAAGUUAAUUCGCCAACUGAAGUUACUUGAAUGUUUAGCUGUUGACAAUGUUACUUACUCCCUCCAUUUUUAUAUACAAGGUCACUAUAGACUAUACAUUUUGCAUCUACACAAGGCCACCAAUAGUAAUCGAGGCAAAGUUCAUGAUAUUUUCUCGUACUAACAACUUGUUUAAUACUUGCAUGCAUGUAGUCAUAAUGACAGUCAGCUACUUUCUCCACUCAGUUUCUUUGCAUACAUGUGGAGUAUUAAUGAUCCCAGUAAACAAGAAGAAAAGUUGACUUGUAAAGCAAACAUUAAAUUUUACAUUGGUACCUGUAAUCUGAGUUUGUGGCCUUGUAUAUAAAAAUGGAGGGAGUAUAUCCUACAAAAGGAUGGCAGGGAUCCAAUAGAAGAUAAAGCAUCGGUUUCAGUCCCGGACAAAACGUGGUUACCUCGACCAUUUCAGGUGCAGGAAGCUGAAUAUUGCCCUAUUCCGCCUCAGAAUUAGAUACCCAUCACUUCAGAUGGCUCAUUCACGGAGCAGACAUGUGUUUUGGCUCCGGAGCAGUUGCGUGGGACUCUUCAGGCAAGGUGUUAUUUUCAUGCUGGUAGGAGUUAAAUCAUUGUGUUGAUGCUUUUGAAUCUGAAACUUCGACAAUGUUCGAUGGUGUUCGGCCGUCAGUUCAGCAUACUGAUACUGAUCUUGAGCUGGUUGUUUAGUCAAUUUGUAUAGUUCUCAUUCAGUGUGUACAAUCCUGCUCCGAGAAUAGAUCUCGUAUGGGCCAAACUACAGAAGAAAUCAAGUGUAUGUUGAGGGAAUAUGGGCAGUUUUUUUUUCAAAACAAACUUUGCCCUAAUCCGAAUACGGUUUCAAAUUUGUUACUCUACUUCUUAGCGUCGUUUGCUAGGGAGAGCCAAUGCACUAAUGUGUUUUCUUCUUGCAACGAUAACUUUCGAUCUAUUGCAGUGUCUCCCACGUGUGUGGCGGAUUUAAUCGCUCCUGAUUGUUAUCCUAUCGUAUGUUCGUGAGUACUAUCGCAUCAUGACAACCUGCACACAACCUUUUGUUCUGUCAAGCCUCCUAGUCGAGCAUGUCAACAACGACAAUACUUGUACCAGAAGUUAAAGUUAGUUUCAGAGUCUCUGUCUGUAAAAGCACCCUCGCAGUCUAGGUUCAACUACCAUGAUCCACACACACACAACGUUUGGCUUUCUUUAAUUUUCAGAUGAGCAUGUUGGUAGUAGCUACACCUUUCCCAAUACCUCGCAUUCCACUUAUACUACUCUAUUCACCUCGGGUGGGGUGAACAGAUACUGAAUCCAUGUGCCGCCAUGGGAGAAGAACAAAGGUGAGUGUAGAUCAUGCAUGUCGUGGUGUCUGGGAUGAUGAUCAUCCCAUGCAAUGCAAAGAUCAUAUGCCUUGGGAGAUACAAUAUAGAGAGAGCGUUGGGCAUGUAAUGCGAUGACCUUGUGUAGAGCGAGCUGAGAAUUAACUACUCCCUCCGUUCCAAAAUAGAUGACUCAACUUUGUACUAACUUUAGUACAAAGUUGGGUCAUCUAUUUUGGAACGGAGGGAGUAGCAUGCAGGUACAAAUAUCUGAGUGCCCUUGAUUAUACUUCACAUGCUUGCGGAGUCCUCAACCAUCUCGAUUGGUUUGCUUAAUUACUCGAGCAUUUGGACGCACUCACAAAAAAGAAAAGAAAAUGGAAGCGGCACAUGCUGAGCAUGCUGCCUUAGAGCCAUAAAAUGUAGAAUAAAUGUAGAGCCCUUCUAAUAUGAGCUACUUCUAAACUGCCUUAGGCUGGUCACAAUGGGAGUAACAGAGAUAGUAAUAUAACGCACCCAAUGCAAAUUUGCUUAUGUGGCAAUAGUUAAUAAGAAGAGUGGUGCUUAGAGUAACAUAGUAUGUUACUGUAACAUAGCGCUUCACAAAGAUAAAUGAGUCUACAAGUUAAUAAAUGCAAUCAUUUAUGUUACUAUUUCUUACUUUGCACUAUGAACGUAGUAAAAUACCCUAGUGUCAUAUGCAUGACACUAGUCUAAGUUAUUCCCACUAUGACUAGCCUUAGUCACGAAAGAUAUUUUCAUUUUGCAUUCGCUAGAACUUGGUAUGAUUGCAUUUUAUCCGAACCCCGAUUCAGACCACGUGGAUAAUUUUUUUCUUGAAAAAGAUAAUAUAUUAAUAUCAUGAAUUUACCAAUUACACCCGGCCUCGGCACCAACAAUAUGUCUCAAAGACAUCCAAAACGCACAUAGCCUGAAAAGAGAAAAAAAGGCCUCGUCACAGUGAUCAACUCCUCUCAGCAGCAUCACAUAAACCGCCAUCAUAGACAAAACCCGGAAAACAUAAAAAUUCUCCAAAAACGAUGCCUUCAAGAACGGAACAGUGCACAAGCGUCGUCGUCGCCCGAUCCAACAUCUUAGGUUUUCCCCCUCGAGAAAAUCCGAGCUCUCAAAACAAUAACUUCAGCAAGACAAUUGCUAGGCACAACCAAUGAAGUUCAUACCUUAGCUUUCACCCUGAAAAUCACGAUUCGGCACCCGAAGUGCGACACCAAAAACAAAAUCCUAUAAUGUUGCCGCCCCCACUUGUCACUGCUGAUUUUGAAAGUUAUCAAACACUUGGCUGACUUCCUCGCUUUCUAGGCCCCUCCGCCUUAACGAACCUCCGAUUUCAGCCACCAUGAUUUUCUCGACUGAUAUCUAUGUCAUGAAAAUCGAUAUACCCACAUGUCCCAUGGUGUCAACAAACAAUAGAGCUUCACAUCGUGCCCUAAGGGAGCCGCGGAGGCUGAUAUGGACGCGCACGACCGGAAUCUAUCCGAUCCAUAUAUCCUUGGGCAAGGUUACCAACAACAGUUCCAGAACAGGUCGAUGGCCAGAUAAAAUAUACUUGCUUCACAACUUGAAAAUUUGGACAGAAAACAAGAAUUACUCAUGUGCUCACAUAGCUCAAUUAAAUGAGCUGAAUUUGGGUGGAGGCUAAUGAUUUGGGAUAUUUGAGAGGAUGGCAAAGGUUCAUCCCAUUUGGAAACUCCAUGAAGGUACUUCCUUCACAAAGUUACAAUCUGGUCAAAAACUUUGAAAAAUUUCGCAGGGAGCUAGGAUGACUGGAUUGAGCUCAUCUUUGGUAUCCAUGGGUGAUUUAUCAAUAUUAAUCACCCUGCCAAAUUGCAGCUCAAAUUUAAUUAAGAAUAAAUCACUUCCCUUGCAAAAUUUCAGAGAAGGCAGAAACUUGCAUUGGAUCAUGUGCCAAAUUUUUGAUCUGUGGAACAUGAGAUAAAGAUGGAACUAGUGAUUAUAUAGCAAUGACAAGCUCCACAAUUUAUGUGGGAAUUUUCUACGUUAUAAAAAUAAUAGUUCCUUUAUAAAACGGCAGAAAUGCAAUAUUGGCAUUAAAUAGGAAAAGGCAAUUUUCCAUAAUUAGUUAUGGCCAAUAUAAUUACCAGAGCUUGGAUUAGGCAUAAUUAUUAACUCCAACAAUUGACAUGAAUUUAGGAGAUGCCAAGCUAUGCCUUUGGAUUUUAUUCCUCAGAAAGGCAAGAAAAGGAAUAAAUCACAAUUCAAAAAUAUUGCAUGGGAUUUGGCAAUAUUUUUGCAUAUCCAAGGUUGAAAAGGAUAAGAGGGUCUCUGGGAAUAGAUGGGCUGAUCAACAGAUCAAGGAAAUGAUGGCUCCUUUCUAAUCCCAAAGGCCACAUUCAAACCCAAAAAUUUGGAAUUAGGGUUUGAGAGGCUUUUAGAUGAUGCAGCUGAGGUCUUGCCCACUGAAAAAGAUAUGAGCAAGGUUUUGAAAGGUUGGAAAUGACAAGAAUUCUCAGGGUCGUCAGCAAAACUCAGGAGAAAGAUCUUGAAAAUGAGUGCCAGGAAGGAAUAACAACACAAAAAUUGAUAACCCAAUUUUGGAGCUGUUACAUCCUUCGGGCCAGCCAUCUGAGAGAUUGAUGUACACUACAGACCAAUCAAUAUUCUUUGGUGGGCCAAUCCCGAGCACCACCAUCAUAAAUGCAGAAAGGAAUGAGGCUGGCACAAGAGCGCGCGCUGAGGGAAGUAGAGAUCCCAGCUCUCACCAGCGGGACAUCCGUGGCGAGAAGGCUCGGACAAGCUCCUUCACGUUGUUUGAGCCUAGGAAUUUCUAGAAGAACCUGCUUGUUGGCAACUGACCUUGACCGGCUGUUUUACUCUUCUCUACUAUGUCGUCUGCUCAAGUGCCACCACCAUGACAGUGGGGGCGAUGUUGAUGCAC